CAAAACAAAAACAUGAUUUAUGUGAAAUGUGAAUUUUAAUAGCCUUGGCGGUCUCGGUAGGAUGCCUCGGCCAAGGUGUCCCCGAGAAUGGAUUUAUGGCACAAGCCUAGAUUUUUAUGAGAUUCAUAAGCCUUUUUACGUAUUUUGAACGAGAUGUGUUCUAAUUGUAUAACCCAGUUUAUGAUGAUUUACUUUAUUGUCUCCAUGUACUCAACUCUAGAUGUUUAUGAUGAUGUCUGUUUACUCAUUGGGAUUUUAUAAUCUCACCACCCUCCUUUCCACCCAUUUCAGGUUCAGUAUAGACUGUAGAUAGCUGAUCUCAUCGAGGACUACAGUGGGAUCUGCAUUUUCCAAACCGUAGGUUCACAGUCCUCUUUACUUUUGUUUAUUCGGGGGCACUCUUGUUAUUGUAAAUUAAAUUAAAUAUUUUGGCUUACUGUAUUUAAGUAUGUAUAAAUUUAUUUAGCUUUUACGCUAUAAAAAUUAUUCACGUAUAACUCUAUAAAUAUUGUUUUAUAAGAAAAUAGAAUAUUUUAUUUAAUAUUUUUUUUAUUUUUUUAUUAUAUUCAAAUAACCAUAAUUUCGUUUUAAAUGAAGAUUUUAGACUUUUAAACUCAUUUUGAAUAUGAAUUAUUUGUUUUGUACUUGUAUAUUACGUUUUAGCCAGUUUCGAAAUCUUUGAGAAAAAUGACCAAAAUACCCCUGUGAGAUGAAAAAAAUUAAUAUUUUAUUUGUUUAAAGUUGGAAACAGCUUAAAAUCUUUUAGAGCACGAUAUUUGACAAUGGUUGCUCACAAGGGAAUAGAGAAACUGAUAGUAAAGCCUUGUGGGGUUUCGGGUUCACAUUCUGGGCAAUGAGUGUCUACCAGGACACCGCGGCUGUUGUCACGGGCUCGAGGGGAGUACCGGGUCGUGACAAUUGUACUUCAUCUUUUCUUUAUUUCUCAAUUACUUGGAGUGUGAGAGACACUUUAACAGGUAGACUAAGCGUAGGAAAGCUUAGGGAAUCUUAUAAGAGUUUUGAGCUUGGGUUAAAAGCUCACCUUGUAAAAACUUGGUGGAAGUUGUCAAUUCCACUAGUUUAGUGAAAUUGAGUUGAAAAUCCUUGAUUGGGAGAUCAAGGUAGUGGAUGUAGGUCAAAGGGACCGAACCGCUAUAAAUACUUGUGUUUUGUCCACUUCUCUUUGCUUGGUGAUUUUUUGCCUUUACAAGUUUUAAACUCUUUUUUCAAAAUCCUUCAAAAGUUCUUCAACCUUAAAAGUUUCCAUCAAAUUUCUUUAAAAGUUCUAUUCAACCCCCUUCUAACAUUUCAUUGGGUCCAACAAGUGGUAUCAAAGCCUAAUCUUUGAUUUUAAGGCUUAAUAUCCUAAAGGGAAGAUCCAAUGGCUACUCAAAAUUCUAAUGAUGUUGAGGGUCAAUUCAUAAAUAGGCUUCCUCUAUUUAAUGGAACCAAUUGUAAAUUUUGGAGUACUAGAAUGUCCAUUUAUGUUAGGGGUUAUGACUAUGAGACAUGAGAUGUCAUUAUCGAUGGUCAUUUCAUCCCUAUUAGUACUAAUUCGGUAAAUGGUGAGAAAACUCCUAAAUAUAAAAUUAAGUGGACAGAAGCUGAAAUAAGGAAAGUAUAAAUAAACUCCAAGGCCAUGUACGCUCUCAUUUGUGCACUUGAUUAUAAAGAAUAUAAUAGAGUGUUCAUGUGCAAAAGUGCCAAAGAAAUUUGAGAAAAAUUAAAAGAGUUAUAUGGAGAAACAAAGAAGGAAAAGGAAUUGGAAGACAAGCCUUGUGAGAAUCAAUGCUCAAAAAGCAACAAGGCAAAUGCAAUUAAGGAAUCAAACGAAGAUGAAUCCUUAAAUCAAAUUGAAGUAUGCCUUACGGCUCUUGAAGAGAUAGAGGUAAGUUCUUCAUUUUAUGAAUUGAAUUCAUAUGCUUUUGAUGAAUUGCAUGAUGCUUUUGAGAAUUUAGCAUUUGAGUUUGAGAAAAUGGAUUUGAAACACAAGAAAAAUCAUUUCCAUACUUGACGUUGAAAAUGAAUUUUUAGUGAAAACAAAAGUUGAUUUGGAUAAAGUAAAUGAAAAUUUGAAAAAGGAUUUUGAAGCUUACUUGAAGAAAAUUGAUAUUUAGGAAAAAAAAUUUUGAUGUGAAAAAGAAAUGUGAAGAUUUAUUAAAGGAGAAACAAAAGGUUUUCAUGAAUUUCUCAUCUUCCAAAACUACCAAAUGCAAUCAUUACACAUUUUAUAGUUAUUGUUCAUACACUUGUCUAAUUAGAAAAUGUGUACCUAAAAAAUUUAGACAAGUAUGGGUUCCAAAAGGAACUUUGUGCAACGAGACUAACUUUCAAGGAUCCCUAGCAAUUUGGAUACCAAAACUCAAAAGAAAAAUGUCUCUUGUAGGUGUGCUAGAGCAAGGAGGAAAAAUUUUUGAAGAAUGAAUGCUCUCUAGUCACACAUAAAGAAAAAUGGGUAAUUUUUAUGCUAAAAGCCUUUUGUUUGUUUAAAUGAGAAUUUUAAUUACUUAUUUAUUGAAUGUUUCAUUGAUUUAGUUUGGUUUUUAAAAUUUUUUGCUUUUUUUAAGUGCGAACUUUGAUUACUUUUUCUUGCUUGAAUUUUAAGUGCAUAAUUCUUUGUUUACCCUUUUUUGAGUUUUCUUGAUAAAUCUUGGCUAUGCAACUUGAUUUGAUAUGAUACAUGUUAUAAGUUGCAUAAUUUAGAAGGAAGUCUGAAUCUAAAGAUUGAGUAUGUACCUAUAUUUGAUGUUGAAUAUAUCAUCAUACUUAUUUUGAGAAAAUUGUUUUAUUAAGAUUGUUGGAUUAUGGAAAAUUGUUUCUAUAAAAUUUCCUUAUGUUUUGUGAAAUUCUUUUCAUACUAUUUCUUUGAGGAAAAAUUAUUUUUGAGCAUAAUUUUGAAACAUGAAAUGUAAAACCCGACCUUAUAAACACAUGUCAUGACAUACAUGCACUAAGUAGCAUGUUAUUAUGCUAGGAAAGCAUCUAAGAAUAGACGAAACCCGGUAUCGUACCUAACGGUACACUUGAGUUGAUUUAACCUUCGAACUAGUUCAAAUAGGAAUUGUAGGAUGAAAUUUAAUAUUUUAUAGUCCAAAAAUGACUAAAAAUGAUUGUUUGGAGUUCGAGGGUUCAUUAGGGGUAAAAUUGAAAAUUUUGAUGUUUAGGGGUAAAAUCGUAAUUUUGCCAUUCGCAGACAAAAUUUGAGAUUUGAGAGAAUUUAGAUCAAAUUUGACAAAUUGGGGAAUGGUAUGAGUAUAAGGGAUGAAAAAUAUGUCUAUGGGCAAUUUUUCAGUUUUUUGGGCAAAAAUGUAAUUUUUCACUUUUAAAGGGGCAAAAGUGUAAAUUUCAAAAAUUACUCCACCAAGACUUUGGAUAAGUCUGAGAAUUUUAUCUAAGCUAUGGAUAUGUGGGACAAGUGUAUGGUGAAAAUUUGGAAACAAAUGGAUGAAAUUUUAACAAUGGGCCAAUGGGAAAGUGACACAUGGCAUUUUUUUUAAUGAUUUAAUAUUAUUUUAGUGAAAAGUCAGCCCAUUUAAAUCCCAUUUUAAGUGAUGGCCGGCCAUAAGGGAGAAUAAGAGAGAAAAUAGAGAGGAAAGGAAGAAAAAAAAGAAAAAUCAAAGAGAAACAAGAAAAUUCAAAGGGCAAUUCGCGUUUUUCGCUCGUUUACGCGUCUAACGGUAAGAUUUUUCGACUUUAGCUUGAUUUCUACCUUUCCUAUGCCUUUGUUUCCAUUUAGCAUGCUUGAGGAGAGAGAUCUAAAAGUGACAUCAAGGGCUGGCCGAAUUUCAAGGGGGGAGAAAUUGAAAUUUUUAGGUUUUGAUUUUUAGUUAAAUUGAUAGUUUUAGUUAGUUAAAUGUGUUUAGAAAUUAAAUUGGGCAAGAAANNNNNNNNNNNNNNNNNNNNNNNNNNNNNNNNNNNNNNNNNNNNNNNNNNNNNNNNNNNNNNNNNNNNNNNNNNNNNNNNNNNNNNNNNNNNNNNNNNNNNNNNNNNNNNNNNNNNNNNNNNNNNNNNNNNNNNNNNNNNNNNNNNNNNNNNNNNNNNNNNNNNNNNNNNNNNNNNNNNNNNNNNNNNNNNNNNNNNNNNNNNNNNNNNNNNNNNNNNNNNNNNNNNNNNNNNNNNNNNNNNNNNNNNNNNNNNNNNNNNNNNNNNNNNNNNNNNNNNNNNNNNNNNNNNNNNNNNNNNNNNNNNNNNNNNNNNNNNNNNNNNNNNNNNNNNNNNNNNNNNNNNNNNNNNNNNNNNNNNNNNNNNNNNNNNNNNNNNNNNNNNNNNNNNNNNNNNNNNNNNNNNNNNNNNNNNNNNNNNNNNNNNNNNNNNNNNNNNNNNNNNNNNNNNNNNNNNNNNNNNNNNNNNNNNNNNNNNNNNNNNNNNNNNNNNNNNNNNNNNNNNNNNNNNNNNNNNNNNNNNNNNNNNNNNNNNNNNNNNNNNNNNNNNNNNNNNNNNNNNNNNNNNNNNNNNNNNNNNNNNNNNNNNNNNNNNNNNNNNNNNNNNNNNNNNNNNNNNNNNNNNNNNNNNNNNNNNNNNNNNNNNNNNNNNNNNNNNNNNNNNNNNNNNNNNNNNNNNNNNNNNNNNNNNNNNNNNNNNNNNNNNNNNNNNNNNNNNNNNNNNNNNNNNNNNNNNNNNNNNNNNNNNNNNNNNNNNNNNNNNNNNNNNNNNNNNNNNNNNNNNNNNNNNNNNNNNNNNNNNNNNNNNNNNNNNNNNNNNNNNNNNNNNNNNNNNNNNNNNNNNNNNNNNNNNNNNNNNNNNNNNNNNNNNNNNNNNNNNNNNNNNNNNNNNNNNNNNNNNNNNNNNNNNNNNNNNNNNNNNNNNNNNNNNNNNNNNNNNNNNNNNNNNNNNNNNNNNNNNNNNNNNNNNNNNNNNNNNNNNNNNNNNNNNNNNNNNNNNNNNNNNNNNNNNNNNNNNNNNNNNNNNNNNNNNNNNNNNNNNNNNNNNNNNNNNNNNNNNNNNNNNNNNNNNNNNNNNNNNNNNNNNNNNNNNNNNNNNNNNNNNNNNNNNNNNNNNNNNNNNNNNNNNNNNNNNNNNNNNNNNNNNNNNNNNNNNNNNNNNNNNNNNNNNNNNNNNNNNNNNNNNNNNNNNNNNNNNNNNNNNNNNNNNNNNNNNNNNNNNNNNNNNNNNNNNNNNNNNNNNNNNNNNNNNNNNNNNNNNNNNNNNNNNNNNNNNNNNNNNNNNNNNNNNNNNNNNNNNNNNNNNNNNNNNNNNNNNNNNNNNNNNNNNNNNNNNNNNNNNNNNNNNNNNNNNNNNNNNNNNNNNNNNNNNNNNNNNNNNNNNNNNNNNNNNNNNNNNNNNNNNNNNNNNNNNNNNNNNNNNNNNNNNNNNNNNNNNNNNNNNNNNNNNNNNNNNNNNNNNNNNNNNNNNNNNNNNNNNNNNNNNNNNNNNNNNNNNNNNNNNNNNNNNNNNNNNNNNNNNNNNNNNNNNNNNNNNNNNNNNNNNNNNNNNNNNNNNNNNNNNNNNNNNNNNNNNNGCUACAAAAAUUAUUUAUGUAUAGUUCUAUAAAAAUUGUUUUAUAAGAAAAUGAAAUAUGUUAUCAAAUAUUUUUAUUUCGUUUAAUUAGCCAACUUUUCACUCUAAAUGAAUGAUUUAGAUUACAAAAAUUUAUUUUUAAUCGGCAGUGGAUAUUUUUCUACCAUACGUUGUAUCUUUAUCAGGUUUCGAAAUUUUUUGGUAAAAAUGACCAAAAUACUCUUAUGUGGUGAAAAAUUUAUUUUGAUUGUUUUCGAUCUAAAAUAGUUUAUAUUUUCUUAAAACUCGAUAUUUAAUAACGAUUGCUCACAGGAAAGGCAAGAAACUGAUUCGUUAGCCUUGCGGGGUUCCGAUUGGCAUUCCGGAUAAUGAGUGUCAAUCGGGAUGUCGCGGCGGUUGUCAUGGGCCCGAGGGAGGUUCUGGGUCAUGACAUGAAAGGUUUGAUAAUGUAACAGAAAUAUGAGUAUACUUGAUGAUUUACACUCUGACCGAUUCAAGUAGCCUAAAACGAGGAAAAUUGAGUUAAAAAAAAAGUGGCCUUGAUUCCUUGUGCUUAAGAUAAGUUGACAAUUUGAACAAUCUUGAUUUACAUUCUAGAACUUGCUUGAAUAGUUCAAGAUGGUUGAUAAUGAGCUUGCAAGUUUUGAUUACUUUAAUUGUGUCUUUUAAAGCAAAAUGAGCAUGAGAAAAAUGUUGCCAUUUUUUAAGUUUAGAAUGAUUUAUGAAUUGGACAAGUUCGUUUCAUGAUGAAAAUACUUAUUGACUUGUUCUUAUUGGAUGUGCAUGCUUGCUUGUAAGCUUGAAUGGUCAUAAGGGUAUUUUUGGCACAUGAUUGUGAGAUAUUUGAAAAUGACCCUUGACAUGCAUAAACAUGAUUCAUUAUGCUCAUUACACAUUUCAUAAUUUAUUUAAAGCAUAUUUGAGCAAAAUUGAGUGAUAUUGAGCUCAUGACUUUUCACAAAGCAUGUCAUAUCUUGAAUGUUUCAAGUUGAAAAAUUUGUGAAGAAAAAUUAAAUUUUAUCAAUUGAUUUUCUUGCAAAAUCUUUUUAUUCUCUUUGAUUGAAAUUGAUUUAUUGUUUUUGAUGAUAUAGCAUGGUUGAGCAAAAUUGAUUUCAUACAUGAAUUGCAUAAAUCCCAUUUUAAUUGAUAUUUCUCUCAUGAUUUAUGAAAUAGAUUGAAAGAGUUUUCUUAAGCAUAAUCACGAGUAUGAUAAUUUGACAUUGAUGAUAUUUUAAGCAAAUGAACAAGUCUUUUUGUAAUGCUUAAAGCUACAAUGAUUUCAAUGAUAUAAAACUUGAACAAGUUUACCUUAUAUUGAAAAUGCUAUUAUAACUUGUCCUAGUUGCAAAUGAAUGCUUGAAUGACCUCAAGAGCAUUUUGUCUAUAUGUUAGAAAAGUGUUGAAAUUGUUAAAUUUGAUGCUUAUUAUGCUUAAAUGUUGUUUAAAAUGCUUGUUGUACAUUUUAUAAGUCAUAUUCAUGCAUCAUGAUGAAAAUUGAGCAUGCUUGAGUAUAUGAGAGACAUGAUUCUUCAAAUGAGCAUUUCAACUUUCUAACACUUGUGAACAAUGAGCAAUAAAGGCCAAAAUUUGAGUUCACAUGUUUUCUUGAAGAAUCUUUGAUCAUAUAUGUCCCAAAUGAUGUUCUAAACAUGGUUGAAAUGAAAUUCUAAAUUGUUCUCAUACAAAUCCAUGUUUUGAGAUGAUUGUACCUUGGAACAUUACAUGUUUUUGCAUUUUUUCUGACUUUUUAAUGUGCAGGGAUUAAGCAUAGUUGACUCCUAAGCAUAGCUAGUCAUCUAUUGGAGAACAAAAUGAAAAUAAUGCUGCUAGAAUGAUAAAAAGUUGACCUCUAGGGAUAUGUAAUCAACUCUUGAGUGCUCUAAAACCAAAAUGGAUAAGUUUUGAGUUCCAAAAUGUCGUCUUACUUCACUCUUUCUGCAUUGCAAUAUUUUCCUCCAUGAAUUUCCUUUUUUAAAGAUGAUUCUUGGCUUUUAAAAACAUGCAUUGCGAAUAUUCUCAUGAUCAAUUAGGGCAAUUACAUGUUCUUGAAGUGGCAACAUUUAUUGAAAAAUGGGAAACUUUCUUGAUUGCUUAAAUUUAUCUAUUCCCAAGCAUCACACUUAUAUUGAUUCUAUAAAUUCUCAUGUAUUUACAAUGGUAAAAUAAAGAUAUGAGAAAUUGUUCAUCAAUGCUUGAAUUUGUUAAUCUUAUUGGAACUUCAUGUGCAUAUAUAAAUAAUAUCUUCUCAUGAAAAUUGGAAUGUUCAAAUGCUAAUCUUGGAACUAUUCUUGAAAUAUAUUUUAUGUUUGUAUUUAAAUGAUUGUUUCAAAAAUGAUUUCUUGAUUAUGCAUAUGAAUUUGAUUAGGAUGAACUCAUUGAACUUAAUGAAAAUAUUCUUGGUUCAUUUAUUAUAUUAGUCAAAUCACAUGCUUACAUGACAUUUAAUUUUACUUGACCUUAAUGAUUGAAAACUAUAACUUGACUUAAGUGAUAGAAUUUCUUAUAGUGCUUAAUUGCAUAACUCAAGUCAAGUUUGAUCAUGACAUAUAUUGUGAGUUGACAUAGUUGAAAUGUACUUUGAAUAUGUACUUAAAUGUUAACUAUGUCUUCAUUGAGCCUUAAUGUUUACAUGAUCUAAAGAUUUUGUGAGCAUCAAACUUUAGCUUAUAAGUUACCAUGAAUAACUUGACAUGUCAAAUGAAAUAUGGCCUAUAGCUUUAGUUAGCAAUGAAUGCCUAAUGUGCUUUAAUUAAAUAUCUCUUUCUUGAAUCUUGACAAUUGGUAUUCAUUAAUGAUUGAAUGUUCACUUUGAAUAUAUUCAUGAGUUGAGUGCUUUAAUUUUCAUUAUUCUAUAACAAUUACAAUCACUCAUGAAUAAUGAAUUAUUGAGAAAUAGCAUUAUAUUUGGACACUCAUAUUUGGUGUGUCCCCGAUUCCUUGCAAUCAUAGCAUAUUAAAUGAUCCUUACUAUGUUCUUCUUUUGGCAUGUUUCUCAUAAGGGGUUUCCUACCUUUAUAGUUUCUUCUCAUAGAUUUGCUAAACCUCUUGGCUAGCAUACUGCAUAUAUCUUGGUAUUUCGAUCAUAUCUCUCUCUACAGAGCUCCAAAUGACAUAAUUCUUAAACCAUUGACAAUAUAAGAGAAAAAGCUACAAAUUUUAUGUUUACCACUUUACCCAGUUCAGCUUGAAAGAUGGUCAAAAAUUAUGUUAAAGUUGAACCACUGUAGCAGUCCUAGAGCAAUUACGAUUUUUGCUAAUUAAUGGGUCGAGAUAGUGGCCCACAUAGUCUGAUGAAAAAAUCUUGAUUGGAAUUGACUUCUUUAUUCACCCAACUUGCCCUAACUUCAAAGUCCUAUAAAAUCAACCUUUCAAAGGACUUUUAGAGAAAAGGAGACACCAGAUUGAUAGCUGAGAUUCAAGCCACAAAAUCUUUGAAAAAAAAAGUCUCAUUGGAGUUGAAAUGGAAUUGAAGGAUUGAAGAAGAUUUAGAGAUUAAGAGUUUCACUCUUGGAGUUUCUUUAUUCUCUAUUUUCUUGGUUUAGUUUCAUUGUUUAAACUUUAUUGAAUGAUGAUUUGUGACUUGAUGAGAAACUAAAUUGUUUCUCUAAGAUUAUGAUUGAACUCAAUGCGUAGUCUGAUUUAUUUAUCUCUAUUUUACCUAUGUUUGAUGGAUUUAAAUUGUUUAUUUUAUUCUAUUCUUAACUCUUCUGAUUGACUAGCCACUAAAUAGAUUGAAUUGGAAACCUAGAUUAAACCUUUAUGAAGGAGAUUUAGGUAGACCUUGAAUAAAAUAACGUAUGAUCGAAUGCACUUAGUUGAUUAGGUGAUUUGAUUUGCAUAUAGGGUAGACAUAUACCUAUAAGCCAUACAUAGCCAAGAUUAAAGCAUGAACUUAAUGAAACUUUUUUCAAUUUAAUUUGCAUAGACAUAUAAUAAAUUAAUUGAAAAAGAUAUUUUUAUGAGAAACUUGAGAGAGACUUGUAAAUAAUUAAGGACUCUGCGUUAACAACUUAAUCUAUUAAAUUGAGUUAAGAGAGAGAAAGAGAGACAAUAAUCAGAUGAAGUAUUAAGGGACAUCAUAAUCUUAGGUCUGGUAGUCACUCGAAUUUAAUAAAGUAAAUUUGCUGAUAAAUUUUAGAUUAGUUUUAUUUUUAGUUUAUUAGUUUAUUAGUUUUAAUUAUAAUUUUAAUUGUUUGGAUAAGAUUAGGGUGUGACAAUUUUAGUACUUAACAGUAGAAAUUAAAACAAUUGUAUAUGGGAACGAUACUCUUCUAAUCAUUAUAUUAUUUUUUCGAUAUGCGUACUUGCAUGGGUAGAAAAUUGAACAACAUAAGAUUAAACGUUUUUACGGAUUAGUUUUCAAUUUAAUCAAUUAAUAACAUAGAACUUGAAUUUUUCCAGCUUUGGUAAAUCCCUCUUGAUUUUGCUAAAAAUUUAAAGUUUAGAUUUUUGCAAUCCAGCUUCCAAGGUAUAGGUUUAACUCAUUGUUAAGGGAUUUGAGCUUGAAUGUUGGAUUGUUAAGAACUUAGUUAUUUAUGAAAUACUAGGUAUUUUUGAAAGUAGAAAUUUAAUUAUAUUUUGACUUUUUGAUGUGUUAAGGGAAAUCAGAGUUGAUUAACUCCUGGGUUAGUUGAGGACAAUUGGAGGCUAGAAUUAGAGACUUGGUGGUGGAAUGUGCCUUCGACUGUCAUAGUGAGUGGGUUAAAUUAAAUGCAUGUGAUGCAUGGUGCAUCAUAGAUGCGCUCCACUGGUACUAGAUUUUGUAGGUAGACCUAGAUGAACAUGACUAAGCUAGAGAACAAAUUAUGUGUAUAAAUGUAUAUGUAUAUGUGAUUGUAUAUGCUAUGAUGUGUGUGCCUUUAAUAUAAGCCACUUGGUGGCCUAUGUUGAUUGUGCGUAAACUAGGAAGUCUUUUGGAUAAUUAUGGAUGUCUAUGAGUGGAUUACUCUUGAUAAGUAAUCCUUUGGAGGACAUUGAUGAAUUGAUUUCUUAGGGAUUUAAAGGCACCACGAUGAGAUUGAGAUAGAGAUGUCUAGAGCUUAUAAAAGAAAUCUUAAAUACGAAAUGUGGUAUUGAUGAUACCUAGGGCAUGAUGGCCUCAUUGUGGAUUUGUGUUUUCGUCUGAUGCUAACAACUCUGGACUGUUGGUCCCAUUAAUAUGUGCUAGAGGGGGGGUGAAUAGCACAAUUUGGCUCUUGACAAGGUGUGGAACUAUUUUUCAGAACUAAAGAAAAUAAAAACAGAGUAUAAGAUGCACAACAAUUAAGAGUGGUUCGGUCCAAGACCUACAUCCACUACCUUGAUUAUCCAACCAAGGAUUUUCCCAACAAUUCACUAAGAAUCUAGUGAAAUUCACAAGCUUUCACCAAGCUUUUACAAUGGCUUUUUGCAGGCUCAGCCAAAACCUUUACACUAGUUUUUCACAGGCUCAACUAAAAUCCAAAGUGGUUUUCCAAGGCUCAACCACAACCUAUAAUAUUCAAGCUUUCCCAAGCUUGAACAACCCCUUAGAGUGACUCCCUCACUUUAAGUAUACAAGAAGAUAGGUUAAAGAAAGUACCUAUGAUCACAAGUUGAUCUGAAUGGUACAAGAUUGAGUGCUAAAUACAAUGGCAAAGAGUAGGCAUUUAAGUGCAGUGAAGCUUUUCUGGUUUUUCAACUUUCUACAGCUCAAAUCUCAUUCAAGGCUUCUAAAAACUUGUUUCUCAUUGUUGGAAGACCCUUUUAUACUUGGAGAUACAACUUUGAUGGCAGUUUGACAGUUUAUGGCCGUUGGAAACAGUUGAGGAUGAGUUUUAGCCGUUAAUCUAUCUUGUAGUGCUCUUGUUCAAAUUGUAGACAGAGAGCUCUUAGUCGAAUAACUUGGUUGACUAAGUUGAUUCUGUUUUUGGUUUGCAGAUUCUGGCAGAGGGCACUUAGUCGACUAACUUGGUUGACUAAGUUGGUUCUGUUUCUCAAACUCUUCAGCCCAACAUUUCUCCAAUUUGAAAUUUAGUCAACCAAUGUUCUUCUUUGUUUCACCAACAAGCUUCCUCCUUGUUAUUUAGUUACAUCUUGUUGAUUUUAUCCUCUUUUUCUUUCAAAAAUUCUCUUUGAAGAGUUAAAAAAUUAAUUUCAUAUAUUAAUUUCCUGCACACUCAAAUAAAUGUAUUAGACACAAAUAAAUGGAAAUAUUUUAUUAUCAUAAAAAACUAAUGGAGCCAACAAUCUCUCCCUUUUUGAUGAUGACAAAACAUUCCUUGAUUAAUAGCAUGGUGUCUUUUUACUCUUUUUAGUUUCCUGCAGAAAAUGGAGAUUACUCCCCCAAGUAUAAGCUCCCCCUUAGUUUGUGCAAACUUUGCUUACGUUUACUCCAGUCAAUUUCAUUUUUGUCAUAAGAGAGAAUGACAUUAAACAUUUUGAGUAUGCAUUUGUGCAAAAAUCUAGAAUGAUUUACAACAUUGAAAGUUAACAGAUUUUCAUAAAGAAUUCAGCAGAGUUCUGUCAACAGUCAUAUAAUUAUCAGAUUUUAUCUAUUCCAUGAUUCAAUUGACAUCCUAUGCACAACAUCUAUAUUUAUUUUCAACUAGAAAUUAUUCACAGUGCCACAAAAAAAUCAAUUAUCAGCAUAUAAUUCAAUAUCAAUGCAGUAGCAGAUUUUGUCAACAACAGUAAAAAUACCAAGGAUAGCAGAUUUCAAUUUCCAGCAGUCAAGCAUCAUAAUCAUAUCAGCAUCCAUUUUUUAAACAACCAUAUAGAUAACAAGAUUAAAACCAAGUGCUCAAGUGCCACCAUGGCAUAAAUAACAAUUAACCAAUAAGUAUUUCGAAACUGCCCCUGGACUAUUUUUGCUUCCUAUCUCCUAUUUUUCUAAGUUCAUUCAUCUUUGAUUCUGUCUUCUUUCCUUUCCUAAGUUCCUUCCUUGGUUUCUCUACCUUAACAUUUUUUUUAAAUUUUAUUCUUCUAGUUUCUGGUUCCUGCACCCAUUCUAUUCUACUCCCUAUUUUUGUCAGCAUCAAAGGGAAGGGCUUUUGUUCAUCUGAUGUGUCGGAAAGUGAGGAUUCAGUGCUGUAGAAAGGGUUGAGAGGAAACAAAAAGGGUUCUCAAAGAAGAGAUGACUUUCUAAGAGAGGAUUCUAGAGAAGAUUUGUCUGAAACAUGAACUAGACUGUGAAGAGAAGUGGCUAAAACUGGUUUGGACUUCUCUGCCAAUCUAGAAGACUUUCUUUUUUUAAGAAAAGCUGUCUUGGUUGCCAUAAUCUUCCUUCCUUUGGUUGGUUGUUUUGCCUCAGCUGGUGGUGCUGUGGUGGUUUCUAAUUUCCCUAUUUUGCCUUUAGUUUGGGAGUUGAAGCAGGUUUCUUUCCUUUUCUUACAUUUGCACCAUCCUUCUGAGUUGCUAUCUUGACAGUGUCUUUUUCAGCUUGUUCAUCUUUGACCAUUUGGUGAAAAAUGUCCAUAAUGGAAACUUCCUCUGAAUUUGGAGAAGAGACCUGAUGUUUCUCAAUUUCUGCACCAACUACUUCAGUCCCUUGUUCUAAGUCAUUUUUGCUUUGAGGUUCAGAGGAUGGUGUUUUAGCUAGUUGAUCAACUCCUUGUGGGGAGUCCUCAGUUUACAGAAUAGGACUGGUACACUUAUAAGUAGAGCUUUCAGCUUGAGUGCCAGAACUUCCAAUAUGAGGAGCAAACUUCCCUGCUGGCUCUAUUGAACCUUCAACACCUUGCUGUGCAGGUGCAGUGCUGGAUGUGGCAGAAUUGUCUGCAGCCACAAGUUGAGAUGCCAUGUUUUCCUUCUCCUUCAGCUUGUUUUCCAACUUAGUGAUUUUAUCUUCCAUUUUUCGUAGCUUCACUCCUUGGUCAAUUAACUUACCAUCAAUCCUCAUAAGCAAAUUAAAAAUCAUCUCAUUCGAAAAUCUGGAAAGAGCUUCUUCAAGUUGAGCAGGCAGACUGUGAUCUUUUCUUAGGCCAGUUUUGGAGGUUUUAAUAAACUUAUCUCCAUCGAGCACAUACCCCAUCUUAACUAAGCUGCCAUAAUAAACGGCUUGGUCUCUGAUUUUUACUAGGUCCAUAUCAUACCUUUUAGCCCAUAUUCCUUUUUUCUGCACAAGGGAUGUAAUCACAUUCCCAUAUGGCAGAUUGACCUUAUCAAGUUUGCAGGCACUUCUCAUUUUCUCAAUCAUAAAUCUCCCCAGAUUUAGAGACACUCCAUUAAAAGCAUGCUCUAUCAGCCAAAGAUCCUGGAGGCUGAUGUAGCUAUGACUUCCACUCCUCCUUUGAAUAUUUACUGCAAUAAAGUAAUGCAGUAUCCUAAUCUGUGGAUUGAUUAUCAGACCUAAAUUACUUUUAGAGGAGUAUUUUUCAUUCCUUCCAGUGAUGAUCUCCCACAGUGAGGACGGAUCAUAUUUUUUUGGAAGUUCAAAUUCACCUAUUUCACCCUUUAUUUUCAGCAGGGUCCUUAAAUCUCCAGCAAUCACAAUAAACUCUUUUCCAUUCAAAUAGACAUUCAAGCCAUCUUCUACAUAGUCAUCAGAAUCUAUUAAUUCUCUUUCUUUUAGAGCAAUGCCAGAGUAAAAUUCUUUAACUAGACUUGGACUAUAUGACCUAUUCUUAAAGGUGUUGUAACCUUUAAUUUUCAGCUCAUCAAAGUACUCAAAUAGACUGGUCUGGAUUUCUACAUUUUCCUCAAAACUCUUCCAAUCAAUAAACUUUUCAUAGGAGAUUGGUGCAUUUUCUAUAUUCUUGAAUCUAUACUUAUGUAGCUUAUUUUUAAAUUUUGAAGAAUAAGAGAAACUGAUACCUUUUUGGAGUGAGGGUUCUGUAUCUUUCUUCUUGUCUGUUUUUUGCUUCUUUUCUCUUAGUGUCUCGACUAUUUCCGUCAUUGAAGUGGGCACGAUUUUCUGUUUCUUCUUUUGACUUUUUAUUCCAGUUUCUUCCUCCAUUGGCCUUUUUUCUUUCUUCUUCUCUGAUACGUUUUUACUCUGAGAUGUUCUAGCCAUUUUGAUUCUAGAAAUUUCUGAAGGUCUGAGUCGGUUUGAGAGGCAACUAGGAAGAUUUAGGUUUUUAUUUCUAGAGCAACGGGUUACAAAGAAGAGGGAAGAAGAGGGAAGAAGAGGUUAGCAGUAGUUAUUUCUCAAAAAACUUCUCAUCUUCCUUUAAGAACUGCCCUACUUUUAUUUCCUCAUAUUUUUAAAUCUCCCUCUAAAAUUUUGAUUAUUUACCUUUGGCAGCUCUGCUCUAUUCCUCUUUACACUUGGUAAAUCAAAUUUUUACCACAAUUUACUCUUAUUUCUUUAAACUCAUUGUGUCUUAUUAUUUAAGGAUGUUAGGCCACUCUUAGUUGACUAAGAAUUCCUUAGUUGACUAAAUGCAUUCUGUUUUCAAUGUGAGAGCCAAGAUUUUCUUAUAAUUCUUUUACAUUAACCAUCCCCAAAUUUCUUCUAAUCUCACAAAAUCUAUCUUCACUUAGUGGUUUGGUAAAAAUGUCUGCUAAUUGAUGUAAGGUAUUCACAAAUUAUAUCUUAAUAUCAUUUUUCAUCACAUGAUCUCUAAUAAAAUGAUGUCUAAUUUCAAUGUGCUUUGUCCUAGAGUGCUGCACAGGAUUUUUGAUAUAUUGAUAGCACUUGUAUUAUCAUAGUAUAUCGGUACAUUAUGCAUAGUUAUUCUAUAGUCUUUUAAUUGUUGCUUGAUCCAAAGGAUUUGUGCAUAGUAGCUACCUAAUGAUACAUAUUCAGCCUCUACUAUAGACAGUGCCACUAAGUUCUGCUUUUUGCUGGACCAAGACAUAAGCAUCCUUUCUAAAAAUUGGCAUGUUCCACUAGUGCUUUUCCUAUCAGUUCUGCUGCUAGCAAAGUCAGCAUCUGAAUAUCCAACUAAGUUAAGAGUUGAGUUUCUAGAGUACCAUAUUCUUAGUUCUUGAGUGUCUAUGAGGUAUCUAAAAAUUCUCUUAACAGCUGUUAGGUUUGAUUCUUUAGGUUGUGACUGAAAUCUAGCACACAAGCACACACAAAACUGAAUAUCUGGUCUACUUGCUAUUAAGUAGAGAAGAGAGCCGAUCAUACCUCUGUAGAGCUUUUGAUCUACAUCUUUACCUUUUUCAUCUAAGUCGAGUUUGGUGGAUGGACUCAUUGGUGUGGAAAUUGAUUUCAGCUUUAGCAUAUCGAAUUUCUUGAGCAUAUCAUAAGUAUAUCUUUCUUGGUUGAUGAAGAUUCCUUCUUCACUUUGUUUGAUUUGAAGACCAAAGAAGUACUUUAACUCUCCCAUCAUGCUCAUCUUAAAUUCACCCUGCAUUUCCUUUGCAAAGUUCUUGCAUAAAGCUUCAUUAGUUGCACCAAAUAUAAUAUCAUCCACAAAUAUUUGCAGAACAAUUAAAUCAUUUAGAUAUCUCUUAAUGAACAAUGUAGUAUCGAUGCUGCCUCUAUCAUACCCUUUUUCAACUAGAAAUUUUGAGAGCCUUUCAUACCAAGCUCUAGGAGCUUGUUUGAAUCCAUACAAGGCUUUAUGAAAUUUGAAAACAUGAUCAGAUUUUUCAAAGUCUUCAAAACCUGGUGGUUGUUCUACAUAUACUUCCUCUUGAAUUAAUCCAUUUAAGAAUGCACUUUUGACAUCCAUUUGGAACAAUUUAAAAUUCAUGAAACAUGCAAAAGCUAGCAACAACCUUAUAGCUUCAAUCCUAGCAACCGGAGCAAAAGUUUCAUCAUAAUUUAUUCCUUCUUCUUGGUUGUAUCCUUUUGCUACCAACCUAGCUUUAUUUCUAACUACAUUUCCUUGCUCAUCUCCCUUAUUUCUAAACACCCAUUUUGUACCAACAAUAGGGUGAUUUGAAGGCAUAGGUACUAAUGACCAUACAUGACUCCAUGUGAAUUGAUCAAGUUCUUUUUGCAUGGCCAUUAUCCAACUUUCUUCUUUUUCAACUUCUUCAAAGUUUUUAAGUUCAAUUUGAGAUAUAAAAGCUGAAAACUCACAAGUUUCUCUAGUUGCUUUCCUAGUUUUAACUCCUUGAGAAAUCUCACCAAUUAUUUGGUCUGGUGGGUGAUCUCUCACAAAUCUCCAACUCCUUGGUAGAUCAUCAUGCUGAUUUUUUGCUCUUUGCAGAUCUUCUAGAGGUGGAGUUUCAUCUUCUCUUCUAGGUGAGCUUUCUUCAUUAUUUUUGUUGUUUCCUAAGCUCAUUUCCUCCAUUUGUUUUUCUAGGACUUCUACAUCAUCAUCAUCAUCAUGAACUUCUUUUUGUAAAGCAUUUGACUCAUCAAAACUUACAUGGACUGAUUCUUCAACAAUUAGGGUCUUUUCUUUGAGUUUAAUGCAUAUCCUAAAAAUAUUGCUUCAUCAGUCUUUGCAUCAAACUUCCCUAGGGGCUAUUUUCCAUUGUUCACUACAAAGCAUUUACAACCAAAACUCCUAAGGUGAGAAAUAUUUGGUUUCCUACCUUUGUAAAGUUCAUAUGGAGUCUUUGAAAUCAAGGGUCUUAUUGAGACUCUAUUUAGAAUAUAAGCUGCUGUAUUUACUGCCUUAGCCCAAAGAUAUUUAGGUAGGUUGUUCUCACAUAACAUGGUCUUAGCCAUUUCUUUUAAUGUUCUGUUUUUCCUCUUUACAACUCCAUUUUGUUGGGGUGUUCUAGGUGCAGAAAAAUUAUGAUCUAACCCUUUUUCAUUGAAAAAUUUUUCAAACUCAUCAUUCUCAAAUUCUUCUCCAUGAUCACUCCUUAUGCUAACUAUGGCUAGUCCUUUUUCAUUUUCUACUUUCUUACAAUAACUUAAGAAUGCUUGUAGAGCAUCAUUCUUAUGAGCAAGGAAGUACACCCAAGUAUAUCUAGAAUAGUCAUCAACUAUUACAAAGCCAUAAGAUUUACCUCCUAAGCUAGUUGUGCUUAUUAGACCAAAUAGAUCAAUGUGCAACAAUUCAAGAGGUUUAGAUGUUGACACUAUUUUCUUAGUCUUAAAGAAUGUUCUAACUUGUUUUCCUAGUUGGCAAGCAUCACAUAUCCUAUGAUUUUCAAAUUUCAAUUCCGGCAGUCCAGCAACAAGAUUUUUCUUUAUUAAUUUAUACAUAGUAUGCAUGCUCACAAGUCCUAAUCUCCUAUGCCAUAACCAACUAUCAUUUUCAGCAUUUGCAACAAGACAUACUUCACUAUUCACAUCAAGGUCUUCAAGAAAAAUUACAUACAUGUUCUUCAACAUUUUUCUUAUAAAUGAGAUUUUAUUUGUACUCAUAUCAAUCAUUUCACAUUUAGUUGAAUCAAAACAUACUUUAAAUCCUUUAUCACAUAAUUGACUAAUACUUAGUAGAUUAUGCUUUAAGCCUUUAACUAGCAACACAUGACUAAUUUGAGUUUGGAAACUCUUACCAACCGUACCUAUACCAUGGAUUCUGCCUUUUGAAUCUUCUCCAAAGGAUACGAUUCAUCCUUUUCUCUUAUCCAACUGAGCAAACAGCAUUUCGUGUCCUAUCAUGUGCCGUGAACAGCCACUAUCCAAGUACCAAGGCUGUUUCUUCUUGAGUUGAGCUCUUGAACAUGUCUCUUUUAAGUCCAACUCAACCUACAAAAUAGAAUUUCACUUUUUCUUUAUAGGUACCCAUUCUUUGAUGGGUCCUUGAGUGUUAGUUGCAGUAAAGGAUCCCUUAAGAACCAAAAUUUUCUUAACUUUCUGCACUUUUCUUUUCUUAAAACAGUCAUAUGACAAAUGACCAUGUUUACCAUAAUUAUAACAUCUAGGUAAUGCUUUAGCUGAAUAUUUAUUGUGGUAUGCAUCUCUUUUUGAAGAUUCAUUUUUCAAACAUUUAAGAGUUGCGUUUUCAUCAAGAGUUAUUUGCAAGGCUUUAGACUUGUUUUCCAGCUCUUGUUGUUAAAAACUCAAAGUCUGUUUUUGAGUGUUCUAACUCAACUUGCAAAAUAUUUCUUUUCUCAAAAACAGAGGUGAACUCUUGUUUGAUUUGUUCCAAAUCAUUUUCAAGUAAUGCAGCAUUUUUCUUCAAUGAUUUGUAUUUUGAAAAAAGUUUUUCAAAUUCAUCAUAAAGGCACUCAUACUUAUCCUAUAAAUCAUCAUAAGAAUUAAUGCGGGGGGAUUAGGGUACCUCUAUUUCAUCCUCUUGUGCCAUUAAACAGAUGUUUUCUUUUUCCUCAAAUUUUUCAUCAUCAGUUUUAGAGCUUGAUGUGUCACUACCCGACCAUGCAGCAGCCACCAUUGCUUUCUUGGAUUUCUUAUUUUUCUUGGGGGUUUCAUCUUUCAGCAAUGGACAUUCGGACUUAAAGUGACCAGGUUUCUUGCAUUCGUAGCAGAUCAUCUCCUCUUUUUUGUUGGAGUCAUUUUUGUUCUUCAUUUUCCAUGAAGCACCUUGGUCUUUCCUGGAACCUCUUCUAGUUAGCCUUCGAUUUCUUCUGCUCAUAAGUUUUCUGAAUUUUCUUACAACUAGAGCUAAUUCUUCAUCAUCAUCAUAGGAAAGCUCUUCCAACUCUUCUUUAAGGAUGCUGGCUUUAAGUGCAAUGCUCUUUUUCUUUUCCUUUGCUUCCCUUCGAUCUUCUUAUUCUUUUUCUUUAAGCUCCAGCUCAUGAGUGAGAAGAGAACCACAAAUCUCAUCGAGAGUGAUGAUGUUCAGAUCUUUAGCCUCUCUAGUGACAGUCACUUUUGGUUUUCAGGAUUUUGGUAGGCAUCUAAGCAGUCUCUUAACUAAUUCAUGCUCAAGGAUAGGCUUGCCUAGCUGACUUAAUUUAUUUGUAAUGUUUGUAAACCUAUCAAACAUGCUAGUGAUGUCUUCACUAGGCUCCAUUUUGAACAUUUCUAACUAUGUGUUAAGAGAGCAAUUUUGGACUCCUUUACUUGAGAAGUCCCUUCAUGGAUUAUUCUAAGUUUUUUCCACACUUGUUUAGCUGUUGUACAGCUUGAAACUUUGUUAAAUUCAGUGGGGGUCAAGGCAUAAUGUAAUGUGUUGAUGGCCUUAAAGUUUAUUUGAACUUUCUUAGUUUCAGCCUUAGUCUAUUCAGACCUUGGCUUGGGCAUCAACUCAUUUGUCACUACAUUCACGGUUGAGGGCAUAAAGGGUCCAUCAGUUAUGACGUCCCACAUUUCAUAGUCUAUAGCCCUAAUAUAGAUUGACAUUCUUGUGCUCCAAUAAGGAUAAUUAGAGCCAUCAAACAGAGGUGGUCUGUUUGUUGAUUGUCCUUUAGCAACUAUGGUUUUUUAUUGAGCCAUUUGGAUCUUCACAAAGGAUGUUAAACCUUAAAAAUAGGGAACUAGCUAUGAUACCAAUUGUUGAUCCCGUUAAUAUAUCCUAGAGGGGGGGGGGGUGAAUAACACAAUUUGGCUCUUGACAAGGUGUGGAACUAUUUUUCAAAAACUCAAGAAAAUAAAAACGGAGUAUAAGAUGCACAACAAUUUAGAGUGGUUCGGUCUAAGACCUACAUCUACUACCUUGAUUAUCUAACCAAGGAUUUUCCCAACAAUUCACUAAGAAUCCGGUGAAAUUUACAAGCUUUCACCAAGCUUUUACAAUGGCUUUUCGCAGGCUCAGCCAAAACCUUUACACUAGUUUUUCACGGGCUCAAUUAAAGCCCAAAGUGGUUUUCCAAGGCUCAACCACAACUUAUAACAUUCAAGCUUUCCCAAGCUGGAACAACCCCUUAGAGUGACUCCCUCACUUUAAGUAUACAAGAAGAAAGGUUAAAGAAAGUACCUAUGAUCACAAGUUGAUGGUACAAGAUUGAGUGCUAAAUACAAUGGCAAAGAGUAGGCGUUUAAGUGUAGACAAGUGCAGUGAAGCUUUGCUAGUUUUUCAACUUUCUAUAGCUCAAAUCUCAUUCAAGGCUUCUAAAAACUUAUUUCUCAUUGUUGGAAGACCCUUUUAUACUUGGAGAUGCAACUCUGAUGGCAGUUGGAAACAGUUGAGGAUGAGUUCUAGCCGUUAAUCUAUCUUGUAGUGCUCUGGUUCAAAUUACAGACAGAGAGCUCUUAAUUGACUAACUUGGUUGACUAAGUUGAUUCUGUUUCUGGUUUGCAGAUUCUGGCAAAGGGCACUUAGUCGACUGAUUUUCUAAUAUUCCUUAUACCCAUUCUUUUCAAGCCUAAACACUUAGCUCAUUAGACUUUAAGAGGCAUUUAUUGUUUUUCAUCUAUUGUAAAACUCUAAAUGGUUAUGCCUUAGCCAUUAAAAGGUAGAUUGUAGAGGUUAUACCUUUGCCUAAGUAAAAGGUAGUGAGGUUGUGCUUGAUCCUUGGAAAAGGCAUUGUGAAGGUUAUGCUUGAUCUUGUAAAAAGACAUUGUAAAGGUUAUGCUUGAGCCUUGACAAUGUAUUUUCAUAAUGGAUUUGAAAUUUUAUAGUUAGCUAAGGGAGAUGAUGUAGGCAAGGAGGCUGAACCUUUAUAAAAGUAUUGUGUCUUUGAUUUUCUUUUUCUCUGCACUUAGCUUAUUAGUCUUAUUUCAAAAGAAGACCAAUUUUUCACCAAGGUUGCAAGAAUUUUUCAAAAAGCCCAAUUCACACUCCCUUGGUUUUAUUCAUUUGAGCUUAUUGCAUUAAUAACUUUGCAGUUUUUGUCGAAAAAGAUCCUAAUGGGAAGAAUUUGUCAUCAAAGGUCCACAUGCUAAUUCAGAUGUUGGUGUAGUAAAGUUAUAGUAGGCACCCUAAUCCUAAGUGUACAAGUGAGUAUAAGUGGUCUCUUGUCCUUUAAUUGCUAAGACUAAGCAUGCGAGUAAAACUUCAACUAAAAGGUUAUGUCGUCACCACAUUUCUUUAGCUUUAAAGUUGUAAUAAUAAUAAUUAUUAUCAUUAACUAAUAAAAUAAAGUCCAUGGAUUAAAAUAUACUUUGCAAAGAGAAUUAUAAAGUUCUAUAAUUGUGAGAUCCUUACUACAUCCAAACAUGCUGGUAAUAAUUAUGAACUAUAAUCUCAAGUAAAUUCAGAUUAAAUAAUCAAACUUUUUUGCAUUCAUCAUCAAUUUCCAAAUUGAUUAGUUCAUAGUUGUCAGUCAAGAUUGACAUUUAGCAUUGUGUCAUGACUACCUAAAUAUUAGAAAAAGUCAAAGAGGUUUGACUCAACUUUUCAAUGUUUAGUCUUUCAGUAUAACUCAAUCUUUUAUCAUCCAACAUCUUAAUAAGAAAAAGCAUGGCUUAUUGUCUACUCUAUAAUUGUCUUUAUGCUUUUAGUUCUCAAAGCUUGUCCUUAACUCCCUCAUGAAAUUCAAAAAACUCAUUUCUUUAUAAUUUGUCUUAACUCAUGGUUUACUAAAUGCUGAGCUCGGUUUCACUUGAAGUUUGUUCCCCACUGUCAUCCACGUGGACUAGUAAGGCAGCUUGAUCCUCACCCACUACAAGCUUAAAAUGGAUUAAGUUCAAUUUAAGUGGGAGUGUUUCACUAGCCCAUGCGAAGGUUAUUACCUCCCAAAAGCGUAACUACUUAAUUCCCUCCUAAUAAAAGAUGUAGCUUGAGUAAAAGGCUCAUGCAUGAAUGCCAAUUUGUUGUGUUUGUGUGAAGGAAUGGACUAGCCUUUGACCACUCAUCUCAUACCUCUCUAUCCUAAAUAUUUGCAUUUAUUAAAACAAAUUGAUCAAUAAAUGACAAUAAAUAAACAUGUAACCAUCAAAAAGUGAAUAAAGUAAUGCUAUCUAAGAUUAAAUAAAUUAUCAUCGAUUAAUUAAUGUUUAGGAUAACUUGUAAUUAUUUACUAGUUUGGCUCUCAAAGUCCCUAGUUGAGUUGCCAAAUUGUCGCUAUGUGCGAGUUUGAGAACUCGUUUGCCUUGAUGUGGAAAUUUGGAGUUGCCACUAAUCAUUUUUUGUAAAGUGCGAAUAACCACCUGUUAAACUUUUUCUCUUUGAUGAGGUGGUAAAUUAAUUUUAAGUCUAUCUAAGGAACAAAACCUGGUUUGUGUGUUUUUUUGAGUUGGUUGGGAGUACGGUUACGCACGGAGAAAGAUUAGCACCCUCAUGACGCCUGUUCAAUGAACGUUACCAAAUAAUCACUUAUUAUCCUAAUUUAACUUUAAUAUUUAAUUUUAUUCUUAUAUAUCUCUUUAUACAUUAUUCUUUGAUUGUACUUUUAAUUUUUACUCAUUGUUAAAUAUUGGAGACUUUCUUAACACCCCUCCAACACUCUAGUAGGGAUUUUUUGAAAAUCCUCCUCUCCUCGAUAGUAUGCGAAAAGGCAUACUUAUCCCUUUCGAGGAGGCUUUGUCAUUAGGUUUUACUUAACCAUUAUGAUUUUUGGAUUUGGAUUUUACAUGUUUUAUUCUUUCUUGUCCUUUUGGUUUCUCUUUUUUAAAAAAAUUAUUUUCAUUAUUUUUUUACCUUUAUAUAUUCUUUUUAUCGAUACAUGAAUGAAAUCUUCAUCUUAGAGAAAUAUUCCAAGACGAUCCCAACUCUUUGGUGAAGUCUAAGGAUUUCUUCUUACUUAGGGAAUUUUUUGAGAAAGUUCGUCUCCACAAGCCCUUAAGAAGAUCCCAUUAUUAGAGGUUGUCACUUACAAAUUAGAUACACAUCAUUAACGUACAUGAUGCAACUAUGAAAAGAUAAUUUGUUUUUUCAAUUUUUAAUAAUGGGGAAAAAAUCUUGUAUUGAAAAAAUCAUUCAUAGGUCAUCCCAACUCUUUGGUGAAGUCUUGAACUUUUUUCUCACUUAGGGAAAUUCCUAAGAAAACUCGUCUCUAUAAGCUUCUCAGCAAAAUCCAUCAUUGGGUUUUUAUGCUAAUUAACAAGAUAAUUGACUCGUAUGAGAUGCAAAAUCAUGGAUGAUGCAAAAUGAAUGCAUUAAUAAAAGUGAUAUUUGAUUUAUAACCUUGUGAUUAUAUAAUUGAUGUUUUACUUUAAUUGAAUACUUUUUAUUCUUAUUAGAUUUUAAAAUCAUUAUUUGAAUUAAUGGAGUUCUGGAAUAUAAAAUUAAAAUUUUCCCAAUGCUUUGGUAAAAACCAUAAUUAAAUUCCUCAUUUAGGAAAUUCAACUAAAAAAUGUGACUCUUCAUAUUCUAGAAGAGAUUCCUUCCUCUGAGUAAUUCAAAUAACAUUUUAUUUUAAUAAUAAAUUAACAAUAACAACAAUAGUAACGUUUAAAAAAAAAGAAAUAAUAAAUUAUCAAUAACAACAAGGCAGAUGAAAUCUUGACAAAAAUUUCAUGUCCCAAUUGUCUUUAAUCAAAAAAUUCAGUACUAUAAAUUUCGUUUUCUUUCUAUUCAUUUUUAUAUCACAAAAUCUAAACAUGUAUACAAUUCCAUUCUUUCUUUCAUCUAUAUCAUAUUCAUAUGAUUCAGAAUUCAUAUAAAAAAGUCAUAUUUUUACUCCUAUUUCAUGGGCUUGGUUUUAUUUAACUCAUGUAAAAAAAAAUUCAAGAAAACACAAACAAAUUACUUGGUGUAGGGAAUUAGGGUACCUGGCUUGUAUAUUUGUCUUAACUAGAUGAUUUCACAACUUGUUGAUGCCAUUGAUCUAUACUCAGCUUUUAUAAGUUUCGAGCCACAAUCGAUUGUUUCUUUGAUUUCCAUGUUACCAAAGAACUUCCAAUGAACACAUUAAAACUUGUGAUUGACCUUUUAGAAUCAGUGCAACCUACCUAAUCAUUGUCUCAGUAAGCUACCAUUUUUAAAUCUAAUUUUGAUCUCAUCAGAAUGCCCUGACCAAGUGAUCCUUUUAAAUACUUUAAUACUUUGUGAGCUAUUGCUAAGUGUUUAGGUUCGGGCUUGUCCAUAAACUAUGACAAUACCUAGAUUGCAUAGGAUAUAUCUUGCCUGUUAAAUGUACGGUAGAGUAAUUUUCUAACCAACUGUUUGUAACUUGUUGGAUUAGCUAACUUUUCUUCAUCUUCAAUCCUCACCAACUUGUGAUUAUAGUCAAUAGGUGUAGAAACUGUUUUGACACCAACUAGAUCAAGCUCUUCUAAAAGAUCUAGAGUGUAUUUCUUUUGGCAUAUGGAAAUAACUUCAAAUGAUCUUGCUAUUUCCAGUCCCAAAAAAUAUUUGACUGUCUCAAGAUCCUUGAGUUUGAAAAUCAUAUACACAUAUACAUAUUUAUACAUAUCAAUUCUCUAGCCUAGGCAUUUUCGUCUAGGCAUACCUUAUACACACACACAUAUAUAUAUAUAUAGUUUUCUAGCCAAGGUUCAUUCGUCUAGGCAUUCAUCAUUUAUCCUAGUUGUGAGACCUCGACCUCCAUAGACACGUAAUUAGAAGUAGAUGCGAUAAAACGAACUAGGGGUAAUUUUAUCAUUUUUCUUAGUGAGCCCCUAAAAAUAUGCUUUUAAACAUUAUUAAGGCCUAAGUAGGCCUAAGGCAUAAAUGAAUGAUGAAAAUAAGGAUAAAAUGACGAAAAAAAUAGAAAUAAUGAUGAUUUCCAAGGUAGAGGCAAAAUGGUCAUUUUUCAUCUCAAGUUGAAAUUUCUAAGUUUCAUGAACCCGAGCAUUUUUAGACUAUUAUGGACUUUGUCUUAGUGUCAAAGGAGUAAAAAGAUUACAUAAAGGAUUGGAGGAAGACAAAGCCAACUUGUUAGGGGCAUUUUCAUAAUUUAAGUGGAGUUUGGAUAAGCUUUAGCUAUAAAUAUCAUUUUCCAGAAGCUUCUUCUCAUUUUUCCAGUAGCUUCUUGUUCUUCUUCUUCCUCCCAUCUCACGUUUCUUUCAUCUUCCAUGGAAGCUUGAUUUGAAACCUCCAUAACUUCUCUCAAGUUAGCUCUAAUUUUCAUGCUUUUGUGCACUUUUUCAUAGAACCUUUUGUGCUAUUUCACUCUCUCACUUUAAAACCCUUGAAAAGUCUUACUUCCAUACUUCCUCUAACUAGCUAGGUGUUUUAAAGAGAGAAAGAAAGAGCUUCUAUAAUAGCUUGAAAAUUUUUGGAAAGAAAUUCAAUUACAAAGCUACCAAGGUGAGUAGUGAAUUAGAGUUGAUUUUUAAGUUGUUGAAAAUGGCUAAUGGAUAGAUUUGUGAAUGUUUUGUAGUUAAGGAUAUUUAUUCAUCUUUAAUGUGAUUAGAAUAGUGAAAGUAAAUAGCCGCUUAAUGGCAAUCGGAAGCUAGUUAGGGAUAAAUAGUAGAACAUGAUUUAGGAGAUAGCUUUUAGAAUUAUGGUUAUGUGAAUUGAGUUGAUUUGUGAUGCUAUUGUGUGUGAUAGGUUUCAACGAGACCCAUUGGGUCCAUGCACUGGUCAUGGCCCAAAAUUUGGGUCGUGACAUUAGUACCAUGGUAGCGCAUAUAUUAUGCAAAAUGCAUCACAUGCAUUUAAUUAAAUUCCACUCACCUUGACAAUCGAAGGCUCAUCCUUAGCCUCCAACCGUCCUCCAACUCACUAGUGCAUCAAUAGCCUCUAUUCUCCCUUUAGAUAAAUGAAACCAAUAUGAAAAUAUUUAUUUCUUAGCUUUCGAAAAUAUCCUAGCUUUUCAAAAAUACUAAAAUCCAAUAUGUAAGCUCAAUCUUUCAACAAAUGAGCUAAACCAUUACCUUAAAAGCUAGGUUGCCCAAAUCUAGAAUCGAAAUCUCCAAUGAACUCAAUGGGAGAGAGUUUGACCAAAUUUGAAAAUAUUUGAAUUCGAAGUUAUUAAUCGAUUAAAUUGAAAAUCAAUCGAUAAAAAUGCUUAAUCUUACCUCUGGAUUAUUUCCCAAGCUUGGAUCUAGCUCAAAUGGGCUCCAAAUGGCAUUUGGGAGCUUAGGGUUUUCUAUGGGGUAGAGAAAGAAUGAGAGAAAGUGCUGAGAGAAUGAAAAAAGAUAAAAUGGCCCGAAACCCCUUUUUAUUUUUGCCUUUUCUCUUAGAUGUAUCGAUACAUUUGGCAAUGUAUCAAUAGAUCUGCCCUAAUUUCGAAUGAAUGUAUCAAUACAUUAAGGCAAUGUAUUUAUACAUUUUGGGCAAAAUAGUCCCAGGUGCUUGUGCUUCAAAUGUAUUGAUACAUUGGGGCAAUGUAUCAAUACAUGUUCAUCUUUCCAAGAAUGUAUCGAUACAUUUGCUAAUGUGUCGAUAAAUCUCGCCCAGAUUGCACCUUUCCUACACCCAAACUUCCAAAAAAAAUCAGGACUUAACACCCUAAAAUCAUUUCCUGUUGAUCUCAUAUCUCUAAUAACUCAUUUAAUUCAAUUCCUUAUAAAUAUAUACUCCAAUAUGCAUCAAAUUAAAUCAAAUCCUCAAUCUAUAGGAUUAAUUCAUCAUUUUCAUCAAUAUUUACCUUAAUGUUAUACUUAGAUGUCAAAGUGCCAAACAUUUGCACAACUACAUUAAGGAUCUUAAUUUGCACCCACAUUCAUAGUCAUUUACCUCUAGACAUAAUUGUAAUAAUCAAAGCUUAAAUAACUCCUUAAAUCACUUGGCCAUUAUCACAUAUAGGCCAUACAAAAAAUUAGGGGUGUUACAAGCUUGGUGUUGAAGAUGUCAAUCCUAAUUUGAAUUUUUUACUUGUAGGAUCGAGCUUUCAAACGUUGAUGUCGAUCUUAUACCCCAGAGUUUGAAUUAUUUCCCUAUUUCUUUUUCAAGGAUCGAGCCAUUGAGUGUGAAGGUUGAUUUUCCAAGCCUCUAGUGGUUCUUUUUCAAUUUUGCUUCCUUCUAGGAUUGGGCUUGGCUUGUCUUUUGUUGACUCUACAAGCUUCCUUUGCAUUUCCUUCAUUUUGUAUUAGGAUUGAGCUUUGUAGCAUGGAUGUUGCUCUUGAACCAAUAGCUUUUUUUCGUCCUUUCGUUUUUUGUGUGCUUAGGAUUGAGCUUUAAACUAAGGAUGUCAAUCUUAAACCAAUCCCCAUGUUUGCUCUCUGUUUCCUCCAAGAUUGACCACUCAUCAUGAAGAAGCUGAUCCUCACAAUUGAAAACUUAAAGUUUGAAAGCUUUUUUAUUUCUUCUAAGUGUAAAAGACUUGUCAAACAUUUUCUAAGACUUUAAGGGAUUAAAAAGUGUUCAGUAUGACAUGAUUAGAUUAAAAAUGCAAUAAAAUAAAAAAAAUGUCAUACCUACCUUAGAUCACCUUGUUGUUUUUAAUGCGAACAGAACAUUAUGAGAAAUGCAAUCAAAAUUUAUUACCUUUCCAAAUAAUAUCAUAAUCAAAUGGUAUCCUUUUGAUGUUUAAAGCCUGUGUACACCCCAUAGUGUGUAAGAACCCAAGCCACUCACUCGCUUGGCUUCUAAUGUUGUACACACAGCCGCAAUGGAAUCUUUAGCAGGAUGAAAGCUUUCAACUAUGCCUUUGUGCCAGCGACAUGGACAACAAAUUGUCUUUCUCUUCUUUUCUUAGUCUCUAGCCAAAUCACAUAAGAAAUUCUUCGAAAAGGCUCUCACAAAGGAUGGCAGCACUAAAAAUUGUUAAAAAAAAACUAAUAAUUAGAAGUGGUUGAAACGAUGACUUUAUACUUAGGUUAAUUAACUUAUUAAGUUUGCUAAUAAGUCUUCAAUAGUAUAACCUCUUAUAAUAUUGGCCUUAGCACUUAAUUAAACCAUUUUAAUCAAGUCCUUAUUAGUUAGUUAAACUAGUUUAUGAUUUAAGUCCAACUUAAAUCGUCACAUUCCCAAUUUAAUCCAUAAUGCAACUUUAUGUGUGACCCAUUAAGUUCCUAACAUGUUGACAAUGAAAUUGAAUUAUUAAUCUUUAUUGAUUAAUUUAAAUGAAUCCAAUUCAUAUUAAAUUAAUCAAUUCAAUUCCAUAGACCAAGAUCGACAUCUAGCAAUGCAUCAUGACCACCUAAUUGUUAGGAGAGUCAAAGGGUUCUUUGACAACCUUUUAAUGUACAGUUUAUCAAUGUAAUUCAUUCUCUUAUCAUAUAUCUCGAAGAUGAAAAGAGCUUGGUGCAGUGUCUUGUUUUAUUGACCUCCAUAUUUGUUCCUACAAUUAGAUUAUUAGUUUUAUAGAGACUUAUGAAACUCAUUCAUAAUCUUCUGAUCACCUUGGGCAAGGAUUUGAUUAAGCUAAUAUCAACCGAAAACUAAUGAGAUAUUUCCCUGUGAAUCACUUGGGGUGAUGAUUUUUAUCUUGACCAUUCAUUCGCCUUUUUAUUCAUACUAUACUCAUAAGCAUCCAAAUUUGGCAUCUUUGGUAGGACUUAUAAGGAUGACAUUAAAUUAUAGUACUCCACAUAUAAGACAACCUGGUGUCUCAAGUCUAAGGAGCAGUUACAUGAUUGAUACAUAAGAAGUAUUGCAGAGACACUAAAGUGAGAUAUAAAAUGCACUUUUCAUCUCAGGUCAUGUUCAGUGAACUUGCUCUCCCAUGGCAAACACCCACAUGCUAGUUCCAAGUAUCUCUAUACUUCAACCUAUGAAAGUGAUUGCUUACUUUACAAGUAAAGAACAUAAUAUGGGCCGAUCUUUGAGCAUUAUUGAUGCCUCGUCUUAAUAAUACAAUGAUCAGGAGCUUUUAAUGAUAAUGCUUUGAUGCAUUAAGAUAUCAUAAUUGUAUUGUAACACCCCGUACCCUCGUAUAGAAGCCAAUACAACCUUAUCGACAAGACGAAGGGUCAAUUGACGUAAAUCUAAGUGCCAAAGAGUGGUGACGGCUGAAAGGAAUAUUUUAAAAUAAAAUAUUUCAUACAUGAAAAAAUAAUAAUAUUUUAUCAAGGAUGAAUUAGCGAGUUAAAAGGCAAUUUGGAAGUGAACCGGGACUAAGUGAGAUAUUUUGAGACCCAGGGAGACAAGUGGAGGAUUAUGGAAUAAAAUAAUAUUUUAUUAAUAAAAUAAUAUUAAAAAUUUAAUGUUUUAUUAAUUAUUGAAAUUAGUCACGAAAGAGGACUAUAUGACUAAUCUAAGUGGAGGAGAAAAAGUAAGAAAGAAUUUAAAAGAAAAAUGACGUAAGUGGGGCUCGCGUGCUUUUAUUUAAUAAAGCAAGAGAGGACAAGUAUAUAUUUAAAUAUUAUGGUGACACCUUGGUGAAGUGCAAAUUUGAUAUUUUAUUUGUACAAAUGUAAAAGAAGAAAGAUAGAAGGAAACUGAAAUUGAAAGGAAGGAUUGAGGACCAAAUUGUAAAGGAUGAAAAGUAUGAAGAGUCCAAUGGUAAAUAAGGAAAAGUUGAGGACUUAUGUGCAAUUAUAAUAUUUAAAGCUAAAUGGACAUUAACUAACCAAGGGAAGUUAGAUUAUGUGAGUUAAUGAGGUGUGCAUGUAAAUUAACUAUUACAUGUUAAUGAUAGCAUGUAAAAAGGAGAAAGUUAGUGAGGAACAUGUGGGACCCCCACCAUGUGAAGUAAAAGGAUGGAUAGGCCUAAAUCUAUUUGCAUGUAAAGAGAUUGGUGCAUUAGGUGGCCAAAUGAAGAAAGGGAAAUAUAGAUGCAUGUGACUUGAAUGGUUUAAUAGAUGACCAAAUAAAAUAUAAAGUGAAGCUUGUGCAUGAAAUGUGAUUGGAGGAAGAAGGUGGUGCAAGGAAUAAAGAAUGAAGAAAGAAAGAAUGAGAGAGUGAAGGUGGCAGAUUGAGAGGUUUAGUAAGGAUAGAUAAUGGGCCAAUGAACAAGGUGGGAAAUUAGUGCAUGAAGAACCAUUGGUUGGCAAAAUGGCCAAGUGAAAAUAAAAGAAAAUUGGUGCAUGUGUUGUGAUUGGCUCCAAAGGGUAGCCAAAUGAAAAUAAAGGAAAAUUUGAGCAUGUGUUGUGAUUGGCUUCAAAGGGUGGCCAAAUGAAAAUAAACGAAAAUUUGUGCAUGUGUUGUGGUUGGUUCCAAUGGGUGGCCAUAUAAAUACUAAGUUGCAAGAGUAAAAGAGAAAGGUGAAUAGGCUUUGGUGAGACUUGAGAGUCGGCCAUUUAGAGAAAAAAAGGAAGAAGAGCAAGCUUGAGAAGUUCCACCAGAGAGGAAGAAAAAGAGAAAGAAAAGCGAGAGAAAAGUGGGAAAGGCUCUGUUUUGGACAAGAUCAAGAGAGACUGUGAGGUUUCCUCCCUCUAUCUUGUAGAUUUGUGUUAUUUUAUCACCCAAGGAGACUUCAAUACUCAAGAGAGAAGUCUUGGAGUGUUGAUGGAGGUGUAAAGCUCGGUUUCAAGUUAUAAGAGAAAUAAGGUAAGGAUUAUGGUUUUAGCUUGAAUAAUCUUUGAAAAUGAGUUGGUGACUAUAAGGAAUGUUUUGUGGCAGCAAAGAUUUGGCUUGAUUGAAGAAGAUUUAGUGACAUGCAAGCCAUCUAAACCAUGGAUGCAAAAUGGGUUCAAGGUGAAAAAGAAAUGGUUAGCAUAAUACUAUGUUUUAAGGCCUACGGUUGGUAAAUUUUUGAAGAAAUGAUUUGUGAAUCAUGUUGGCAGCUUGAUGAUUGAAGUUUUGGAGGAACAUUGGAGUGCAUGUGCGGAUCAAGCAACCUUUAAAGUAAAAAUAAAUAAUGCUUUAAGUAUAGUUGAGAAAUCUUGAGAAAUGGCUAUUGUUGUAUUGAUUGGAGACUUGAAAGGCUCAUUGUGAAGAAUAAUGGUUGUUGAAAGAAUCUAAAAUGCAUGAGCUAGUGUAAAUGUUAAGUUUGCUUAGUAUGUAGUUUGAAAGAAAUAAAAAGGGAAUACUGUGGAUGGAGGAUUGAGAAAUAAAGCUUUGAAAGCUAGAUGGACAACUAUGCAUGUAAACUUGGAAAUAAUUGAGUGAGAUUGGGAAUGAUUGUUGUUGUCGUAUAUUUGGUUAUAAGAUAAAAAUAUAAGAUGGAUUUGGAUGAAAGUUGCUCGAAAAGGUUGAAAUGGGCACUUAAUAUUAUAAAUAAGUUGCCGAUACAUAUAAUAUAAAGAAUUACGCAAGUAAAAGAUACGAAUUCCUUUGGUAAAAAUAUGUCAAGAUGUAUGUGAAUAUGCAAAGGCUAAGUGAAAAAGAAUGAUGAUUUUAGCAUGAUGUAAGUUAUUAAAAUGAUGAUUGAUGUUUGAAUAAGAAAAAGAAGUGGGAAUGAUAAACACUAAGUAUAUUAAGCUUGGUUUAUUGCUAGGAAUUGUGCAAGUGGAAAAGGAAUACCAUGGUCAUUAACUAAAGGAGGAAACGUAACUGGAUAAGUGGCGAAGUGAUAUCUUGCCAUUGUGAGGUGAGUAAGGGGUGUCUAUUUCAAAAGAUCUAUACACUGUAUAUUGUUAUACGUUUAUUAAACAUUGUCGGUUUCCUUUAAAUGCAAUUAUGGAUAGCAUGAGUUGUUAGCCUCGAUAGGCGAUUUUUAAAUGGAUUUCUAAUUGAUUAUAAACUGUUAUUGUGGAAAACAUGAGUUGGUAGAAAUGUUAGGUGGAUUAUGGAUGAUAUGACUUUUGAAAUUGUUUUGGAUAUAUAUAUAGAUACGCUAUAUAUGUAAAGUGCUUUAAAAACUGGGAAACAAGCCAUUUUGAAAUGUUUGCAUCAAAUUCGUGCCUUGUAUUUUCGUGUGAUAUGCAUAGUUAAAUGCUUUUAUUAAAUGGUUUAAAUGCAAAAUUUUCAAGAGUCGGUUUUAGUCCGAUCUUUAUACAAGUGUUUACACCAUGCCUUUUUAUGUGAAAAACAAUUUGAAAUGUUAUCAAACCUUGCUUUCAAAUGAUUUCAAGCAAAAGACUUAGAAACCUCGAUUUGGUUUUGAAAAUGGUUUUGACAAACCGAGAGCAUCGAGAGUAGGCCGAAUGUCACAUCGGGAUCGUGUGACCCUUGUGCAUAAGUGAGCUCUAGCUAGAGAACCUUUGGGUCAUUGAUGGGCUGUUAAAUGUGGCUGGGCCCAUGGUCUGUGAUAUAUACAUGGUAAGGCCAUGGGUUGAUAUACGUGGUUGAGACCACUUGAUUUCUCUGAUGUCAGCCAACAUCAUUGAGAUUGCUAUGGCUGUGGGAAUCUGGUGGAGUGGUGCUAUUGGAUUGUUAUUAUGUGGAAGAGGGACCACAGAUUGAUUGUUUAGGAUUACCUACUCAAGAGCCUAGAGAGUUUUUGACUCGUUCUCUUUUGCAUAGUGGAGAGUUAAUGUUUUCUUCCAGCUCCCCUAUUUAAUCAAAAGCUUUCAAUGCUUAUUUAAUGAUCAUGAGUUGAGUUAUGUGGACGUCUAUGUUGAUUUUUACACGCCACACAUUUUGGGAGCAUGCAUACUUUUAUACUGAUAUUUGUAAUUUUGAUGGAAAGUGAUGAUUUCGAUGAUUGAAAUUUAAUUUUUCUCCACUUUAUUUCGGCAUUGUUUUUCCAAGAAAGGUAAUGCAUCAUGAUUUUUCAGCAUCAUUUUCACAAGGCACAAACACCCUACUUGUUAUUUGUUUUUUUAAGGUUAUUAUUCUAUAUUCCGAUUUUAUUAUUCAAAUGAUCUACCUUAAGCUUGUUUCUCAUCUAUGCCCUGCUCACAGAGCUGAUGAUCAGUAAGUCUGUGAGACUCACCCCCCUUAUCUCCCUUUUGCAGAUAGUGAUCGGCCUAGCAUGAGUUCAUCGGCGCAUAUUGUCUACUGCGGAUAGGUAAAGGCAUCUCAUAGCACUUCAUUUCGAGUCGCUCCAUUGCUAGAGGUCGAGUCAUUUAUAGCAUGACGUAUUUGUAAUUAGUGUCAAUGUAAAUGUGCAGUUUGUAUUAUAGACUUUAAUGUAUUUUUAUGAGUAUGGUGAAUGAAGAUUACGAUGGCUUAUUACGAUUUAUGUUCAAUUCUUGAUAUAAAGAGUUAUAUGGUUUAAGUUAUCUCAUAGAUUGAUGGCAUGAAUAAGUAGUAAUAACUUAGUUUUGAUUAAGGCUUGUUCAGGACUUGGCAGGCUCUCUCACAAGACUCAAACGUCGGUAGCGAUCAAGGAGUGGUCGUUACAUGUAUCACAACAUAAUUCUCUUGCAAGGCAUAUAUAGUUCCUUAGGCUUUAUCUACAUAAGUAUAAAUAGUAAUUAAAUUACAAAUUUAUGGGUAAAGAACUAUCUCAAUGUUGUUGUAAAUAACAUAAUGUCAUACAUGAGUAUCUAAAAUUGUGAUUCCCAUACAACUAUAGAUUGACUUAUAGGGCUCAUACCAACAAUCUCCCACUAGGAUUAAAGCUAAUUGCCUAUGUAUCUAAUACCAAUGUUCUCAACAUGGUGAUUAUUUUUUUUUUGAGACAAUGCUUUAGUUAGAGGAUCGAUAGCAUUAUCCUCAAUGGUUAUACCCUCUAUGCUAAUGCCUCUUCUCCCAAUGAUCUCCUUGAUCACAUAGUAACGUCACAAUACAUAUUUGGAUUUUUGAUGAGAACUUGGUUCCUUUGCUUGCACAAUGGCUCCAUUGUUAUCACAAUAUAAUGAUAUUGGAUCAACAAUGCUAAGAACCACAUCUAGUUUAGUUAUGAACUUCUUAAUCCAAACAGCCUUUUUCGUCACCCUAGACGCAGAAAUGUAUUUGACCUCAAUUGUAGAAUCUACAAUUGUCUCUUGUUUAAAGCUUUUCCAACUAACUGCACCUCCCUUAAGUGUGAAUACAUAUCUACUUUGCGACUUGCUAUCAUCCUUGCCAAUUUGAAAGCUUGCAUUGACAAAACCCCUAACUUGGAGUUCGUCUCCUCCAUAGACCAGAAACAUAUCUUAAUUUCUUCAUAAGUACUUCAAGAUGUUUUUCACAACUAUCUAGUGAUGCUCAUCAAGAUUAGCUCGGUAUCUACUUGUAACACUCAAGGCACAUUUGGUAUGUGAAAUAGCUAAGCUAUUCCCCUUUUAUUCCCAACUACUAUUUACUCCCCUUGUUUGGUUGGUAAUUUAGCAAGGAAUAGCAAUUCCUUUGAUUUAGCUAUUCUUCAUAAUUAGAAAAAAUUCUUCCUUAACUACACCCACCUCUCCCCAUGGUAUUAGCUAUUCCAUGUCUAAUGCAAUAGCUUCAAAAUUUAUUAAUACUAAAUUACCCUUCAUAAAUUUGGAAAUUUACAACCCUCAACUAUUAAUGAUUAAAUUAUAAAUAAAAUAUUAAUACUUAAAUUAUCCAUUAUUAAUAUUUUAAAUAAAUUAUAAAUUAUAAAUUAUUAAUAUUUAAAAAUUAAUAAUCAUAAAAACUUUUAACUUAUAAAUAAAAUACUAAUAUUUUCAAAUAUUAAUUAUUAAAAUAUAAUAAAAUAUUAAUAUUUUUAACUAUUAAUAAUCAAAUUAUAAUAAAAUAUUAAUAUUUAAAUUAUCAAUUAUUUAUAUAAUGAUUAAAUUAUAAAUUAUUAAUAUUUAAAAAUAAAUAAUCUUACCAAUAUUUAAAUUAUAAAUAAAAUAUUAAUGUUUCAUAAUAUUAAUGAUUAAAUUAUAAAUAAAAUAUUAAUAUUUAAAUGAUCAAUUAUUAAUAUUUUAAAUAAAUUAUAAAUUAUUAAUAUUUAAAAAUUAAUAAUCAUAAUAACAUUUAACUUAUAAAUAAAAUAUUAAUAUUUUUAAAUAUUGAUGAUUAAAAUAUAAUAAAAUAUAAAUACUUUUAAAUAUUAAUGAUUAAAUUAUAACAAAAUAUUAAUAUUUAAAUUAUCAAUUAUUAAUAUAAUGAUUAAAUUAUAAAUUAUUAAUAUUUAAAACUAAAUAAUCAUAAGAAGAUUUAAAUUAUAAAUAAAAUAUUAAUAUUUCAUAAUGUUAAUGAUUAAAUUAUAAAUAAAAUAUUAAUAUUUAAAUUAUCAAUUAGUAAUAUUUUAAAUGAAUUAUAACUUACAUAUAUUUAAAAAUAAAAUAAAAUAAAAAUAAUUAAUCAUAAUAACAUUUAAAUUAUAAUAAACUAUUAAUAUUUUAUAAUGUUAGUAUUGAAUUAUAAAUGAAAUGAUAUUAUUUAAAUUAUCAAUUAUUAAUAUUUGAAAUAAAUUAUAAAUUAUUAAUAUUCAAAAAAUAAAAUAAAAUAAAAUAAAAAUUAAUCAUAAUAAUAUUUAAGUUCUAAUAAAUAUUAAUCUUAUAUAAUGCUAAUGAUUAAAUUAUAUAUAAAAUUUUAACACUUAAAUUAUCAGUUAUUAUUUUUUUAAAUAAAUUAUAAAUUUUUAAAAAUAAAAAAUAAAUAAUCAUAUAUAUAAUAAAAGGUAGUUUUGUCUUUUUAUCUUCUAUUUCUUUCUUAUUCCAAAAUUAUUUUUAGCAACCAAACACUACAAUAAGUCAUAAUAACUGUUCCUACUCCAUUCCAUUCAUUGUACCAACUAGGUAAUAACUAUUCUAUUCUUUUCCCAUCUUAUUUUAUUCUCACAAAAUAGCUAUUCUAUUCCGCGAACCAAACGUGACAUCAUUGCAUAAGAUACAUCUGGUCUAGUGCAUAACAUUACAUACAUGAUAGAUUCUAUUGCUGAAACAUAUGGGAUCUUAUCUAUGCGAUCUCUCUCCUCCUGAUUGUUUAAACACAUGUCUUUGGAGAGAUAGAUGCCAUGUGACAUAGGCAAGUGCCCCUUCUUGGACUCCAUCAUGAUAAACCUCUUUAUCACCUUGUCUAUGUAUGUGGAUUGGGAGAGACCAAGCAACCUUUUAAAUCUAUCUUUAUAGAUCUUUAUUCCCAAAAUGUAAGUUGUUUCUCCCAAAUCCUUCAUGGAGAAUUGUUUGGAUAGCCAAAUCUUAGUAGAUUGCAACAAUGGUAUAUCAUUUUCCAUGAGCAAUAUGUCAUCCAUAUACAGUACUAGGAAAAUAAUGGCGCUCCCACAAGCCUUCUUGUAGACACACAGUUCAUCAUCAUUCUUAAUGAAGUCAAACCCUUUGACAGCUUCAUCAACAUAGAUAUUCUAACUUCGAGAAGCUUGCUUAAGUUCAUAAAUGGACUUUUGAAGCUUGCACACCUUAUUGGCACUAGCAUUGGAUGGAAAACCCUCAAGUUAUGUAAUGUACACUUUCUCUUGCAAAUUUUUAUUAAGGAAUGCAGUUUUUACUUCCAUUUGUCAUAUAUCAUAAUCAUGGUAUACAGGAAUUGCAACCAAAAUCCUAAUAGAUUUAAGCAUACCUACUAGUCAAAAAGUUUUCUCAAAGUCAACUCCUUAUCUUUGUUUAUAACCUUUUGCUACCAGUCUAGCUUUAAAAGUUUGCACCUUGCCAUCUACAUCGAUUUUUCUCUUAAAGACCCACUUGCACCUAAUGGAUUUUAUCCUUUUAAGUGGAUCCACUAAAGUCCAUACUCAGUUUGUAUCCAUGGCAUCCAUUUUAAAUUUCAUGGCUUCUUGCCAUUUCUUAAAAUCAAUGUCCAAUAUCGCCUUUUCAUAGGUUAUAGGCUCAUCAUUUAUGAGCAAUACGUCUCUAUCCAAGAGAAAUCCAUAUCGCUUAAGAACUUAACAUAUACUACUAGACCUUUGAGUGGUUAUGUCUCUUGAGGUUAUGGUUGUACAUCAGAUGUCAUAACCUCAUGUUCAGAUUCCAUAGGAAUAUCAAUUUGUGGGUCUCGAACUUAUUCUUCUAGAACUUUACCCCCACUAGCCUUUUCACUUAAGAACUUUUUCUCAAGGAAAGUGGCAUGCCUUGAGACAAACAACUUUUGCUCAGUAGGUAGUGGAUUGCCCAUUCUUGGCAACCCACUUCUAGGGGGCCGAGGCCUACCUCAAGUGGGAACCGCAACCCACAUUAUGUGCUUGUCACGACCUUGACCCUUUUUUUUUUUAGGCUGCCCAAAGGUGGUAGCCCAAAACAAAAGGCUGCGGCCUACAUCUAGUAGGCACUGCGACCCUUAUUGGUAAAAGUCGCCAGGCCAUGGCCACAGGUUACGAGCCUCGUGGGCUAGGCCUUGACAUACCCUCUUCCCCAAUUUUUUUUAAUUUUUUUCAAAAAAGCUUUUUGAUAUAUAUUUUUUUAUUUUUUUAUGGGGGGUUGUACAUGUUCCUGCAAAAUAAAAAAUAAAUACUAAUAAUUAAUAGUGGAAUAAAUAAAAAUAAUGAAAAAAAUAAAAGAAAGUAAGUUAGAAUGCUUGGGUUGCUUCCCAAGAAGCUUUUAAUAAGUCUUUGGCUUGACUUUUUCUGGUUUAAAUUAUGUCGACAAGCGUGAUUGAGGACCUUUGACGAUCAAAAUCGCCUCCCCAAUAAUGUUUUACUCAUUGUGCAUUCACUUUGAAGGUUAAUUUAUCAUCAGCCACCUCCACUACUCCAUGAGGAUAUACUUUCAUCACAGUGAAAGGUCUAGACCAACGAGAUUUCAGCUUUCCAAGAAAUAAUCUUAAACGAGAAUCAUAUAAGAGAACAUGUUGGCUAGGCUCAAAAUUGCUUUUUUGAUUUUCUGGUCAUGCCAUCAUUUUGUCUUCUCUUUGUAGACUCUUGCACUCUCAUAAGCUUCUUGACGAAAUUCAUCCAUCUCAUUAAGUUGCAAAAGACGUAUUUCUUUGGCUGCUUGAAGAUCAAAAUUAAGCUUUUUAAUUGCCCAAUAUGCCUUGUGUUUAAGCUCCACUGAAAGAUGACAAGCUUUUCCAAACACUAAUAUAUAAGGAGACAUCCCAAUUAGUGUUUUAUAUGUAGUUUUAUAUGCCCACAAAACAUCAUCCAACUUUUUUGACCAAUCUUUUCUGGAAGGACAAACAAUCUUUUCCAAAAUUCUUUUAAUUUCUCUAUUUGAAAUUUCAGCUUGGCCACUAGUUUAAGGAUGAUAAGCAGUGCCUAUUUUGUGUUUGACUCGACAUUUGCCCAAGAUUGACUUAAAUUUUUUGUUGCGAAAAUGAGAUACUUCAUCACUAAUUAUGGCUUUAGGUGUUCCAAAAUGUGUAAAGAUGUUCCUUUGCCAAAAGUUUAUCACUACCUUAUAGUCAUUCCUUGGUAAUGCAAUAGCUUUAACCCAUUUAGAGACAUAAUCAAUAGCAACCAAGAUGUAUUCAUUAUUGAAGGAUGGAAUGAAUGGACCCAUAAAAUCAAUUCCCCAUACAUCAAAAAUUUCGACUUCUAGGUUGUUGUUGAGAGACAUCUCAUGUCUUCUAGAUAUAUUGCCCAUUCUUUGACAUUUAUCACAGUUUUCAACAAAAUUAUGAGCAUCUUUGAAAAGAGAAGGCCAGUAAAAACCUGACUGUAGAACCUUUGCAGUAGUUCAUUUCCCCCUAUAAUAUCCUUCACAAUCAGAUGAAUGGCAAUGAUGAAGAAUAUUUUCAAAUUCUUCUUUAGGAACACACUUUUCAAUGAUUUGAUCCCCAUAAUGCUUGUAAAGAAAAGGCUUAUCCCACAUGUAGUAUUUGAUAUUACGCAAGAAUUUCAUUUUUGUUGACACUUAAAUUCAGGAAAGAAGAGUUUACUCACAAGAUAGUUCACAAAAUCAGCAUACCAUGGAAAAUUUUUCUACUUCUCGACAUGAAACAACUACUCAUCAGGAAAGGUCUCAUUGAUCAUUGUUAAAUUCCUAAUUUUUUCUCCAUUCUCCAAUCUAGAUAAAUGAUCCACUUGAUUUUCUGUAGCUCUAAUAUCUCGAAUUUCUAAGUUGAAUUCUUGAAGCAAAAGUACCAAUCUUAUCAAGCAUGAUUUUGUAUCUUUUUUCUCGUUCAGAUAUUUAAUAGCUGCAUGGUCAGUGUCGACAAUUACUUUAAUACCAACAAGAUAAGAGUAAAAUUUAUCAAAGGCAAAAACAAUAGCAAGCAACUCCUUUUCAGUUGUGGUGUAAUUUGCUUGGGCCUCAUUCAAUUUUCUACUAGCAUAAUAAAUAGGAUACAAAAUCUUCGCUUUUCGUGGGCCCAAAACUACAUGAACUACAUAAUCACUAGCAUCACACAUUAGUUCAAAAGGAAAAUUCCAAUCAAGAACAGUGAUAGUAGGAGCAGAAAAUUAAUCUUUUUUUCAACUCAACAACAACAUCAUGGCAAACAUCAUCAAAAUUAAAAGGAGUAUCAUUUUCUAAAAAAUUACACAAUGAUUUAGAAAUUUUAGAAAUAUCUCUAAUGAAUCUCCUAUAAAACCCAACAUGUCCUAAAAAACUACGAAUGCCUUUAACAAAGGUGGGAGGUGGAAGUUUUUCAAUUGUUUCAAUUUUUGCUUUAUCUACUUCUAAACCUUUACUAGAGACUCGAUGGCCUAAGACUAUGCCUUCUUGCACCAUAACGUGACAUAUUUCCCAAUUUAAAACUAAAUUAAUUUAUUCACAUCUCUCAAGUACUCUAGAAAGAUUAAAUAGACAAUCAUCAAAAUUAUCCCCAAAAACUAAAAAAUCAUCCAUAAAUACUUCCAAAAACUUUUCAACCAUAUAAGAAAAAAUUGCCAUCAUACAUCUCGAAUAGUAGCUGGAGAAUUACAAAGUCCAAAAGGCAAUUUACGAAAAGCAAAUGUUCCAUAAGGACAAGUAAAGGUGGUUUUUUCUUGGUCUUCAAUAGUAAUGGCAAUUUGAUUAUAACCAAAAUAACCAUCCAAAAAAAAAAUAAAAAUCCUUACUUGCUAGUCUAUGAAGCAUUUGAUCAAUAAAAGGUAGUGGAAAGUGAUCUUUUCUAGUGGUUUUAUUCAAUUUUUUAUAGUCCAUCCACACUCUCCAUCCAGUCACAGUUCUAGUGGGAAUGAGCUCAUUAUUUUCAUUAGAAACUACUACCAUACCUCUUUUUUCAAGGACUCAUUGGAGUAGACUUAUUCAUGAACUAUCAAAAAUAGGAUAGAUAAUACCCGCAUCAAGCCACUUGAUAAUAUCUUUCUUUACUAAUUUUUUCAUGAUCGGAUUCAACGUUUGUUGAUGCUCAAUGGUUACUUUGUGAUUUUCUUCCAAAAGAAUUUUGUGCAUGCAAAUUGAGGGACUAAUUCCUUUGAUGUCUGCAAUGGUCCAUCUAAUUGCUUUUUUGUAGUCUCUUAAAACUUAAAGGAGUUUAUUUUCCUGUUCAUCAGAAAGAUAAGAAGAAAUAAUUACUAGAAGUGCAGAAGAAUUUCCCAAAAAAGCAUAUCUUAAAUGAUUAGGCAGUGGUUUGAGCUCAAGUGAAGGAGGUUCUUCAAAGGAAGGUUUGAUUGGUGAAGUUGUAAUUGAUAAUUCCAAAUACUGAAAUUGAGAUCUUUGGAGACGUGAAUGGGCAUAAAGAUGGUUAACAUAUUCAAGAACUUUUUCAUCAAUAAUAUCACAUGAACAAUUCAAAGAAGUUUCUAGUAGAUCUUGAUGAUUUUCAAUAAACACAUUAUUUGCUAUGUCAUCCACCAUAUUUAAAGCUCUAAACAUACUAAAUGUUCCCUGUUGAUCUUCAACCUUUAAAGUAAACUCACCUUUUUCCACAUCAAUUAAAGCUCGAGCAGUUCUCAAGAAUGGUCUCCCAAGAAUGAUCAGUAUUUCACGAUCUUCUUCCAUAUCAAGAAUAAUAAAAUCUACCGAAAAAAUAAACUUACCAACUUUUACCAAAACAUCAUCCACAAUACCAUAAGAAUAGGUGAUGGAUCAAUUAGUAAGUCGCAAAGUUACAGAAGUUGGCUUAAUCUCUUCCAAACCCUAUUUUUUAUAAAUAGACAAUGGCAUCAAAUUUAUACUUGCACCUAAAUCAAAUAACGCUUUAGCAAAACAAAGAGCACCAAUAGUGCAAGGAAUAGUAAAACUACUUGGAUUUUUAAGCUUUGCUAGAUGCUUAUUCUGAAUGAUGGCAUUGCACUCUUUAGUAAGUGCAACAGUUUCAAACUCCCCCAAUUUCCUCUUUUUAGAUAGGAUGUCUUUCAAGAAUUUAACAUAUCUUGGCCUUUGUUCCAAAGCUUCAGCAAAAGGAAUAUUAAUAUGUAAUUUUUUAAAUACAUUAAUAAAUCUAUGGAAUUGUUUGUCAAGUUUUUCUUUGUGAAAUCUUUGAGGAAAAGAUGGGGGAGGUGUGGGAGUAGUUUUUAAUUGUUAUUUUUUUUUAAUUUUCAAUAGAUUUUUCAACCAUAAUUUUCUUUUUUAGCAUCUUUUUCAAUUUCUUUCUCAUCAGAUUGAAUUGAAAUUUUAGAAUUUAAAUUCUUACUACUAACCUCUUUACUUACCUCUUUCUAUUGCAAAGAUGGAUUGCCUUACAAUGUUCCUUAUUUUCUCUUCUUAGGUUGGGUUCAAUAACUUGGUAAGGUACCAUGAGGUCUAGUAUUUAAAGCACUGGCAAGUUGGCCUACUUGUGUCUAAAGAUUUCUAAUUGAAGCUGCUUGAUUUUGAAUAGAGGCAUCAUCUUUGUCAUAAAUGCAUUAAUCUUUGUUAUGAAUAUAUCAGUCAUUGUCAUGAAUUGCAUGAACAUAUCCUACAUUAAAGGCUUUUUCUCUGACAUGAGGACUUAAGAUGGAAAUCCAGGAGGAAAGCUUGACUUAGCUACUGAUGAAAACCCUUGGUUGUUACUCCAUGAAAAUUUAGGAUGAUUCCUUCAACUAGGAUUUUAAGUGUUAGAAUAGGGAUUGUUCUGUCGCCUAUUUCCAACAAAUUGACAAGACUCAUAAUAGAUGGGACAAUUGUCAUUGGAAUGUCCUUCCUCACAAAAUUCACACGUCAUAAACAAGUUCUGAAUAGCAUUAACACUCAGUUUACCUAUUUUUUUUGUGAGAAAAGCUAAUUAGGUAGAAACAGUAUUUAUCGCAUCUAAUUCAUUAAUUCCAGCAAUUUUUCUUGUACCAAAUCUUUCAUAUGAUAAUUAUUGGAAGCUAUCUGUUCAAGCAAAUCAUAAGCCUUAUCAAUGGAUUUACUCAUGAGUGCACCUCCAGCAGCAGCAUCAAUGGUAGUUCUGAAAGGUCCCAGCAAACCAUUAUAAAAAGUCUAAACUUGCAGCCACUUAGGUAAUCCAUGCUGAAAACACCUUCUUAUCAAAUCCUUAUACCUCUCCCAAGCCUCAUGUAGUGAUUCAGAAUCAAAUUGCAUGAAAAAAGUGAUAUCAUUCCACAUAUUUGCUGACUUAGCAUAAGGGAAGAAUUUUGCUAAGAAUUUUUGAGCUAAAUCAUCCUAAGUAUUAAUGGAACCAGCAAGAAGUGAAUUUAACCAACUCUUUGCUUUAUCUCUCAAUAAAAAAUGGAAAAGCCUUAAUCUUAUGGCAUCAUCAAUAACACUAUUAGCUUUGAAUGUAUCGCAAACUUCCAAGAAAUUUACAAUAUGAGCAUUUAGAUCAUCAUUAGGCAAACCCCCAAACUGAACAGCAGUCUGAAUCAUCUUAAUGAUUGAUGACUUAAUUUCAAAGUUGUUGGCUUCAAUAGUAGGUCUUCGGACACUAGAGUGGAGACUUUGUACUCGUGGGACAGCAUAAUCCCUCAAAGACUUGGUCCCUUCCUCUUGUUGAUUAGCCAUUGUUUUACUUGGAGUAUAAACUUUUUUAUUUUUCCUCUGAAAUCUUCGAAAAGUCUUUUCGAUUUUUGAAUUAAAAGGAACAAUUUCCAAAUUUUGGGCUCUUCGCAUACAAUAACCAAAAGUACCUAAAAAAUUAAAGAAAAGAAAAGUCUAGACUAAAAUUAAGAAUGCUUGGUAUUAAUAUUAAGAAGAAAUAAUUAAAAAUCAAUUCUUUGGCAACGGCGCCAAAAACUUAUUGUUGAUGUCUCACGCAAGUACACGUAUAGUUAACAAGUAAUAUAGUGAUAAAGUAGAGUGUCGAUCCCACAGGAAAUUGUUUUAAUUAUUAUUGUUAAUUAUUAAAAUUAUAACACUCUAAUUUUAUCCAAACAAUUAAAAACUAAAUUAAAAAGAAAAAAAACUAAAGACUAAAACUAAUCUAAAUUAACUAACAAAAUUAUUUUAUUAAAUUUGAUUGACUUUUAGACCUAAGAUUAUGAUGUCCCUCAAUACUUCAUCUGAUUAUUGUCUCUCUCUCUUAACUUAGUUUAAUGGAUGAAAUUGCUAACCUAGAGUCCUAAAUUAUUUACAAGUCUCUAUCGAGUUUCUCAUGAAAAUAUCUCUACUAAUUAAUUUACUAUAUGUCUAUAUAAAUUAAAUUAAAGACAGAUUCAUUCAGUUUGUACACUACUUUUGGCUACAUUUGUCUAAUAGGUGUAUGUCUACCUUAUAUGAAAAUCAAACCACCAAAUCAACUAAGUGUAUUCGAUCAUACGCUAUUCUAUUCAAGGUCUACCUAAAUCUCCUUCGUGAAGGUUUAGCUUAGGUUACCAAUUCAAUCUUAUCGGUGGCUAGUCAACUAGAAGCAUUAAAAACAAAAUAAAAUAAAACUUAAAUCCAUCAAACAUAAGCAAAAAAGAGAUAAAUAAAUUAGCCUACGUGUUGAGUUCAAUCAUAAUCUUAGAUAAAUAAUUUAGUUCGCCAUCAAGUCACACAUCAUCAUCAAAUAAAGUUUAAACAUUAAAAACAAAACCAAGAAAAUAAGAGAAUAACAAAAAGAUAGAAAAAACCAAGAAUUGUAAUCUUGAUCUCCAAAUCUCUUUGAAUCCUUCAAAUUCUUCCUAACUUCAAUGGCUUUGCAGCUUGAUUCUUAGCUUUCAAUCCGGUGUUUCGUUAUCUCCUUGAAAGUCCUCCAAAAGGUUGAUUUUAUAGGGCUUUGAAGUUAGGCCAAGUUAAGUGAAGAAAGAAGUCAAUUCCAAUAAGGAUUGCCUCAUCAUACUGCAUGGGCUAUGGCCUACUUCCUCUAAAGCCGCAGCCUUGACCCUUUAAAUAGCAGAAAUAGUAAUUGUUCGAAGAUAGCUGCAGUACUCCAACUUCAACAAGAUUUUUGACCACCUUCCAUGCCAAAUAGGCAAAGUGGUAAACAUAAAAGUUGUAUAUUUUUCUAUCAACUUUCCAAUGGUUGAAAAAUCACUUCAUUUAAGGCUCUGUAGAGAGAGCUAUGGUUGAAAUACCAAAACAUGUGUAGUGAAAGUCUGCACCUUAAAAUUGCUCUCCUUCUUCCAUUAAAAGUCUUCCUUCAUUAAACACCUGCAAAAGCACAACUAAAUCAAUAACAAUCUAUCUUAAUCAUAUUAACACUAAAUUAAGCAUAAAAUUAACUAAGAUUAGAUUGACUCACCUAAAUUAACUAAUUUAAAAUAAUCAAAUAAAACCUACUAGUUUUUAUGCAUUACUACAAGAACUAAGCUAAAUUACUAUCAAAAUUAAGUCCAAAUAACUCUAUAUCAAAGAGUUAUCAAUGAGCAUGAUCCACCACUUUCAGUUAAUCUUGAUUUUAAGGUGGGAUAACAAGUGUUACUGACCAAACCAGUCAAACUCUUUCCAUGGAAACAAAAAUCAAAGUGGUUUGGUCCUUACAAGGUGGUUAAGGUCGAUCCGUGUUGUACAAUAGAUAUUUUUAGUGAAGCUACCAAAACAUUCGGAGUGAAUGGGCAGUGUCUCCAACAUUAUUUGGGAGGUGAAUUAGAUUGCCAAAGAUCCUCAAUUAUUCCAAUAGACAACAAUAAAAGGGUAUCAUAAUCAAGCUAGUGACUUUAAAGAAGUGAUUCUUGAGAGGUAACUCAAGUUAUAUCAUUUUAGGUUUAGUUGUUAUUUUAGUUAGUUUUUGUUUUUCUAUUUAAAUAAAUAGUUAUAACCUCUCUUUUACUUGUUUUGUUGAGCAUGCGGUUUGGAAAGCAUGAAGAUAAGGAGAAAGAAAAUUCAAGCUUUCAAUGCACUGUCACUGUUGAUAAGGGAGUUUUUUUUUUUCUUAUUCUUUGUAGAUUUUCACAUUAAAGACAAUGUGCAAUUUAAGUUUAGUGGAGGGUUUUAUUAUUAUUAGUUUUUGUGAUAUUUUAGGUUAGUUUAUUUUCAUUAUAUUUUUUAAUUUGAUGCAUGUUUUAAAAACUUGAGCUAGAUUUAAUUGCAUCAAUUUCUUUUAAUUUACCUAUCCAAUUAUGAGAACUUAGUUAUAUUCUAUCUCAAUUCUUUGAAACAUCUGAAUAUUGUUUGAGUGUUAUAUAAAUUCUAUUUCUCCAUUAGUUUUUGAUGAUAAUAAAACAUUCCCAUUCAUUUAUGUCUAACAAUGCUACUUGAGUGUGUAGGUUGAAAAAUGUAUGGUAAUAAUACAAUAAUCAUUAAACAGUAAAUAUCAAAUCUCAUGAGGUUGAGGAGCUACAAUAAAAGUCACAAAACAUAAGCCACUUAGUCGAAUAAAGAUAGGAAGUCAGCUAAAAUUCAAAAAUGGAGUUGGCAGGUUCAAAAAUAGAAUCAACUUAAUCGACUAAGAGAUAUUGUUAGUCAACUAAGUGCUUACUGCCAAAAGUCGAGUUCAAAAAUAGAACCGACUUAAUCGACUAAGAGGAAUCGUUAGUCAACUAAGAGCGUACUACCUGAAACUGGGAUCAGAAGAUAGAACCAACUUAAUCGACUAAGAAGUAUGUUAGUUGACUAAGAGCUCUCUGUUUGAAAAUUUGAAGUUGAAGGUAGAAGACAAAUUAACGGCUAGAACCAACUCCAAACUAUUUCCAACAGUCAGAAUCUGUCAAGCACCCAUCAAAAAUGUUUCUUCAAGUAUUAAAAACCUUCCCAAUGGCUAAGAAACUGAUCCAAGGCUUCUAAGAACUAAAAGAGCUAAAAGACUAGUAAAAACUCUCUGCAUUCUUUCUGCACUUCACUCCUAUCCUUGUAAGAGAUUCAAGCACUUCACUUUGUAUCACUUAGAUCAAGUCAGUGAUUAUAGGUACACCUUUAUUUCUCUUAUUCUUGUUGUCAAAAACCAAAUCUCGAGCCAUGACCGGUGCAUGGACCCAAUGGGCAUGGCCCACUUGGCCUAAGCAAGCCUUUCUAUGAAACUUGUUCAUCAGACCAUCUGCCCCUCAUUUACCUCUAAGGUUCUUAAUUCAUAGUUUUCGAAAAUAAUUUCUUCUCAAGAAUAAAUCAAGGCAACCAAACAUAUACCAUUCACAAAAUAAUAUUACCAUUUGCCAACUUGUGGCGACAUUAUCAUGCAAACCAAACAUACAAUGUUUAUAACGAAUCUCACGAAUUACAUUUAAAUAACCAUAUACACAUACAAAAGACCUUGACUAUUAGCAAAGUGACUCUAGCAUGGAUACUAUUAUGGGUUGUGCUAGUAAACCUAUCAUAAGAUGAAUAGGAGGAAGCACCCUUACCUAAGAUCCAACUACCUUCGAGCUUGAAAACUAAAACAUGAAGUUGAAAAGAAUGAGUGUAAACCCAGUGAGUGAACAUAGGAAGGGAACAAGGAAACGAUACAGAAGGUUUUCGAAAACAAGAUGCACUCAUUUUAAAACCAUGCAAUUUGUAUAUCAUAAACAACUCGAUACCAUGUUGAUGUUUAACUCGUUUUAAAAUACUUAGGAAAUUCAACUUUCUCACAUUUCAAUUUCCAAACAUCCCUGCUCUACAGGGCAAGUACACAAACGUGUACGAAUUCAUGUAUACAUUUUGUAUAUAUAUAUAUAUAUAUAUAUAUAUAUUUUCAAACAUUCACUAAAUAUAUCAAGAUCAUUCCCACACUAGUCAACAUGGCUCAACGCAUACAACCACCAUCCUCAGCUCAGCUUAUGUGCACUCCCACACCGCACAUGGCAAAUAUCAUGUACACUCCCACACCACAUCAUCAUCAGCAUGUGCACUCCCACAUCGCACACCACCGACACCGUCACGUGCAUUCCCACACCCCACAUGCACAGUUAUAGUUAUCAUACAACAUUAUCGUUAUAUUACACAUUUCACAGCAUAAAAACGUUUCAUUAAGGGCUUGUUCCCAUGCAUAUUUUAAAGAAAAGACUAAUAAAAUAUUUCAAGUGAUUCAGUCAAACACAUAUGCAUUUAUCCCAAAACAUUUUAAUGCAAGUUCUCUCACCUAUCUUUGUUGAUUCUUUGAUUAACUCCGACUUCAACUAAUGCUCCAAAUGGAGAUGUGGGGUCUCGUUGGAACCUAUCGCACACGAUAGUAUGACAACCAACCCAAUUUACUUGAAUAUUAUUCCAAAAGCUGUUUCCUAAAUUAAACUUUACUAGUUAUUCCUAACUAGUUUCCAAUUACUGUUUGACUAGUCAUUAAUUUGCACCAUUAUAGUCACACUAGAAAUAAAUAAAUAUCUUUCAACAAUAGAACUGUGAGACCCCAACCUCUAUAGGCUUGUAACUAAGCGUAGAUGUAAUAAUACGAGCAAGGGGUAGUUUCGUCAUUUUCUCUAAUAAGCUCCCAAAAGAAAGUUUUAUGAUAUUUUAAGGUCUAAAUAGGCAUAAGACUGCAUAAAUGACUUGUAAUGAUGAAAACACGAAGAAAACUAGAAAUGACAAUAAUUUUCACAAUAGGGGCAAAAUAGUCAUUUUGCACCCAAGUCAAAACUUUUAAAAGUUUCAGAAACCUAAACAUGUCUAGACCAUUAUGGACUUGGUCUCAGUGUUAAAGAGUAAAAAGAUUGCAGAAAGGGUUGCAUGAGAACAAGCUAACUAGUCAAGGGCAUUUUCAUAAUUUUAAGGGAAUGGAUAAGUUUGGCCUAUAAAUAUCCUUCUUCCAGUAGCUUCUUCUCCCAUUUUCCAGCAACUUGUCUUCUUCUUCCUUCUUCCCUCUCACGUUUCUUUAAAACCUCCAUGGAAGCUUGAUAUGGAGCUUGCAUAAUUUUCUCUCUCUAACUUUAAUUUUCAUACCUUUAUGCCCUUUUGACUAGAACCCUUGAAUUCUUUCACUCUCUCACUUCAAAACCCUUGGUCAAGCUUAUUUCCAUACUUUCUCUCACUAGUUGGGUGUUCUAGAGAGAGAAAAAGAGAAUUACCCCACUUGUUUGGAAGCUAUUGGAAGGGGAUUCAACUACAAAGAAACCCAAGGGUGAGUGAUGAACUAAGCUUGGUUUUUAGCUAUAGAAAAUGGCUAGUAAAUGGGAUUAUGAGCUGUUUUAUUGUUAAUGUUCAUUCAUUUUGUAGUAAUUAAUAUAGUGAACAUAGAUAGCCAUUUAAAGUGGCAAUUGAAAGUUAGCUAAAAGAUAGCUUUUAGGGUUUAUAUUAUGUGAAUUAACAUAAUGGUGAUGUUAAUGUAAUGGUAGGUUCCAACGAAGUUCCAUCAUUCCGUUCAGACAAUUAGAGAAAUUGGAGUCGGUUAAAGACUCAACAAAAUACGGGUGAGUGAACUGCAUUCAAAACUUGUUUUGGGGAUAUAAUGUAUUUGCCAAACAUUUGAAUGAAUUAUCAAGCUUUUCAUAAAAACAAGUGCCUUGGGAACAAGCUUUUGAUAGAUUGUCUCCAUGUUGUGACAUGUGACUAUUAUUGAUUCAUGCACUACCAUAUUGUGUUGAUAUAUAUAUAUAUAUAUGUGAAUACAUUGUUGUGUAAUGAUAUUGACUCGGCUAUGUGCGAGUAGGGAGUGCGCAUAAGCCGAUGAUGACCUCGUUAUGUGCGAGUAAGGAGUGUGCAUAACCCGGUGAUGACCUAGCCAUGUGCGAGUAGGGAGUUCGCAUGAGCUGGGAAUGAUGGGAUGGUGUGCAUGAUGGUGAUCGGUAUAUGUAUAUGUAUACAUACGUAAACAUGUGUUAUAAGAAAUUUAUGAGUUAUGUAUAUGGAUGUAAUGUAUGUGAAAUUCGGCAUGUUAAACUUUGGGAAGUUGUUAUGUAUUUCUUAUUGGUUUUGAACAUUUCAGCAGGGUGGUUUUCUUUGGGAGAAAGGGAAAUUUUUCAUUGGUGCCCUGUAUCUCGCUGCAGCGAGAAACUCUCAAGUUUGAGAGCCUUCACCAGAACUGGUUCUCGCUGCAGCGAGAUAGUCAUUGUAGCUUCUCGCUGCAACGAAAAGGAAUCUCGUUGCAGGGAGAAACUCUCUGUUUCAUCAGCUGAAUUUCGCUGCAGUGAAAAACCUUCUGUCCAUUUUGCUAUCUCGUGGGGUUUUGCCAUUUUUUUCCAUUUCAUUUAUACCCUAGUGGAGCAUGGACUUCCAACAUGUUUGGGGAUUAUCUAACCAAGUUUGAAAUGAGAAAAUUUUGAAAGAAACCCUCAGUCGGUUGAGAAACCCUCGUUCGGCUAAUAACUUAAAUCCCAACGUCGCUACAAUGAAAAUUCAUUCUCACUGUAGUGUAGUUGCAGCGAGAAUGCCUUCCCGCUGCAGCGAAGACUCAUCGUUGCAUUUGACUUGUUGGUGUAUCACUGAAGCCUUUAUUUUUCAAAUUAUUGGUUAUGUAUGGGUUCCUCAUUACCAAGUGAUUAAUCAUAUAAGGGUUUAAUGAGGGGUUUUUAAUAUGAAUGAAAUUAAGUUGCAUUGUUUUAAAACAAGGGCAUCAUGAUUUUAAAUUAUUCCUUACAGUAUGUUUGUUCCCUUCUUUGUUCACUCAUUGGGUUUAUGCUCACUGUUUUUAAACUUCAUGUUUUUAGAUCGAGAGGUAGCCGGUAAUUAGGAUGAGGUGUCCUCGUAGACUUGUAACCAUCUUUUGGUAGGUGUCUCGGCAUUCAGUAGCUAUACAUUCAUCCAAGUCUCUCCGCUGGAAGUCGAGUAUUAUUUUGUUGUGUAUAGACAAACCUAAUGUAAAUUGUUAAGAUACAUGUUGUAGACAAUGUAUAUACACUUGUUUGGUAUGCCAGUAUGAGAUGGCAAUGUGUAGUAUUAUUUUGAUUCUAAGUUAUGAAAUGUGACUUAGUAGUUUAUGAUGGAAUGAUAAACAUGUCAGAUUAAUAGGCUUGCUUGGGCUUAAUGGAUUACGUCCAUUGGGCCCAUGCGCCGUCAUGGUCCGAAAUUUGGGUCGUGAUAAGAAACGCCCACAAAUCUAAUUACUAGCCAUUAUCAACAACUUAAAAAUCAACCCUAACUCAUUACUCAUUGUCACAGCCCAAUUCCCGAGCUAUGAUUAGUGCAAGGACCCAAUAGGCAUAGCCCACUAGGCCCAAACAAGCUUUUCUAUAAGAACUUGUACAUUCGUCCAUCUAUCAUGCAUAUCUCUUUAAGAUCUAUACUUAAUAGGGUUCGAAUGCCAAUUUCUUCGAAAGCAAUUCAUAGAACCCAAGUAAAUACUCACAUUGGCACCAUAAAUCAAAAUAUACAUAGAUAGUUUGUCAAAUGUAUCUUAACAAUUCACAUUAAGCAUAUAUGUGCAUAUACAAAGACCUUGAUUGCCCGCGGAGUGACUCUGGGCGUGGGUGCUAACAUUUAGUGUCAUGGAGAUCUACCGAAAAACAGAUAAGAGGAAACACCUCAGCCUAGGAAUCCAACUACCUUCGAACCUGAAAACUAAAACAUGAAGUUGAAAAUAAUGAGUAUAAACUCAGUGAGUGAACAUAGGAAAGGAACAAGCAUCAAUACAGGAAGUUUUAGAAAACAUGAUGCACUUAUGUUGAAAACAAUGCAAUUUUGUUUAAUUUCUUAUAACAACGAAAAUCCAUUUUUACUGCAGUGGUAAAAUCAAUUGGAAAACAUAUCUUAAAUUUUAACAUUCAAUGCAAGCACAAUAUAAUUUCCAUAACCUCUCUAUAUAUAACAUAUAUAAACAUACAUACGACCACCGGCAUCACCCCAACUCUCCCUUAGCUCAUGUGCACUCCCACACCGCACAUAGCUAGGUCAUCAUCAGCUCAUGUGCACUCCCACACUGCACAUAGCUGAGUCAUCAUCAGCUCAUGUUCACUCCCACACCGCACAUAGCUGGGUCAUCAUUAGCUUAUGUGCACUCCUACACCGCACAUAGCUAAGUCAUAAUUAUAACACAAUAGUAUCAUUCAAUGCAUAACAUUGACAUCAACAUAAUGUGGAAACACAAGAAUUCAUCACAUUCAUAUUUCACAACAUAAAAACGCUUCAUUAAGGGCUUGUUCCCAUGCAAAUUUUAAAGAAAAACCAACCAAAUAUCUGAAGUGGUUCAAUCAAGCACAUAAUCAUUUAUUCCAAAACAUUUUGAUGCAAGUUCACUCACCUUACGAUAGCGGGAUGUUACAUCGUUAUUAGUUUGAAGGCGUAUCUAGCUAUUUCUACUUGCUGAUCGUUCAUUAUCUCCUCAAACACGCUACCACAGUACACUACCUUUACUUUUGUACUUCCUAGCAAUAAUCCAAAUUCAACAUCUUUAGUGGACCUCAUUUCUACUUCUCUUUUUCCUUCAAUCAUGAAUCCUUGUUCAACUAACUUAUAUCUUGACACAUUUUUUACCAAAGUGGCCUUUAUCCUUUACUUGCGUAAUUCUUUAGAUUAUGGAUACCGACAACUUAUAUAUAACUUUAGCACAUAUAUAAAUCUUGUCUAAGGAUAUUUAUCAAGUUUAUCCAUCAUUUCCACAAUAAUUACCUAGCAUAUGGUAGAAACUAUAAAUUUACUUUCAUCAAACAUUUUCUAAGUCUACAUGUACCACCAUCCUCAUUUACAUGUUGCUACCAAGCAUAACAUUAAUAUUCAUUCAUGCACACCAACAUCCAUAACCUUUUAAACCUUUCCUAACAACACAUAUCUACACACCAAACUUCCAAUUAAUAUAAUUGCCUUCCAACCAUACCCAUGACAUCACAAUAACACUACAUAUGCAUACAAUCAUUCUCAUAAUAUAAAACCAAUCAUAGGCUUCAAAUUGUACCAUUAAGCUUACCGUUUGGUUUUAGCUUGGAUUUCACCCAACAAAAUUCAUAAUUUCCUCACACCCAUGGCCACCAAAGCUGCUACAAAAUGAUUCACACAUUAUUUCUCCAAAGAUUUAACCAACCAUGAGCUUAAAACAAAAAAAUCCUUACCUUAUGUUUCUUGAAUCUUGAGACCCACUUGAUAUUUCUUCAAUUACUCUUGAAUAACUCACUACCCAAGCCUUUCACUUUUCUCUCCUUUCUUUUCUUGGCCGAUUCUUUCUAUUUUUCUUUUCAAAUGCAUGGUGGCAAGGUGAAAUGGCAUGGGAGCAUGAAAAUGGCAUUGAGAGCAUGAAGGUGGAGGAGAAAAUAUCUUUUGGCUAGAGAUAAGAACCAGACAUGGGAUAAGGACAAAAAGUCAAAGCUUUAUUUUGGAAGCUUUGACCAACUAAUGGCAAAAUUAUCAUUUUGCCCUGCAAGGUUUUCACCCUUUUUAAUUGUAUCCUCCCACAAUCUUUUAAUUCCAAUUUCUUUCCUUUUUUCUUCCUUAACACUUGUAUCAAUAAAAUAUCAAGUUUAUGUUUCAACGCGGUAUCACUGCAAUAUUUAAAUAUUUACUUACCCGUGCUAGUUUUAUUUAAUAAAGACACACGGGCUCCAUUAACGUCAAUUUUCUCCAAAAUUUUCUCAUUCUUCUUCUCCACCACUUUGAUUGACCAUAUACUCCUUUUUGAUGGAAAAUUUUGACACUGAACAAAAUAUUAUUAUUUUAAUAUUAUUUUAUUCCAACAAUUUCCACUUGACUCCUUGACACCCAAAAUGUCUUAUUAUGCCCCGAUUCACUCUCGAAUAACUUUUUAUCUUGCUAAUUCAUCCUCAAUAAAAAUAUUAUUAUUUAAUUGUUAUUUCCUCGCGUGCGAAAUAUUUUAUUCCAAACUAUGCCUUUCACCCUUAAUCAGUUUUAAACACUCUAAUUAACCUUAAUUGGCAUCCGAUAAGCUUUAUUAGCCAACAUAUCAAAGUAUGGGGUGUUACACUCACCUUGGUGAACUUGUAGUUGAAUCCUUUAGUGAGAAUUUAAGAGAGAAAAUUCUUUUAAGGGUUUUCUCAAGCUAUUUUGAAGAGUCUCUCUCUUUAAAAUGUUCAGCUAGUGAGAGAAAGUGCAUAGGAAAAACUUUUUGAGAGUUUUUUAGGUGAAAAAGUGAAAGAGAAUGAAAAAUCCUAUGAAAAAGUGUACCAAAAACAUGAGAUUUGGGGUUACUAUAAGAAGGUUAUUGAGGUUUUAAGGGUGGCCUCCAUGGAAGAUGGAAAACUUGAAAUGGGAAAGAAGGGUGGGAAGAAGAAGAAUAAGCUGCUGGAAUGAGGAGAAAGUGCUAGAACUUUAGAUAUUUAUCUCUAAAGUUAGUCAAAGUUUCACAUAAUUUACAAAAAUGCCCUUUUUUAUUCUUCUAGUGCAGUGCUUUCACUUUGACAAAGAUUUUGACCACCUUCCGAUCAGAUCUGGCUAAAGUGGUAAACAUCAAAGUUUUAGCCUUGCCUCUUAUAUUUCUAAUGGUUUCAAAAUCAUGUUAUUUGGACUUCUGUAGUGAGAGAUAUACUUGAAAAAUCAAAAUAUAUGCAAAUAGAGCAACAGUUAAUUAUGCACUUUUCUUCACCAAUUGAAAUUAUUUUUGAUCCUAUUCCUAUAAAAACAUAAAAUAAAUAUAAAUAACAUAAAACUAAUAUUAUUAAAUUAAAAUAAAUAUUUAAAUAUAAAUUAAACUAAACUAAUAAAAUAAAUAAAAAUACCUAAAUUUGAUCCUAAAUCUAGUCCAACUUAGACUAAUUAGGUAUUUAAUCUCCCAUUAAAUAUAUGAAUUUGAUGCACUCAACAGUCUACCUCUAGUUACGCGUCUAUGGAGGUCGAGGUUUCACAUUUGUAUACUUAGAGUGUGCGAGACACUCUAAGGGAAUUUAUUCAAGCUUGGAUUGCUUGAUUGGGUGUAUAGGUUCUAACUUAGCUUAGAAAGGUUAGUUUGGGUUUUGGUUGGUCUCGAGAAAAACCAUUAUAAAAGGUUAUGGCUAAGCUUGCUAAAAGCAAUUGUAAAGCUUGGUGGGAGCUUGGGAAUUCCACUGUUUUAGUGAGUUGAUUUCGAAAAUCCUUGGUUGAACAAUCAAGGUAGUGGAUGUAGGUCUUUGACCGAACAAAUCUAAAUUCUGAUGCAUUGUCUGCCUUGUUUCUGUUUUUGUUUUCAUUUCUUCUUAAAUUAUUCUCUCAUCUUGCUUCAGACUUCUCAUUGUUAAUCCUUAACGUACACAAAAUUAGAAGUCAAUUUUGUACGAGCCAAAAAGUGCUAUUCACCCCCCUUUUAGCAUAAUUACUUGGGACCAACAAGUGGUAUCAGAGCCUAUCCCUCUUUCUCAAGGCUUAACAUCCUAAGGGAUCCUAAUGACUCUUCAAAAAUCAGUAGUUGCUGAGGGAUAAUAAGCAAAUAGACCACCUUUGUUUGAUGGCUGAAAUUACCCCUAUUGGAGUACUAGAAUGUCAAUAUAUAUAAGGGCAAUAGACUAUGAGAUGUGGGAUAUCAUUACUGAUGGACCCUUCAUUUGUUAAACCUUAAACGUAGUGACCAACGAGAUGAUUCUUAAGCUAAGGUCUUAAUGGACCGAAGCUGAAGCCAAAAGAGUCCAAACAAAUUUUAAAGCAAUCAAAACACUACAUUGUACUUUAACUCCGACUAAAUUCAACAAAGUGUCAAGCUAUACCACAGCUAAACAAGUGUGAGACAAACUUAGGAUUAUUCAUGAAGGGACUUCACAAGUUAAGGAGUCCAAAAUAGCUCUCUUAACCCACAACUAUGAGAUGUUUAAGAUGAAACUUGGUGAAAAUAUCACUAGUAUGCUAGAUAGGUUCACAAACAUCACAAAUAAACUUACUCAACUAGGCAAACCAAUUCCUGAACAUGAAAUUGUCAAAAGAAUUCUGAAAAGCCUACCUAAAAAUUGGAAGCCAAAGGUGACCGCCAUUCGUGAAGCCAAAGACUUAAAUGUCAUAACCCUUGAUGAAAUUUGUGGGUCUCUUCUCACUCACAAGCUGGAACUUAAGGAAAAGGAAGAAGAAGACAAGAUAGAAGCUAAAGAAAAGAAGAAAAGCAUUGCCUUAAAAGCCAUCAUCCUUGAAGAAGAAUUAAAUAAUCUAUCUUGUGAUGAUGAUGAGGAGCAAGCUAUAGUUCCAAGAAGGUUUAGAAAGCUUAUAGGCCAAAGAAAUCGGAGAUUGGCUAAGAAAAGGUAUAGAAGAGAUCAAGGCUCUUCAUGGAGAACCAAAAAUAAAAAUGAGUCCAACAAGAAAGAUGUCACAGCCCAAUUUCCAGGCCAUGACCGGUGCAAGGGCCUAAUAAGCAUAACCCACUAGGCUCUAGCAAGCCUUCCUGUAUAAAGCUAUACAUUAGCCCAUUUAUCAUCCAUAUUCCCUUUUAAGAUCUAUAACUCAUAAUGUUCAAAUAAUAACUUCAUUGAAAUCAAUUCAUAAAAUCCAAGCUUAUACUUAUAAUGGUAUUCAUCAAUCAUACUAUACAUAAAUAGUUUACCAAACGAUUCUUAGCAAAUUACAUCCAGUUUACAUGUACACAUUCAAAGACUUUAACUGUUAGUGGAGUAACUCUGGGCAUGGGUGAUAACACUUAGUAUCAUGGCAAACCUAUCGAACAAUGGAUAUGGAGGAUCACCUCAUCCUAGGAUCCAGUCACCUUUGACUCAGAAACCUAAAACAUGAAGUUUAAAAACGUGAGAAUAAACCUAGUGAGUGAACAUAAAAAGGGAACAAGCAAGCAGUACGGAAAGUUUAGAAAACAUGAUGCACUUAUUUUAAAAACAAUUCAAUUUAGUUUAAUUUCUUGUUUAAACCCCAUAAUUUAGCCUUUGAUUAUUUAGUCUUUUAAUGUUGAAAAAAAAUCCAUGAUUAACCAUGAAGUUGGAAGGUGAAAAUUAUUGCAAAUAUCCACACAAAAUAGAAAGUUUCUCAUCGUGGUGAAAAUGGAAUUUCACUGCAGUGAGAAUAAUGCCUACCGCGCACACACAAAAUAUUCUCACCGUGACGAAAAUGGAAUUUCACUAUAGUGAGAAUAGUGUUUGCCACACUCAAAAAUUUCUCGCUACGACAAAAAUGAAAUUUCGCUACAGCGAAAUUUAGGGCAAGUGGAAUUAUGGGGAUUUUUGCUGUAUUAAAAAUCUGUUCCUGAUGGAAUGAAAGUCAAAUUGAACACAUUUGACAAUAAUCAAUUUUUCAACAUUCAAUCCAAGCACAUAUUAUUUUCAUAACCUUUUCUAUAGCAUAUAAAAACAUAUUUAUAGCAUAUAUAUAUACAAGCACGUAUACAACCACCACCUCACCCAACUCAUGUGCACUCUGCACGACAUAUAGCCGGAGUCAUCGUGUGCACCCCCACAUCGCACACAACUAAUGCCAUCAUGUGCUUCCCCCACAUCACGCACAUGGCAUAUAUCAUCAUCAUCGUGUGCAAUCCCACAUCGCGCAUAACUAAUGCCAUCAUGUGCUCCCCCCACAUCGCACACAUAGGCAAUCUCAUCAUCAUCGUGUGCACCCCCACAUCGCGCACAACUAAUGCCAUCAUGUGCUCCCCCCACAUCGCGCACAUAGGCAAUCUCAUCAUCAUCGUGUGCACCCCCACAUCGUGCACAACUAAUGCCAUCAUGUGCUCCCCCACAUCGCGCACAUAGGCAAUCUCAUCAUCCACACUCCCUCACCCCGUUAUCACCGACAUGUGCACUCCCACACCGCACAUGCACGGUCAUAAUUAUCAACACACAACAUAUAUAUAUAUAUAUAUAUAUACAUAUACUAACAUAAUACAGUAGCACAUGGAUUUGUCACAGUCACAUUUCACAACGUAGAAACAUUUCAUCAAGGGCUUGUUCCCAUGCAUGUUUUUAAGAAAAGACAAAUAAAUUCUUUCAUGUGAUUCAUUCAACACACAUAUCGAUAUCCCAAAACAUUUAAAUGCAAGUUCACUCACCGGUCUUUGUUGAUGCUUUGAUUGACUCUAACUUUGACCAAUACUCCGAAUGGAGAUGUGGGAUCUCGUUGGAACCUAUCACACCCAAUAGCAUCUCAAUCACCCAAAUUGGCAUUAAUAUAAUUCCAAAAGCUAUUUUCAAACUCAAGUUCAGCUAGUUAUUCCUAACUAGCUUCCAAUCACCAUUAAGUGGCUAUUUAUUUCACUACUCUAGUCACCCUAAAAAUGAAAAAACAACCUCAACAAUAAAACACUCAUAAUUCCAUUGUUAGCCAUUAUCAACAUCUUAAAAAUAAAUCCUAACUUAUUACUCACCUUAGGGUUUUUUCGUAGUUGAAUUCCUUUUCAAAAGCUUUCAAAGUAUUAUGGGAAAUCUCUUUCUCUUUUUCUCUCUCUAAAAUGUCUAGCUAGUGAGAGAAAGUAUUAAGGAAAGGUUUUUGAGGAUUCUUAAGGUGUAGAAAUAGAAGAGCAUGAAAAACCCUAUGAAAGAGUGGGCAAAAGCAUGAAACUUGGACUUUCUAUGAGAGAUUUAUGGAGGAUUCAAGAUUUCUUCUCAUGGAAAAUGAAAAAAAACAUGAAAUGGAGAGAAGGAAUGGGAUGAAGAAGAAAAGCUGCUGAAAGUUGCUGGAACUUAGAUUUUUGUGCUUCAAGUUAAUCCAAAUUUCACUUAAUUUACCAAAAUACCCUUAACACGGUGGCUUUGUCUUCCUCCCAUCCUUUAUGCAACCUUUUUACUCUUUUGACAUUGAGACAAAGUCCAUAAUAGUCUAAAAAUACUCAGGUUCACGAAAACAUAAAAAUUUAAACUCGAGAUGUAAGAUGACCAUUUUGCCCCUACUACGGAAAUUAUCAGUGUUUUUAUCUUUUUCAUUUAUUUUACCAUCAUUCAUUUAUUCCUUAGGCUUACUUAGACCUUAAUAACAUUAGAAAACUACUUCUAGGAGCUCACCAUAAGAAAUGAUGAAAUUACCCUUAGUUCGUGUUAUUGAGUUUACUUCUAGCUACGAGUCUGUGGAGGUCGAGGUUUCACAAUACGAGGGUACUGGGUGUCACCGUCUCCCCCACUUAAAUAGAAUUCAUCCUUGAUUUCACAUCGGUGUCAAGUUAUUAAUCUCACUCUAUGAUCUUAUUUUGUUCCUUCCUUUAUAGGGAAUUUUGAUUUAUGCACUUCGUUACCUUCCGUUCGACUAAAACAUUUUACAAGAUCAAGGUACGUAACUUAUAUCUAUUAUUAUCUUUGAGUUAGAACCAUGGUAUUUUUCACUAAUGUUCUCUUUUUUAUCAUUAAGCCGCCGAGCAUGCUUUUGUCUUCCAUCAUUAACCUCGAAUCAUAACUCCAGCUCAAUCAUAGCGAUUUUGAUCAUAUAUAUACUCACUUAUGUACACCUAAUCAUCAUCUUAUUACCUCAUUCCCUGUCAACUCCCCGACAUUCUGUCAUGACCUGGUACUCCCCUCGAGCCCGUGACAACCGCCAUGGUGUCUUGAUAGACACUUAUUACCCAGAAUGCCAACCGAAACCCCGCAAGGCUUUAAUAUCAAUUUCUCAUUUCCCCUGUGAGUAACCGCUACCAAAUAUCACGUUCUAAAAGAUUUUAAACUAUUUCCAACUUAAAACAAUAAAAAAAUAAUUUUCGUCUCACAAGGGUAUUUUAGUCAUUUUUCCUUGAAAAUUUUGAAACCCGCUAAUAAUGUAGUAUACGGUGCAAAACACAUAUUUCAUAAUCAAAAAUAAAUUUGGAUGUCUAAAACAUUCGUUUAAAAUAAAAUUAUGACUACUAGAAUAAAAUAAAAAUAUUGAAUAAAAUAUUCAAUUUUCUCAUAAAAUAAUAUUUUUAUAGAAUACUGCAUAAAUAAUUUUUACAGCAUAAAAGCAAAAUAAAUUCAUAUAUAUCGUAAUACAGUAAGCCAGAGUAUUUAAUUUAAUUUACAGUAACAAGUGGGCCUUCGAAUAACCAAAAGUAAGAAAGAUUGUGAACCUACAGUUUGGAGGAUGCAAAUCCAAUGGUGGUCCUCGAUAAAAUCAGCUAUCUAUAGACUAUCUUGAGCCUGAAAUGGGUGGAAAGGAGGGUGGUGAGAUUAUAUAAUCCCAGUGAGUAAACAAACAUAAUUCAAAAUAUCUAAAGUCGAGUAAAAGGAGACGAUUAAAAUAUUACAUCCAAAUAUCCAUUUCAUAACAUAAAUAUUCAUUUCAUUUAAAUAAUCAAUAUGGCUUAUGAAUAUCUUAAAACUUGGCUGAUGCGAAAAACUCAUACUCGGUGACACCUUGAUCAUAGGUAUCCAACCAAGUCCGCCAAGGCUGUUACAAAGUUAUGUAUGCACAAAACAUGUUUUUAUUUUGAAACAUAGCCGUUCCUUGGCGUUAGCGGAGUUCAUCAUCACAAGGUGGUUUGGCAUGAUGUGAACUCUAACCAUGCCUCAGGAGAUACCCUACGCACCUCUCCGAUCGAGGUACAUAUAUAUAACCAAAUUUUGUGCCCCUCUAAUAGGCUGGUCCACAGAACUCGCACACUGCAACAAGCUAAACCCACCAUAUAAUCAGAUUUGCGAUAGCAUGACAUGGCAAUUAUUUUAUUUUACAGCCUCUCAAGGCAAAUCAAUAGUUUAUACAUUUUCAGCACAUUUACCAAAUCAACCAUUCAUGCCAAUAUUGCCAUAAGCCAAUAAAUUAAAACCAUAAAUUUAUAACACAUCAAGUGGUCUCCAAUUACUCUAUUUUCAAAACCAUCAUUUAACCUCAAGACAAUUUAUCAAAUCUCUUCAUCUAAACACAUUUUGUUUAUAAAACAUAAAGAUUUACCAUUAAAAUUCAUUUUCAUAAAAUUUCACCAAAACCGAAUAAAAUCAUACUUUAGAUAAUUAAAAUAAUGAUAAGAUUACUCACCUCACAAUAGCGAGAUUACUACGUCGCUAUUGAUUCGUAUGUGUGUAUAAUUAUUCCUAAUUGCCAAUCAUAUGCUUCGUUUGUCACGCUUCCACAACAACUUUCCUAGCAACAAUUUAAACCCAAUACACUUAGUGCAUCAAUUCCACUUCUCUCUCUCAUUCUAUCAUAAAUCCACAUUAUUUCUCCUCAUUUCUUCCAAUAUUUUACCAUUUAACUUAACACUCUCAACCAAAUUAUGCAUCUAAAUUCCUCCGACAUCAAUAAUUCUUCACAACGAAUCAUUUAAAAUUUCUUAACUUCAUUCAAGCACUAUUAGUAAAUUUCACAUUUUCUUCUUUACUUUAGUCCAAUGACACCUCCUAAUAAAAUAUUUAAAUAUUGUAUUAAAGUAAUUUAAAUUUAAUUCAUAUCACUAAGAAUUAAAAAUUUAAUUAAACAAAUGGCUAACUUAAAAUAAUACAAUUUCAUAAUAGGCCAAAUAAAAGCAAAGAAAAUUUUCUUUACCUAUUUGGACUAGAUUAGUCCAAGUCCAAUUUUUUCCACCUUUACUCUCUCUUGGGCUUUUCCUUCUUUAUGGCUAUUGGGCCCUUUUUAUGGUUUCUCCCCAACUUUUUUCUAUUGGGCCAUGCCCAUUUUUCUUUCUUGUUGGGCCAUGCCCACUCUUUUUUNGCCCUACUUUCUUUUUUUUUCCUUUUCUUUUCUUUUCUUUCUUUCUUUCUUUCUUUCACCGUCCAACAGCACCUUGCUUGUCUUUCUUUUUCUUUUCUCACAUGCACAAGCUGUCCACAAUUUCUUCCUCUCUCUCCCUCUCACCGCAGGCCACAAUUUCUUGCUUCUUUCAGCCAAAAAUUUUCAACAGCCAAAGCUGCUCAUAUUGACUUCAAAAUCAGCAGCUAAGCUGCUUUAUUUCUCCCCAAAAAUCAGCAACUUAACUGCACUAUUCUCUAUCAAAAAUCAGCAGCCAAAGCCACAAAGAUUAACAACCAAACCGCACCUUUCAGCCUUCAAAAUCAACAACUAAAACCAUACCGUUCAGCCUUCAAAAUCAGUAGCAAAAAUUACACUUUUCAACCUUCAAAAUCAGCAACAAAAGCUGCUCCUCUCACCCUUUAAAUUGACAAAAAAUAGCUCUCUUUUGCUCCUUAAAUGGCAGCAAAACCGCCCCUCUCAACUCAACUCUUCCACCUUUCUUUUCUUCCUCACCUCUCGACCUUCUCUAGUUUCUUUUUGCUCUUUUUGCUCACGCCUUCUUCUUGUUUCUUUUUCUUUUCUUCACUAACCGACUUCUCUUUUCUUCUAUGUCUUCUUCACUUUACUUAUUGAAUUAUAUAUAUAUAUAUAUAUUUUAUUCUCCAUUUUGUUCUAACUUGGCCGGCCCAUUACACCUUUAUUUCUUUUCCUUUUGUUCCACAUGGCCGAGCCCCUUCCAUCAAUUUAAUUAAAGAGUGUUUUGACUGUUUUUAUUGACCACAUGGGCGGUUGCCCAUGUUGGUCUUCCUUUAGUUAUUUUAUUUUAUUAUUAUUUUUUAUAUACAUACUUGUAUUAUUAUUUUUACUAUUUGUUUAUUUUAUCUCCUCCAUUUAAUUUCUCUACAUAAUCCUUCAACUUUUAUAUUUUAAAUUCAAUCCCUUUGAUGCGUCUAAAAAUUUCAAUUUUCAUCUAUCUUCCUUUCUCUGUAUGUGUACCACCAAAAUAUCAAAAUUGCACUUCAAUGCGGUAUUACCAUAAUAUUUAAAUAUUUACUUAUCUACCUUGGCUCGACUUAGCAAAACAUGUGUAUUUUACUUUUGUCGCUCAUUUUUCAAAAAUUUGCUUGUAUUUCUUCUCCCCCACUUGGAUCAACCAUAUGAUCCUUCUUCAUGACUGAUUUCAACAUCCGGUUAAAUAUUAAUAUUUUAAUAUUAUUUUAUUAAUAAAAUAAUAUUUUAUUCUAAAAAUUUUCUCUUGUCUCCCUGGUACCCAAAAUACUUUAUUUUGCCUCAAUUGACUUCUGAAUCACCCUUUUAUCUCACAAAUUCUCCUCCGAUAAAAUAUUAUUAUUUUAUUAUUAUUUUCUCGCAUGCGGAUCAUUUUAUCUUAAGCUACUCCUUUCAUCUUCCAUCACGUUUAAACAUUAUAAUUGGCCUCAAUUCGCAUCUGAUAAGCUUUAUUUGUCACCAUGUCAAAGUAUGGGGUAUUAAACAUUCAUUCCUUCAUUUUAUCCCCAUACACUAUUGCAUAACUUAUGGCAUUAUAAACAUGUCCUACUCAUUCCUAUACAUAUUUUCAACAUCAGGGGGAAUUGAAUCUUUCAACCAUUCCCUCACUUUUCAUGUUUAUUUCGUAUUUAUGAAACUUAAAUCUUCUUAAUCAUAUUAGUCCAUUUUGCAUGUCUUAAUCACGCUAUAGAUUACAUUCCCUUGAUACCAUUUCUUUGACUGUUUCUUUAAAUUUCUUAUAUCAACAUAGCUCAACUUCCGAUGAGAUCUCUUUUUGUUGUACUAUCCAUAUAACUCAUCAAAUAUAUCAUGUUCAAAUUUCAAAUCACUAAGAACAAUUCUUUACCUUAGUUGGGUACAUCAUCAAUUCCACACAUACGUAUGUACAUGCACUUUUGAAUGUCAACAUUCCUCAUUAUGUGUGGGGAUCCUUGUGUUCAAGCACCUUCGAGCUAAAUUUCGCUUCUAUUCAUUCCUAUCCAUAACCAAGAUUCAAUAUAAUAAGUCUCAUACUACAUGUCAACAUUCUCAUAUUUAAUCUACGAACAUUGGGGUAAAAUCAAUUUUUGAUUGCCCUUUUUAGAUGUUUAAAUUACCAUUCAAUUUGCGUCUUACCAUAAGUUAUCUCUUACAUAAUCCAUACGAAUUCUCAUCAUGCCUACGCAUAACUUCACAUCAUUUGCAUGCUUAUACUCCCUUCUUAUCACUUUUAACUAUAUACUUAAGUUUCAUUGUACUAUAUAUCCUUACACCACAAUGUCAUUAGUCACAUUGCACUUACUAAAUACAUUUUCAUUAUCUUGCAAUCCAGUAUGCGUAUAUGCUUUAUAACCUCAUUGAUCCUUCAAAGGUUCAUCUUUUCUUGAUCAUUGCAUCUUAUGCAAUAUCAUAAUCCCUAAAAGUCAUCCUUAUAUAUCCCUUUUGCAAUUCGACAUUAACUAGUCACUUAAGAUUUAAACUCAUUCGAAUCAUGCGUGCCUCAUGCAUUUCCGAAUUCUAAUUUCCAUAAUACAUUAGAAGGUUUCCAUUAUCCAACUUCAUUAUCAAGGUUACCUUCAAUCAUCUUUUACACUAUUCUUUUAUACCAAUAUAACAUCAGUCUCUCUUAGCCAAUUUACAAUUUGCACUUGAAAUGGCAAGACUUCAAACAAGGUUUUUUUUUUCUCCGAUACUUCUCAAUAUCAAUGUGAGUAUCACUUUUAGCUUACGACGUUCUUUGUGUAAUCACAUAACUUAAUGCUUGUUUUCACAAGACUCAUAGAAAGAUUCCUUUUGAGUAUUUCCUUAUGGAUACUUAUCUGAAACUUAUGUCUCAUCGCCUAUGAUCACUUAACCUGUGAUUUACUUGUUAGGCUCUUCAGCAAGUUUCAAAAUUUCAUAUAUUAUUUUAACUGCGUACGUUUGAUAAUUCCUUUUCAAGAAUGUUCAUAUUUUCCUGAAACACUUAAUCACUUAUUUGCUCUUUAACAUUCCAAGCAUAUCAUUCCAAAAGACAUGCACUAUUCACCAAGAUAUUUUAAUGCAUACUCAUUUCUUCAAUCCUCAGUUUAUAUUCAUAGAUUUCUAGUAUGCCAUAUAAUUUGUCUUGUGUUGUUACUAAUCCUUUCCAUUCAACUAAGUCAAGACAAGAUUUGUAAUUCCUCAUAACGAUACUUUACAUUAACUCAUUUUCUAUGUACGCUUGUAAUUCUUCAUUCACACUUUCAUUAUUUGGUUUUGACGUCCCUUAUCAAUGUCUCAUAUGUUCAUCCAACUUUUCACUCACUUUUUUCUUAGCCUUUAACAAGGCUUAAUCUUUUGUCUACUUUAUUUCUUAGGAUUUAACUUUAGUCAACAUAUUUUUUUAUUUUGUUUUCGUCUUAAUACUUCACGUGGUAAUUUACCUCAAUAUAGCCAUCUCAAGAACUCUCUAACUCCUCUUUUACUUACAUGCCAACAUAUCAGGCAAUAAAGAAACUUUUCAAUUUACUCGUAUAAACACUUUUCCAACACACUUGAAACUCCAAAUAACAAAGCUCAACAUUAAGAUUAAUGGCCAUAGUUCAACUUGCAAGUUUUAUCUUCAUGCCACUCACCAUUUGCUCGUGCUUUCUAGCCAUGAGAGCGUCUUAAUGCGGUAACUUUGGGUAAUCAGCACUACGAUGUUGUAGCUGUUAGAAUUUACCUUAUCAAAUUGAUUCUUCUGCCUUUAAGGCUACUACACUAAUCAUUCUUAACCGCAUGGCUUUCUCUUAAGCCUAUACCAUAGUUUCCAUCAGCAUGUAUAUCUUCAUUUUGCUUAUCAUAUGCUCUAGGCCAAGUUGAUACCUUUAACUCAUAUUAUCUUGUAACUCUUAUCAUUGAUCACUAAGUCCCACCUUAGGAUAUCCUUUCCAUAUGGUGUAAUGAAUUCACAACAUACAUAUCACUACACACAUAAUUAUUCAUUAUUUAUGGCAUCCCACAAUUCUUACCAUCCAUAAUUAAUUGUCUUUCUUGUCUAGUAACUCAAAUAGUUAUUGACUUUUAGUACAAAUGAUCAUAAAAAUAAUUCAUUGUUCUCCAUAUUCUACAUUCACAAUCUUUAUCAAAUCAAGAAUUCAUCUUUCCCAAGUUCCAUAAUUUACCUCCAAUGGGCUAUAUUUGUGUCAGAUUAUCAUUUUAUAAUGUUACGGCAUCAUUUUUAUAAUUCCCUCCAUACUUAAGUUUACAAUCCUUGACUUAAUCACGUUACCCAUUCAAAGUGUCACCUAUAGUCUCACUAAUUUCUCCCAUUAUUCAUCUUAAUAACUUUCGACCUUUCACAACACACUCCCCAUACAUGUUAGGGCAUUCUCAAUCUCAUACCAAGCUUAUAGUCAUAUAACCACUAAUUAGGCUAAGUUCUUCUAUGGGAUAUCUCCUUCCAUAUGACGCAUGGGGAUCACAAGAUGUACAACUCCAAGUGUAUGUCUACAUAUUGAUAACCUCCAUAUAUUGCAUGAUCAGGAAACCCACAAUUUGCACAACUAGCUUUCUAUCACAAGUUCGUGAUCGGAACAUUAAUCUCAACAUAUCUAUUCCACAUUGGGUGGCAUGUCAAAAUCACCCUUUGAACACAUUUCACAACUAACAUUCACACACCUUGACCAUGACAUUUAGUGCAAAUUUGAUGAACCAAUGAUCUCUAAAUAACUCUUAGGUACAUAAAUAUCAAAGUGUACAUCACUUUGAUUUGCGAGCUUAACUUCACUCAUCAAUCCUUAACCGUUAACAUUCGUAAGGUGGACAAUUCACUUAUGUCACGACCCGGUACUCCCUUCGACUCUGUGACAUUCGUCGCGAUGUCUCGAUAGACAUUCAUUACCCGAAAUGUCAACCGAAACCUCGCAAGGCUCUCGCAUUAGUUUUACAUCUCCCUUGUGAGCAAUAGUUACUAAAUAUCAUGUUUUAAGGGAAUAUAAACUAUUUUUAAAUCAAAACAAACAAAAAAUAAUAAUUUCUGCCACACAAAGGUAUUUUGGUCAUUUUUACCCAAAAAUUUUGAAACAUGGUCUAAAUAUGAUAUACGAGUAAUAAGCAUCCAUUUCAUGUCUAAAAAUAAGUUUCGUUGUCUAAUUCAUCAAUUUAAAGUGAAAUUAUAGCUAUUCAAAUUAAAUAAAAAUAUUAAAUAAAAUAUUCUAUUUUCUUAUAAAACAAUAUUUAUAGAACUCUGNNNNNNNNNNNNNNNNNNNNNNNNNNNNNNNNNNNNNNNNNNNNNNNNNNNNNNNNNNNNNNNNNNNNNNNNNNNNNNNNNNNNNNNNNNNNNNNNNNNNNNNNNNNNNNNNNNNNNNNNNNNNNNNNNNNNNNNNNNNNNNNNNNNNNNNNNNNNNNNNNNNNNNNNNNNNNNNNNNNNNNNNNNNNNNNNNNNNNNNNNNNNNNNNNNNNNNNNNNNNNNNNNNNNNNNNNNNNNNNNNNNNNNNNNNNNNNNNNNNNNNNNNNNNNNNNNNNNNNNNNNNNNNNNNNNNNNNNNNNNNNNNNNNNNNNNNNNNNNNNNNNNNNNNNNNNNNNNNNNNNNNNNNNNNNNNNNNNNNNNNNNNNNNNNNNNNNNNNNNNNNNNNNNNNNNNNNNNNNNNNNNNNNNNNNNNNNNNNNNNNNNNNNNNNNNNNNNNNNNNNNNNNNNNNNNNNNNNNNNNNNNNNNNNNNNNNNNNNNNNNNNNNNNNNNNNNNNNNNNNNNNNNNNNNNNNNNNNNNNNNNNNNNNNNNNNNNNNNNNNNNNNNNNNNNNNNNNNNNNNNNNNNNNNNNNNNNNNNNNNNNNNNNNNNNNNNNNNNNNNNNNNNNNNNNNNNNNNNNNNNNNNNNNNNNNNNNNNNNNNNNNNNNNNNNNNNNNNNNNNNNNNNNNNNNNNNNNNNNNNNNNNNNNNNNNNNNNNNNNNNNNNNNNNNNNNNNNNNNNNNNNNNNNNNNNNNNNNNNNNNNNNNNNNNNNNNNNNNNNNNNNNNNNNNNNNNNNNNNNNNNNNNNNNNNNNNNNNNNNNNNNNNNNNNNNNNNNNNNNNNNNNNNNNNNNNNNNNNNNNNNNNNNNNNNNNNNNNNNNNNNNNNNNNNNNNNNNNNNNNNNNNNNNNNNNNNNNNNNNNNNNNNNNNNNNNNNNNNNNNNNNNNNNNNNNNNNNNNNNNNNNNNNNNNNNNNNNNNNNNNNNNNNNNNNNNNNNNNNNNNNNNNNNNNNNNNNNNNNNNNNNNNNNNNNNNNNNNNNNNNNNNNNNNNNNNNNNNNNNNNNNNNNNNNNNNNNNNNNNNNNNNNNNNNNNNNNNNNNNNNNNNNNNNNNNNNNNNNNNNNNNNNNNNNNNNNNNNNNNNNNNNNNNNNNNNNNNNNNNNNNNNNNNNNNNNNNNNNNNNNNNNNNNNNNNNNNNNNNNNNNNNNNNNNNNNNNNNNNNNNNNNNNNNNNNNNNNNNNNNNNNNNNNNNNNNNNNNNNNNNNNNNNNNNNNNNNNNNNNNNNNNNNNNNNNNNNNNNNNNNNNNNNNNNNNNNNNNNNNNNNNNNNNNNNNNNNNNNNNNNNNNNNNNNNNNNNNNNNNNNNNNNNNNNNNNNNNNNNNNNNNNNNNNNNNNNNNNNNNNNNNNNNNNNNNNNNNNNNNNNNNNNNNNNNNNNNNNNNNNNNNNNNNNNNNNNNNNNNNNNNNNNNNNNNNNNNNNNNNNNNNNNNNNNNNNNNNNNNNNNNNNNNNNNNNNNNNNNNNNNNNNNNNNNNNNNNNNNNNNNNNNNNNNNNNNNNNNNNNNNNNNNNNNNNNNNNNNNNNNNNNNNNNNNNNNNNNNNNNNNNNNNNNNNNNNNNNNNNNNNNNNNNNNNNNNNNNNNNNNNNNNNNNNNNNNNNNNNNNNNNNNNNNNNNNNNNNNNNNNNNNNNNNNNNNNNNNNNNNNNNNNNNNNNNNNNNNNNNNNNNNNNNNNNNNNNNNNNNNNNNNNNNNNNNNNNNNNNNNNNNNNNNNNNNNNNNNNNNNNNNNNNNNNNNNNNNNNNNNNNNNNNNNNNNNNNNNNNNNNNNNNNNNNNNNNNNNNNNNNNNNNNNNNNNNNNNNNNNNNNNNNNNNNNNNNNNAUUUCUUCUCCACCACAUAAAAUCCCUCAAUUAUCCAAAGUAUAAAAUGAAUUUCAUGGGUUUGACAAGUGUUAAGGUGGUGUAAAAUUCCAAAAAUUCUAAUUACGUCCUUGUGGACACGUAAAAUGACCUUUUGCCCUUAUGUUCAAAAAAUUGUUGGAAUUAAAAUUUUUCACUUCUCAAGCUCAAAUUAUGUUCCAAAUAGUCAAACUUGAUCAAAAUUUCAUCCACCAUCCCAAAUUUGCCCUCGAGUGAAAAAAUGACCAUUUUACCCCUACGUUAUGAAAAUUCCAAUUUAACUCCAAAUCAAUUCCCGAACUCCGAAUCACCAUAUUAAGUCAUUCUAAGAUUCAAUAACUCUCAAUUGCAUCUUAAAAUCUUUAUUUGAACUAGUUUGAGGCUUAAAUCAACUUAGUUGUACCACUAGGUACACUACCGACUUUUGACGAUUUUUUCGAGGUAUUCAAGUAUGCAAGCAUGUAGUCAAAUACAUGAAUGACAUGGCAAGUAUAUUAUAGAGUAGGGCUUGACAACUUAAUUGUUGCAUCUCGCUUUUACGGCCAUAAGAUCCAAAUUCGUAAACUUAGGAUGCAGAAGCUCCCUCUUCGAGCUUAUCCAAUAGUCAACAUUUUCUAUAUCUUUUACCUUUGGAGAAAUCAUAUUCAAAACUAAUCAUUUACAUCAUAGGUUGCAUACUGAACCAUAUAAACUUUUAAAUUGAUCUUUAAAGCAACUUGUAUACUAAGCUCAAACAUAGAACUCCAUAUGACAUUUAGACUAAAAUCAACACUUCUAAGUCAUUUAACUUCAAGCUACCAAAUCCAUAACUAAUCCUUUAAUCCUUUGGCUUCAUGCUAAGCAUAGCAAAAUUCAAGCUCAUCCUUAAAGCAGUUUGGUUUACUAGCCUUUUUCUUGAUGACCACACAUUAUUUAUAACAAUCACUAGUCAUUCCAGUCAAAGUACGCCCCUUAUUACCAUUAUCUCACGUGCUCUUUUAUAUUGACCUCAAAUACAAGUCAUAGUCAUCAAAUUUUCUUCCCAUUGACAAUGUUGGGCUCAACCUUUAACUCCACCAAAUGAACAAGUUAUUACAGACCUAUUAAUCCAACUCCACUUUCCUCCAUCCUUAAUUGAAGGGAUAUACCAUCACACUAACCUUUUAUUGGGAACGUUUCCUUAAAAUCUUCCAACAACAUCUUGUGUCUCGAGUGACAUCUCAAACCCAGACGACAACACCAUUUAAGACCUUUAUAUGAUGUUAGCAGAAGGGUAGGUUACUAAGAAUAAGAGUCUAUAUAGUCUCAUCUCUAUGACUUGUGUUGCAGUCACAAGCCAUAACUAAGACUCUACAUUAACUCCGACAACUCCGCUAACUGACAUGAGAAUUCCUAGGACUCGACAAAACCUAGAGCUUUGACAACACGUUUGUCACAACCCAAUUUUCAGGCCAUGACCGGUGCAAGGGCCUAAUAAGUAUAGCCACUAGGCCCUAGCAAGCCUUCUUGUAUAAACCUGUACAUUAGCCCAUUUAUCAUCCAUAUUCCCUUUUAAGAUCUAUAACUCAUAAUGUUCAAAUAAUAACUUCAUUGAAAUCAAUUCAUAAAAUCCAAGCUUGUACUCAUAAUGGUAUUCAUCAAUCAUAAUAUACAUAAAUAGUUUACCAAACGGUUCUUAGCAAAUUACAUCCAGUUUACAUAAAAACAUUCAAAGACUCUGACCGUUAGUGGAGUAACUCUAGGCAUGGGUGCUAACACUUAGUAUCAUGGCAAACCUACCAAACAAUGGAUACGGAGGAUCACCUCGUCCUAGGAUCCAGUCACCUUUGACUUAGAAACCUAAAGCAUGAAGUUUAAAAAUGUGAGUAUAAAUCUAGUGAGUGAACAUAAGAAGGGAACAAGCAAACAAUAAGGAAAGUUUAGAAAACAUGAUGCACUUAUUUUUAAAAUAAUGCAAUUUAGUUUAAUUUCUUGUUAAAACCCCAUAAUUUAGCCUUUGAUUGUUUAGUCCUUUAAUGUUGAAAAAAAUCCAUGAUCAACCAUGAAGUUGGAAGGUGAAAAUUACUACAAAUAUCCACACAAAAUAGAAAGUUUCUCAUCGCUGCGAAAAUGGAAUUUCGCUGCAGCGAGAAUAGUGUCUGCCACACUCAAAAAUUUCUUUCGCUGCAGCGAAAUUCAAGGCAAGUGGAAUUAGGGGGAUUUUUGCUGUAUUAAAAAUCCGUUCCUGAUGCAACGAAAAUCAAAUUGAACACAUUUGACAAUAAUCAAUUUCUCAACAUUCCAUAGAAGUACUUAUUAUUUUCAUAACCUUUUCUAUAGCAUAUAAAAACAUAUUUAUAGCAUAUAUAUAUAUAUAUAGAAGCAUGUAUACAACCACCACCUCACCUAGCUCGUGUGCACUCCGCAUUGCACAUAGCUGGAGUCAUCGUGUGCACCCUCACAUCGCGCACAACUAAUGCCAUCGUGUGCUCCCCCCACAUCUCGCAUGUCACGACCCAAAUUUCGGGCCAUGACCGACGCAUGGGCCUAAUGGACAUAGUCCACUAAGCUUAAGUAAGCCUAUUAAUCUGACAUGUUCAUCAUUCCAUCAUAAACUAUUAAGUCACAUUUCUUAACUUAGGAUCAAAGUAAUAUUAAACAUUGCCACUUCAUACUAGCAUAUUAAACAAGUGUAUAUAUAUGUUGUCUACAACAUGUAUCUUAAUAAUUUACAUUAGGUUUGUCUAUACACAACAAAAGAAUACUCGACUUCCAGCAGAGGGACUAAGACGAAUGUACAACUACUGAGUGCCGAGACACCUACCAAAAGAUGGAUACAAAUCUACAAGGACACCUCAUCCUAGUUACCCACUACCUCGUGAUCUGAAAACAUGAAGUUGAAAACGGUGAGUAUAAACCCAGUGAGUGAACAAGGAAGGGAACAACCAACCAUAAGGGAGAAUUUAAAAUCAUGAUGCACUUGUUUUAAAAAAAUGCAAUUUAAUUUCAUUCAUAUUGAAAACCCCUCAUUAAACCCUUAAAUAAUUAAUCACUUGGUAAUGAUGAACCCAUACAUAACAAAUAAUUUGAAAAAUGAAGGCUUCAGUGAUACACAAGCAAGUCAAAUGUGACAACGAAUCUUUACUGCAGUGAAAAGACACGUUGCAGCGAGAAUGAAUUUUUGCUGCAGUGACGUUGGGGUUAAGUUAUUAGCCAAACGAGGAUUCCUCAACUGGCCAAAGGUUUCUCACCAAACCUACUCAUUUUAAACUUAAUUCACUUAUUCCUUAAUGUUGGAAGUCCAAGCUCAACUAUGGUACCAAAGAAAUGGAAAAUGGAGCAGUAAUCGAACCAAAAAGGAAACAAAACAAAAAGUUUUUCGCUGCAGCAAGAAUGCAUCUCACUGCAGCGAAAUUUUGGUCCCAAAAUAGAAUGUUUCUCGCUGCAGUGAAACCAAACUAGUGAGGCUCUCAAAAACCCAAGAGUUUCUCACUACAGCGAGAAUGAAUUUCGCUGCAGCGAGAACAGAGCAGCAUGAACAAGAUUUCCAUUCCCCCAAUAAAAGCCAUCCUGUUAAAAUGACACCGACAACAUGAAACACAUGAAAUCCUCAAAGUGCAAUGUAUCAAGUUUCACAUACAUUUCAAUCAUAUAUCAUUUUCAUGCUCUUUCAUUUCAUAAGAAAAGAUAUGCAUACAUACAUAAUAACAUCCAUAUCAUCAUAAUCACACCCGGCUCAUGUACAUCCACCCACAUCGUGCACAUAGCCGACGUCAUCGUGUGCAUUCCCCCACAUCGUGCACAAUUAAUGCCAUCGUGUACAUCCCCCCACAUCGUGCACACGGGCACUGUCAUCAUCCACUCUCACACCACCAUCAUUGCCGGUAUGUGCAUCCCCCCAUAUUGUGCACACACAUGAUUACAGUCAUCAUACACAAUAUCAAUCAUCAUGCACAACACACAAACAUAUAUAUAUAUAUAUAUCAUCAUAUUGCAAUAGUGCAUGAAGCUAUAGCAAUCACAUAUCACAACAUAAAACCAUUUAGCAAAAGCUUGUUCCCAAGGCACUUGUUUUUAUGAAAAACUUGAUAAUUCAUUCAAAUGUGUGGCAAAUACAUUAUAUUUCCCAAAACAAGUUUUGAAGGCAGUUCACUCAUCGGUAUAUUGUUGAGCCUUUAGCUAACUCUAAUUCCCCUAAUGAUCCAAUUGGGGUGAUGGGGCUUCAUUAAAACCUACCAUCAAAUUAACAUUACCAUAAUGUCAAUUCAUACUUAUAAACCCUAAAAGCUAUCCCUUAGCAAGCUUUCAAGUACCACUUUAAAUGGCUAUCUAUGUUCACUAUUUUAAUCACUAUAAAAGGAAUGAACAUACUUAACAAUAAAACAGCUCAUAAUCCCAAUUACUAGCCAUUAUUCAUAGCUGAAAAUCAAGCUUGGUUCAUCAUUCACCCUAGGAUUUCUUUGUAGUUGAAUUCUCUUCCAAUAGCUUCCAAACAAAUGGGGUAAUUCUUUUUUUCUCUCUCUAGAAUGCCCAACUAGUGAGAGAAAGUAUGGAAAUAAGAUUUAUCAAGGGUUUUCAAGUGAGAGAGUGAAAGAAUACAAGGGUUCUAGUCAAAAGGGCACAAAAGUAUGAAAACUAGAGCUAGAGAGAAAAUUAUGCAAGCUUCAUAUCAAGCUUCCAUGGAGGUUGGAAGCAACGUGAGAUGGAAGAAGAAGAAGAAGACAAGUUGCUGAAAAUUCAAGAAGCUGCUGGAAGGAGAAGAUAUUUAUAGCCAAACUUAUCUACUCCAAUUAAAUUACCAAAAUACCCUUCCACAAAUUAACUUAUUCUCCUCUAAUCUUUUAUGCAAUCUUUUUGCUUUUUUGACACUAGGACAAGGUCCAUAAUGGUCUAGAAAUGUUUGAGUUCAUGAAAACUUAAAAAUUUUGACCCGAGAUGAAAAAUGACCAUUUUGCCCCUAUUGUGAAAAUUAUUGAAACUUCUAGUUUUCUUCAUGUUUUCAUCAUUACACAUCAUUUAUGCGGUCUUAUGCCUAUUUAGACCUUAAAAUAUCAUAAAACUUUCUUCUGGGAGUUUAUUAGAGAAAAUGACAAAACUACCUCUGGCUUGUGUUAUUGUAUCUAUACCUAGUUACGAGCCUAUAGAGGUCAAGGCCUCAUAGCGCACAUGGCAUAUAUCAUCAUCAUCAUGUGCAAUCUCACAUCGUGCACAACUAAUGCCAUCAUGUGCUCCCCCCACAUCACGCACAUAGGCAAUCUCAUUAUCAUCACGUACACCCUCACAUCGCCCACAACUAAUGCCAUCAUGUGCUCCCCCCAAAUCGCAUACAUAAGCAAUCUCAUCAUCCACACUCCCUCACCCCGUUAUCACCAGCAUGUGCACUCCCACACCGCACAUGCACGGUCAUAAUUAUUAACACACAACAUAUAUAUAUAUAUAUAUAUACAUAUACCAACAUAAUAUAAUAGCACAUGGAUUCGUUACAAUCACAUUUCACAACGUAGAAACAUUUCAUCAAGGGCUUGUUCCCAUGCAUGUUUUUAAGAAAAGACAAAUAAAUUCUUUCAUGUGAUUCAUUCAACACACAUGCCGAUAUCCCAAAACAUUUAAAUGCAAGUUCACUCAUCGGUCUUUGUUAAUGCUUUGAUUGACUCUAACUUUGACCAAUGCUUUGAAUGGAGAUGUGGGAUCUCGUUGGAACCUAUCACACCCAAUAGCAUCUCAAUCACCCAAAUUGGCAUUAAUAUAAUUCCAAAAGCUAUUUCCUAACUCAAGUUCAGCUAGUUAUUCCUAACUAGCUUCCAAUCACCAUUAAGUGGCUAUUUAUUUCACUACUCUAGUCACUCUAAAAAUGAAUAAACAACCUCAACAAUAAAACACUCACAAUUCUCAUUGUUAGCCAUUACCAACAUCUUAAAAAUCAAUCCUAACUUAUUACUCACCUUAGGGGUUUUUUGUAGUUGAAUUCCUUUUCAAAAGCUUUCAAACUAUUGUGGGAAAUCUCUCUCUCUUUUUUUCUCUCUCUAGAACGUUCAACUAGUGAGAGAAAGUAUUAAGGAAAGGUUUUUGAGAGUUUUUAAGGUGUAGAAGUGGAAGAGCAUGAAAAAGCCUAUGACAGAGUGGGCAAAAGCAUGAAACUUGGACUUUCUAUGAGAGAUUUAUGGAGGAUUCAAGAUUUCUUCCCAUGGAAAAUGAAGAAAAACAUGAAAUAGAGAGAAGAAAUAGGAUGAAAAAGAAAAAGCUGCUAGACGUUGUUGGAACUUAGUUAUUUAUGCUUCAAGUUAAUCUAAAUUUCACUUAAUUUACCAAAAAGCCCUUAACAUGGUGGCUUUGUCUAUCUCCCAUCCUUUGUGCAAUCUUUUUACUCUUUGACACUGAAACAAAGUCCAUAAUAGCUAUAAAAUACUCGGGGUUCACAAAAAUGUAAAAAUUUAGACUCGAGAUGCAAAAUGAUCAUUUUGCCCUUACUAUGAAAAUUAUCAGUGUUUCUGUGAGACCUUGAUCUUUAUAGACUCGUAGCUAAAAGUAGACGUGAUAUAACGAACUGGGGGUAAUUUUGUCAUUUCUUUAGUGAGCCCCUAAAAGUAUUCUUUCAAACAUUAUUAAGGUCUAAGUAGGUUUAAAGUAUAAAUGAAUGAUGAAAAUAAGUAUAAAAUGAUGAAGAAAAUAGAAAUAAUGAUGAUUUCCUAGGUAAGGGUAAAAUGGUCAUUUUUCAUCUCUAAUAGAAAUUUUUAAGUUUUCAUGAACUCGAGUACUUUUAGACUAUUAUGGACUUUGUCUCAGUGUUAAAAGAGUAAAUAGAGUGCAUAAAGGAAAGGAGAAAGACAAGUGGCCUUGUUAAGGGCAUUAUUGUAAAUUGUAUGAAAAUUGGAUUAACUUUAACUAUAAAUAUCUAAUCUCCAGCAGCUUUUCUUUAGUUUUCCAGUAGCUUCUCUUCUUCUCCUUUCUCCUAUCCUCCUCUCCAUUUCAUGUUUCUUUGCACCUUUCAUAGAAGUAUCCUUUGAAACCUUUAAAAUUUCCCCAAAUUAUCUUUAUUUCUCAUGUUUUUCUACACCCUUUUCAUAGGGUUUUUCAUGCUCUUCCACUUUUACACCUCAACAGCCUUCAAAAGUCUUUCUUAAGUACAUUUAGUCAUUAGUUGGAUGUGUAGAGAGAGAGGGAGUGAUUUUCCUUAUUAGCUUGGAAGAAUUUUGAAAAGAAAUUCAAUUACAAAUCCACCAAGGUGAGUGAACUUGCAUUUAAAAUAUUUUGGGAAAUGUAUUGGUAUUUGGAUGAAGCAUGUGAAUGAUUUUUAUUUGAUUUUUUCCUUAUAGAUUAUGCAUAGGAACAAGCCUUUAUUAAAACGUUUUACGUGGUGAGUGUGCAAUAUGAUGAAUCCUUGUGCUCCUAUAGGAUGCUGAUAUAUACAUAUAUAUGUUGUAUAUCCAUAGUUAAUAUUGUGUAAUAAAUAUAACCAUGCGUGUGCGCGAUGUGAGGGAUGCACAUGCCCGUGAUGACAAGUGUGGGAGUGUGGAUGAUGAUAUUGCCUGUGCGCAAUGUGGGGGAUGCACAUGGUGGUAUUAGCUGUGCACGAUGUGGGGGUUGCACAUGAGUUGGGUGAGGCAGUGGUGGUAUUGGUGUUUAUAUAUGUAUAUAUAUAUAUAUAUAUAUAUAUAUUUAUGUAAUAGAAAGUUCAUGAAUAUGGUAUAUGGUUGUAAUGUAUGUGAAAUCUUGCAUGUUGAACCUUGGAAAUUGCUAAGUAUUUUCAAGUUGAUUUUGUCAUUGCAACAGAAUGGCUUUUUCUUGAUAUAAUGAGAACUUUUUUCUUGGUGUUUUGUUUCUCGUUGCACUGAGAAACUCUCGGGUUGGGAGGUUGGCUGCAGUCCUGUAAAUCGCUGCAUCGAGAAUACAUUCUCGCUGUAGCAAGAUGUUUAUAGGUGGUUUCACUGCAGCGAGAAACCUUCUGUCGUGCUUACUGCCUUGUUUGGUUUCUGCCAUAUUUUCCACUUCUUUAACAUCAUAGUUGAUCAUGGACUUCCAACAUCAAGGAAUUUAUUUAAUUAAGUUUGAAAUGAGUGGUUUUAGUGAGAAACCCUCGGCCAGCUGAUAAUUUGAGCCCAAAUUUCGCUGCAGCGUGAUGCCUUUCCGUUGCAGCGAGGAUUAGUCAUUUUGCUUAACUUGCUUGAAUGCUACUAAAGUUUUCACUCUUCAAAUUCUUUGUUGUGCAUGGAUCCUUCAUCAUCAAGUGAUUAACCAAUUAAGGGUUUAAUGAGGGAUUUUAAUAAGAACUAAACUAAAUUGCAUUGUUUUUGAAAAUAAGUGCAUCAUGAUUUCUUUAAACCUUUCUUAUUGUUUGCUUGUUCCUUUCCUUUGUCACUCACUGGGUUUAUACUCACUGUUUUCAACUUCAUUUUUUUAGAUCAAGAGGCAGUCGGUAAAUAGGACGAGGUGUCCUUGUAGAUUCAUCUCCUUGGUAGGUAUCUCGACAUUCAAUAGUUGUACUUUCACCCGAGUCUCUCCGCUGAAAGUCAAGUAUCCCUUUUGUUGUGUAUAGACAAACCCGAUGUAAAUUGUUAAGAUGUAUGUUUUAGACAAUAUAUGUAUAUUUUGAUUGGUAAUGCCAUUAUGAGUUGUCAAUGGUUAGCAUUUUCUUGAAUUGGAAUUAUGAAAUGUGACUUUAGAAACUUUUGAUGGAAUGAUGAACAGGUCAUAUAAAUAGGCUUGCUUGGGCUUAGUGGGCCAUGCCCAUUGGGCCCAUGCACCGAUCAUGGCCCAGAAACUGGGCUGUGACAGUUUCUAUCUUCUUUAUUUAUUUUACCAUCAUUCAUUUAUUCCUUAGGCUCUUAGACCUUAAUAACAUUAGAAAACUACUUCCAAGAGCUCACCAUGAGAAAUGAUGGAAAUUACCCUUGGUUCAUGUUAUCGUGUCUACUUCUAGUUACGGGUCUAUAGAGGUCAAGGUUUCACAAUAUGAGGGUAUUGGGUGUCACAAAAGAAGAGCUUAUAUGCUUUGAAUGCAAGAAGCUAGGGCACUUCAAGUCAGAAUGCCCCUUGCUGAAGGAAAAAAGGCAAAAAAAAAAACAAGAAAUCGAAUAAGGCAAUGGUGGCUACAACUGGGUCAGAUAAUGAUACUUCAAGUUCUGAUGCUGAAGAAGAAAAAGUUGAAGAAAGAGCAAAUUUAUGUCUGAUGGCAAGGGAUGAUGAAUCCGAGGUAUCUUCAACUUCUUGUGAUAUUUCCAUUGAUGAACUUCAAGAAGAGUAUGAAUGUCUUUAUGAUGAAUUUGAGAAACUUGCUUCAAAAUACGAGACUUUAAAGAAAAAGACUGCAUCUCUUGAAAUAGAUUUAGAAAAGAUUAUAUAUGACCUCAAAUCUGUUUUGAACAAAGAAACAUUGUUCAAAUAAAACUAGAACAUUCAAAAAUUGAUUUUGAGACUCAAAAAUUAGAAUUAGAAAAUAAAACUGAAGCUUUACAAAAAGCAAUUGAAGAAAAUGCUGCUCUUAAGAAUAUAAGAAAAAAAACUUCAAAAAGAAAUACAUACUUCAAGAAAAAUUCUGAUAAGGUAUCAUCUAGAUGUUAUAUUUGUGAUAGAGUUGGUCAUUUAUCCUAUGACUACUAUAAAAAAGGAAACAUGCACAAAACAAGAAAAAUUAUGGUUCCAAAAGGAUCCUAUGUUGCAGCUAACCUUCAAAGACCUGUCAAGGUAUGGGUACCUAUUAAGAAAAACUGAAAAUUUGUUUUGUAGGUUGAGCCGAACCUAAAAGACACAUGUUCAAGAGCUCAACUAAAGGAGAAGUAGCCUUGUACAUGGACAGUGGCUACUCAAGGCACAUGACUAGAAAUGAAAUGCUAUUUGCUAAGCUGGACAAGAAAAUGAGAGGUACCGUAUCCUUUAGUGAUGAUUCAAAAGGUAGAAUUCAUGGCAUAGCAACAAUUGGUAAGAACUCUCAAAUUCAAAUUAGUCAUGUGUUGCUGGUUAAAGGAUUGAAACACAAUUUAUUAAGUAUCAGCCAAUUGUGUGACAAAGGUUUUAAGGUAUGCUUUGACUCAAAUAAAUGUGAAGUGAUAGACAUAAGUACUAACAAAGUUUCAUUCAUAGGAAAAAGAAUUAAAAAUAUGUAUGUUAUAUUUCUUAAAGAUCUUGAGAUUAAUUGUAAAACAUGUCUUCUACCAAAUGUUGAAAAUGAUGGUCGGUUAUGACAUAGGAGACUUAAACAUGUGAGCAUGCAUACAAUUUCAAAUUUGAUAAGAAAAAAUCUAGUUAUAGGAUUGCCUAAGCUUAAAUUUAAGGAUGAUCAAAUUUGUGAUGCAUGCCAACUAGGUAAACAAGAAAUUCCUUCAAAACCAAGAAGAUUGUCUCCACCUCCAGACCCCUUGAACUGUUGCAUAUUGAUUUAUUUGGUCCAAUUAAUACAACCUGCUUAGGGAGAAAAUCUUAUGGCUUUGUGAUAGUGGAUGACUAUUCUAGGUAUACUUGGGUUUACUUUCUUGCUCAUAAGAAUGAUGCUCUAUCUGCUUUUAUCAAUCAUUGUAUGAAGGUUGAAAAUGAAAAAAGACUUGUCAUAGUUAGCAUUAGAAUUGAUCAUGGAGGUGAAUUUGAGGGAGAUGAGUUUGAAAACUUUUGUAAUGAAAGGGGAUUGGAUCAUAAUUUCUCAACACCUAGAACACCUCAACAAAAUGGGGUUGUAGAAAGAAAAAACCGAACCUUGAAAGAAAUGGCCUGAACCAUGCUUUGUGAAAACAAUCUACCAAAGUACUUUUGGGCAGAAGCUAUCAACACAGCAACUUACAUCCUUAAUAGAGUCUCAAUAAGGGCCAUGAUAUCAAAGACCCCAUAUGAACUAUACAAAGGUAGAAAACCAAACAUCUCUCACCUUAGAAGCUUUGGUUGCAAAUGUUUUGUGUUGAACAAUGGAAAACAUCCUCUAGGAAAGUUUGAUGCUAAAAGUGAUGAGGCUAUAUUUCUAGGAUAUGCAUUGAACUCAAAAGCUUAUAGAGUCUUUAACAAAAGAUCUUUAACCAUUGAGGAGUUUAUCCAUGUAGUUUUUUAUGAAUCUAAUGCCUUGCGAAAGGAAAUUCUUGCUGAUGAAGAUGAUACGGAUGAUCUUGAAAGACAAAUGGAAGAAAUGAGCUUAGAUGACAAGAAAAACAGUAAAGAAAAUUCCUUAGGAAGAGAAACAGAACCUCCACCCUUAGGAACCUUGCAACGGAUUGAAAAUCAACACAAUGAUCUUCCAAAGAGUUGGAGGUAUAUCGAGGAUCAUCCACAAGAGUAAAUCAUAGGUGAUAUUUCUCAAGGAGUCAAAACUAGGAGAGGAACUAGAGAAACAUGUGAAUUCACAGCUUUCAUCUCACAAAUUGAGCCUAAAAGCUUUGAAAAAACAGUAAAAGAAGAAAGCUAAAUUUUGGCCAUGGAAGAAGAGCUUGAUCAAUUUGAGAAAAACCAAGCAUGGACACUGGUUUUGAUCAAUGAAUGUAAAAAGUGCAUUUUUAAAUGGCUUUAUUCAAGAAGAAGUCUAUAUUGAACAACCCCCCGGAUUUGAGGACUUUGAAAAACCAUAUUAUGUGUUCAAACUUCAUAAGGCCUUGUAUGGACUAAAACAAGCUCCAAGAGUUUGGUAUGAAAGACUCUCUAGAUUUUUAGUUGAGAAACGAUAUAGUAGAAGAAGCAUUGACACAACAUUAUUUAUUAAGAAAUGCAUGAAUGAUUUAAUUGUUGUUCAAAUUUAUCUGGAUGAUAUUGUGUUUGGUGCUAUUAAUGAAGACUUGCACAAGAACUUUGCUAAAGAAAUGCAAGGUGAAUUUGAAAUGAGCAUGAUGGGCGAAUUGAAAUUCUUUCUUCGCCUCCAAAUCAAGCAAUGCUAGGAUAGCAUCUUUUUAAACGAAGAAAUAUACAUUCAAGACAUGCUGAAAAGGUUUGAUAUGCUGAAGCUAAAGUUAAUCAGCUAAAGUCCCUCUACCAAGCUUGAUAAAGAUGAAAAAAGAAGCAACAUUGAUCAAAAGCUUUAUAGAGGUAUGAUUGGAUCCUUGCUGUACUUAACUGCUAGUAGGCCUGAUAUUCAAUUUAGUGUAUGUUUGUGUGCACGGUUUCAAUCACAACUGAAAGAGUCACACUUGACUGUUGUAAAAAGAAUCUUUAGGUACCUUAUAGACACACAAAUUUAGGAUUGUGGUAUCCUAGAGGAACAUCUUUCAAUCUUAUUGGAUAUUUAAAUGCAGACUUUGCUGGAAGCAAAAUAGAUAGAAAGAACACUAGUGCAACAUGUCAGUUUCUAAGAGAUAAGCUUGUGUCCUAGUCAAGUAAAAAACAAAACUCAGUUGCAUUCUCCACCGCUGAAGCUGAAUAUAUUUCUUUAGGUAGUUACUGUGCUCAGAUUUUAUGGUUCAAACAACAACAAAAAGACUUUGGAAUAAUCUUCCAUAACGUACCAAUAUUCUAUGAUAACACAAGUAGGAUCAACAUCUCAAAGAAUCCUGUCCAGCACUCUAGGACCAAACAUAUUGAAAUUAGGCAUAACUUUAUUAGAGAUCAUGUGAUUAAAGGAGACAUUAAAAUUGAGUUUGUUAACACCAUGAAACAAUUAGCUGAUAUAUUUACCAAGCCCCUAAAUGAGGAAAGAUUUUGUGAAAUUAGGGGAAAUUUAAGGAUGGUUAAUGUGCAGGAGCUGUAAGAAAAUUUCUGAGCUUUCUAUUCACAAGACAGUAGGCACUUAGUUGAUUAAGAGAAUCACUUAAUCAACUAAGAGUAUUCUAUCCUUUUAAAUAAUAAAAUUCAGUCAUAAAGAGAUAAGACUCAGUUAGUUAAGAGACCAAGAAAGAAUUAAUAAAAUAAUAAAAGGAAACAAAGAUAGGGUAUCAAGUGAAGAAAAAGAAAUGAAAAACCGCUUAAAAAAAUUAAAAUGAGAGUAAAUUUUUGAAUUUAAAAAAAAAAGGAGUUACCAACCAUUUUUAAAAAGGGGAAGACUGACGGUUUUGAGAAAAAUUACUCUCUCUUCAUUUUCUCUCAUCUAAAAUCGACCCUCUUAAAACUAAAAUUCCUCCUUCCCAAACCUACGAAACCUUAAGCCAAAAACUACUUAAAACCAAAUGGCAAAAUCCUCUUUACCUAAAGACAUCCUGGAAAAGAAAAAGCGUAACUGGCCAAUGGAAGAGAGUCCACCAAAAAAAUUCAGAAAAAAAAAAAGAACAAAGUUGAGUCCGCUUUUACAGUUGUGAAAACUGGGAAAAGCAAAAAGAGAAAGAACAAAAAGCAGAGAAAAAGAUAGAAAAAGAAUAACUCUCCAAGAAAGGUAAUCUUUCAUCCUUAAAGUUUAGAAACAAAGUUCAUAAGGAUAGGUUCAAAAAGAUAGAGAAUGCUUUUAUUACAUGUGAUAAAUUUAUCGACUAAGAGAGCUUUGAUAAGACCUCGAAAAUUUAAGUUUAUCAAAUUAUUUUAAGGAAAUGAAAUUGAAGAAAUUUAGCACUUUUAAAAAUAGAACCUAUAAUGCUAGUCUCGUAAAGAAAUUUUACGCAAGCAUAGCAUUAGAAGAGAGUGACCUUGAAGAAUCUGAGGAUUUUAGUAAUGAUGGUCUGAAUGUCUUCUUAAAUGAAAAAGAGUUUGUGGUGACUGCUGCAGAUUUGGGAAGUUUUCUACAGAUUGAAUGUGAAGAGGGUGAUUAUGAAAUUCUUGAGAACUAUGAUCCCUCAUCUUUGUAGGAGGUAAUCACAAGAAAAAAAGAAAUAUAUUCCUCCAAGAGUUAUGCCAGUCUUAUCAGAAGCCCUCACAUUAGAAUCCUACAUUACUUUUUACUCAUGAGAAAUAAUUAAAAGAUCUGCAGAGGACUUUGAAUUAAUUAAAGUCGCAUGCCUGCCCUGUCCUAGACAACAAUAAACAAGGAAGUCUGGCUCUUUUAGUCAUCAUUGUUCAUACGUUACUGAACUACUGGCUAACUCUAUUUAGCAGGCUUACUUGAUCCUCUAAUGGAAGAAAAUUUUCUUGUUAGGAAACUACUUCAGCGGCUCUGAGUUACAAAAUUUCAUAGGGUAACCUCUUAGAGCUAACAUUUGCUCCUCCGAUGCCAACUUAAUUGGAACGAUAUAGAGAAAAACUUGACUUAAUACACAAUUUUUAAUAGAAACUAGUUUCGUACUAGCCGUAUCAGAUAUUCCUUUUGUCUUUUUAUAGUCAGAUAUUUAUUUAAUUUUAUUAAAUGAAUUGGUUUAUCAGAACAUUCAUGGGAGAAGAGGUAGUUUCAGCUAUGUAAGUCUUCAGGACAUGUGGCUAAUGAAGCAUGCCUUUAAUGCUACUCCACUCAACUUGGGCCGAUUCAUGAUUGAGAGGAUGAGAGGAACUUGUCAGAUUGAUAAAGCAAAUCUACUUUAUGGGAAUACAAUCACCUCACUGGUAAAGAAAAAGGGGAUUUAGAGCUCAAGGUAUAAGAAUGAUCAAGUAAAGAGUAGGGACCAGGCAAUUUACCGUGGAAGUCUGCCAAAGAUGGGGUACAAACUUGAAAGUGAAAAAUUUGUUAAAACCCCCAAGGCCUCUGUAAUCCCUGCUCAGACAGAAACAGUACCCUCCCAAAUCUCUAAAGACUUGAUUUUGAACUUACUGAUAAGGAUCGAGGGAAAACUCACUGAUCAGUAAGCAAAGAUGCAGCAAAUUGAAGAGAAAUUGAAAGAACUGGAAAAUAUGAUAAAGGAAAAAGGAAAGUCUACUACUGACCCUGCAGUUGAAGACACCUCUACAACUGCAAGUCUAGCACAAGUUGAACAAGUUGCUAAAGAUCCUGUCUUUCAAGUUGAAGGUCAAUCUGAUCAACCAAGGAAAUCUCCCUCUCCUGAGCCUCAAAAUGAAGAAGAAUCAAUUGAAGGCACUCAAAUACUUGGAUCUUUUAAUGACAACCCCCCACCUGAGGAACAUUAGCCAGAACAGCCUUCUCCACCUAACACUGAGGAAGUAUCAAUCAUGGAUAUUUUUCAUCAAAUGGUCAGAGAAAAACAAGUAAAGAAAGAAAUAGGAAAAGCAAAAGCUUAGACACCAACAUCAGUAAGGAAGUCUCCUGAAUUGGUUCACACUGCCAAAAAAAGUGAACCUGUAGAUAAAGAGAAAAAGCAAGCAGCUGCAUCCUGUUGGCUCCAUUAGUUUUUUAUGACAGUAAAACAUUCCCAUUUCAUAUGUGUCUAAUAUUUCUACUUGAGUGUGCAGGACAAAAUUGUAUGCAAAUAAAUAUUCAAUCAUUAAAAUGCACAUAUCAAAGAGCAUAGAAGUAAGGAAGUCACAUUUGACCAAUAAGACAGAAGCCCCUUAGUUGAUUAAGGAAGAUUUAGUCAAUUAAGAUUCAAAUUGGAAGAAUGGCGGGCUGAAGAGUAUUAAGAAACAAAACAAAUUUAGUCGACCAAGGAAUGAGUUAGUCGACUAAGUACACGCUGCUAGAACUGCUAGAAACUGGGAACAGAAGAUAAAGACGACUUAGUUGACUAAGAGCAUUCUACCUACAAGUUUGAAUUCUACACUAAAAGACAGUUUAACGGCUAGAACCAACUCCCAGCUGUUUUCAAUGGCUAGAAAACUAUCAAACUGCCAUCAGAGUUGUUUCUCCAAGUAGAAAAGAGGGUUCCAAUAGCUAGAAAAAUUUUUUCAAGGGUUCCAAGAACAAAAAAGAGCUCAAAAUAGCAAAUAUUCUCAAAAAUACUUUCUACACUUCACUCUAAUCUUUGUAUUUGAAUUAGGCACUUCACUUGGUACCACUUAGAUCAACUUUGUGAUCAUAGGUACACUCUUUUUACUUCUCUCUUUAUGUUCUUAGAGUGAGGGAGUCACUCUAAGUGUUUGUUUCAAGCUAGGAUUGCUUGAUUGUGUUAAGGUUCUAACUUAGCCUUGAAAAGUUAGGUGUUGGGUUAUAGUUGAGCCCGAAAAAAACUAUUGUGAAAAGUUUUGGCUAAGCUUGGUAAAAGCCAUUGUAAAGCUUGGUGAAAGCUUGUUAAUAUCACCCGUUCUUAGUGGAUUGGUUGGAAAAUUCUUGGUUGGAUAAUCAAGGUAGUGGGUGUAGGUCUUAGACCGAACCACUUUAAAUUUUGCUAUCUUAUUUACUCUAUUUUUGUUUUAUUUUCAUUCUUUCUCUUAUCUUGCAUUUGUCUUCAACUAAGAGUCAAUUUGAGUAAAAGCCAAAAAGUACUAUUCACCCCCAUUCUAACACAUUUAUUUGGGACCAACAAGUGGUAUCAAAGCAAGUUUCCUAUUAUUAAGGUCUAACAAUUGGGAGGAUCCAAAUGGCUCAACUAAAAUCAGUAGUUGCUGAGGGACAAUCAACAAACAGAUCACCUCUGUUUGAUGGCUCUAACUAUCUUUAUUGGAGCACUAGGUUGUCUAUAUAUAUUAGAGCAAUUGAUUAUGAGAUGUGGGAUGUUAUAACAGAUGGUCCAUACAUUCCCUCAACUCUAAAUGUAGUGACAAAUGAGAUGAUCCCAAAGCCAAGGUCUGAAUAGACCGAGGCUGAAACUAAGAGAGUCUAAACAAAUUUUAAGGCAAUCAAUACAUUACAUUGUGCCUUAACUCCCACCGAGUUUAAUAAAGUAUCAAGCUGUACAACAAUUAAACAAGUGUGGGAUAAGCUUAGGAUUAUUAGCCUUCUUGACACAUUAUUAUGAAAUGUUUAAGAUGGAGCCUGGUGAAGAUAUCACCAACAUGUUGGAUAGAUUCACAAACAUCACAAACAAAUUAAGUCAAUUAGGCAAACCAAUACUCGAGCAUGAGAUUGUUAAAAGACUUCUUAGAAGCCUACCAAAAAAUUAGAAGCCUAAAGUGAUUGUAAUUCGGGAAGCCAAGGAUCUAAAUGUUAUUACUCUAGAUAAGAUUUGUGGUUUUCUCCUCACUCAUGAGUUAGAACUCAAGGAAGAAGAAGAAGAAGAUAGGAGGGAAGCAAAAGAAAAGAAAAAGAGCAUUGCACUAAAAGCCAGCAUUCUUGAAGAAGAGUUGGAAGAGCUAUCUUGUGAUGAUGAUGAAGAGUUGGCACUAGUUGCAAGGAAAUUCAGAAAGCUUAUGGGAAUAAGAAACUGAAGACUAGCUAGAAGAGGGUUUAGAAAAGAUCAAGGUCCUUCAUGGAAAACCAGAAACAAAAAUGACUCCAACAAAAAGGAGAAGCUGACUUACUACGAAUGUAAGAAGCCUAGACAUUUUAAGUCAAAAUGCCUAUUGCUAAAAGAUGAAACUCCAAAGAAAAACAAGAAAUUAAAUAAGGCAAUGGUGGCAGCUGCUUAGUCAGACAGUGACACAUCAAGUUCUGAAUGUGAGGAAGAAAAAGCUAAGGAAAAGGCCAAUUUGUGUUUGAUGGCACAGGAAAAUAAUCCAAGAUAUUCUCAUCCCCUUGUGAUAUUUCUGUUGAUGAAUUAUAAGAUGAGUAUGAGUGUCUUUAUGAAGAAUUUGAAAAACUCUUUUCAAAAUACAAGAUUUUAAAGAAAAAGACUGCAUCUCUUGAAAAUGAUUUAGAAAAGAUAAGAGAAAAGUACAAUUCUAUUUUUGAGCAAAGAAAUUUUCUGCAAGUUGAGUUAGAACACUCAAAAACAUAUUUUGAAGUUUUAAAAUUAGAGCUAGACAAUAAGUCUGAAGCUUUGCAAAAAACACUUAAUGAAAACAUAGCUCUUAAAUGUUUGAAAAAUGAAACUUCAAAAAGAAAUGCAUAUUAUAAGAAAAAUUCUACAAAUGCAGUAUCUAGAUGCUAUAUUUGUAAUAAAAUUGAUCAUUUGUCAUAUGAUUAUUUUAAGAAAAGAAGUGUGCAGAAAAUAAGAAAAAUAUGGGUUCCAAAAGGAUCCUAUGUUGCUGCUAACAAUCAAGGACCCAUCAAGGUAUGGGUACCUAUAAAGAAAAAUUGAAAUUUUAUUUUGUAGGUUAAGCUGCACUCAAGAGAGACAUGUUCAAGAGCUCAACUCAAGAGGAAACAACAUUGGUAUAAGGAUAGUGGCUGCUCACAACAGAUGACAAGAGAUGAAAUGUUAUUUGCUCAGCUGGACAAAAGAAAUGGAGGUACCGUUUCCUUUGGUGAUGAUUCAAAAGGUAGAAUCCAUGGUAUAGGAACUGUUGGUAAGAACUCCCAAACUCAAAUCAGUCAUGUGUUAUUGGUUAAAGGCUUAAAACAUAAUUUAUUGAGCAUUAGUCAAUUAUGUGACAAAGGAUUUAAAGUAUGCUUUGAUUCAAAUAAGUGUGACGUAAUAGAUAUAAGCACAAAUAAAGUUUCAUUUAUAGGAAGAAGAUUAAAGAAUAUGUAUGUUGUGUUUCUUGAAGAUCUUGAUAUAAAUUGUGAAAUGUGUUUAGUAACAAAUGUUGAAAAUGAUAGUUGGUUAUGGCAUAGAAGACUAGGACAUGUAAGCAUGCAUACUAUGACAAAAUUAAUCAAGAAAAAUCUAGUUGUUGGAUUGCCAGAUAUAAAAUUUGAAAAUGAUAAAAUAUGUGAUGCUUGCCAACUAGGAAAACAAGUUAGAACAUUCUUUAAGACUAAAAAGAUUGUGCACAUCGAUCUAUUUGGUCCAAUAAGUACAACAAGUCUAGAAGAAAAAUCUUAUGGAUUUGUAAUAGUUGAUGACUACUCUAGGUACACUUGGGUUUAUUUUCUUGCUCAUAAGAAUGAUGCUCUAGCAGCAUUUAUAAGUCAUUGUAGAAACGUUAAGAAUGAAAAAGGACUAACCAUAGUUAGUAUUAGGAGUGAUCACGGAGGAGAAUUUGAAAAUGAUGAAUUUGAGAAAUUUUGUAAUGAAAAGAGGUUGGAUCAUAAUUUUUCUGCACCUAGAACACCCCAGCAAAAUGGAGUUGUAGAGAGGAAAAAUCGAACCUUAAAAGAAAUGGCUAGAACUAUGUUGUGUGAGAAUAACCUUCCAAAAUAUUUUUGGGCUGAGGUAGUGAACAUAGCAGCAUAUAUACUUAAUAGAGUAUCAAUUAGAGCCAUGAUAUCAAAGACUCCUUAAGAACUUUAUAAGGGUAGGAAACCAAACAUUUCACACCUUAGGAGUUUUGGUUGUAAAUGUUUUGUGUUAAAUAAUGGAAAACAGUCCUUAAGUUAGUUUGAUGCAAAGAGUGAUGAAGCAAUAUUUUUAGGAUAUGCAUUAAACUCAAAGGCUUAUAGAGUUUUCAACAAAAGAACUUUAAAUGCUGAAAAAUCAAUCCAUGUAGUUUUUUAUUGAGUCCAAUGCCUUACAAAAGGAAAUUCGUGCUGAUGAUGAUGAUGUAGAAAUCCUAAAAAAGCAAAUGGAAGAAAUGAGAUUAGAGAACAAUAAAAAUAAUGAAGAAAGCUCACCUAGAAGAAAAUAUGAAACUCAAACUCUAGAAACUUUGCAAAGAACAGAAAAUCAGCAUAGUGAUCUUUCAAGGAGUUGGAGAUAUGCAAAAGAUCAUCCACAAGAUCUAAUCAUAGGUGAUGUUUCACAAGGAGUUAAGACUAGGAGAGCAACUAGAGAGACUUGCGAGUUUUUAACUUUCAUAUCUCAAAUUGAGCCUAAGACAUUUGAGGAAGCAGAAAAAGAGGAAAGCUAGAUAUUGGCCAUGCAAUAGGAACUUGAUCAAUUCAAAAGAAACUGUGUGUGGUCAUUAGUAUCAAGGCCUUUAAACCACCCUAUUGUUGGAACAAAAUGGGUGUUUAGAAAUAAGGUAGAUGAGCAAGGAAAUGUAGUUAGAAAUAAAGCUAGGUUUGUAGGCCAACGAUACAACCAAGAGGAAAGAAUUGACUAUGUUGAAACAUUUGCACCUGUUGCCAGGAUUGAAGCCAUAAGGUUAUUGCUUGCUUUUGCAUGCUUUAUGAAUUUUAAAUUAUACAAAAUGGAUGUAAAGAGUGCAUUCUUAAAUGGUUUCAUUCAAGAGGAAGUGUAUGUUGAACAACCACCAGGAUUUGAAGACUUUGAAAAACCAGAUCAUGUUCUCAAACUUCACAAAGCCUUGUAUGAAUUGAAACAAGCUCCUAGAGCUUGGUAUGAGAGACUUUCAAAAUUUCUGGUUGAAAAAGGAUAUGUUAGGGGCAACAUUGAUACUACAUUGUUCAUCAAAAAAUAUUUAAAUGAUUUAAUUGUUUUCCUAAAUUUAAUGUGGAUGAUAUUGUAUUUUUGUGUAACUAAUGAGGCCUCUGUGCAAGAAUUUUGNNNNNNNNNNNNNNNNNNNNNNNNNNNNNNNNNNNNNNNNNNNNNNNNNNNNNNNNNNNNNNNNNNNNNNNNNNNNNNNNNNNNNNNNNNNNNNNNNNNNNNNNNNNNNNNNNNNNNNNNNNNNNNNNCCAAAUAAACAAGUAGAAAAAGGAAUCUUCAUCAACCAAGAAAGAUACAUUCAAGAUAUGCUCAAAAAGUUUGAUAUGUUGAAGCUAAAGCCAAUCUGCACACUAAUGAGUCCGUCCACCAAACUUGAUGCUGAUAAGAAAGGAAAAGUAUUAAUCAAAAGCUCUAUAGAGGUAUGAUCAGAUUACUUCUUUACUUAACAACAAGCAGAUCAGAUAUUCAGUUUAGUGUGUGUUUGUGUGCUAAAUUUUAUUCACAACCUAAAGAAUCACACUUAACUGCUGUUAAGAGAAUUUUUAAAUACCUCAUAGAAACACAAACCUUAGGAAUAUGGUAUUCUAGAGAAUCAUCAUUUGAUCUUGUAGGCUAUUCGGAUGCAGACUUUGUAGGAAGCAAAACUGAUAGAAAACGUACUAGUGGAACAUGCCAAUUUCUAGAAAGUAUGCUAGUAUCUUGGUCAAGUAAGAAACAAAAUUCUGUAGCAUUUUCUACAGCUAAAGCAGAGUAUAUUUCUCUAGGUAGUUGUUGUGCUCAGAUUUUGUGGAUCAAAUAACAACUAAGAGAUUUUGGAAUUACAAUACAUAAUGUACCAAUCUUCUGUGAUAACACAAGUGCAAUCAAUAUAUCUAAAAUUCCUGUGCAGCAUUCUAGAACUAAACACAUUGAGAUUAGGCACCAUUUUGUUAGAGACCAUAUACUGAAAGGAGAUGUCAAAAUUGAAUUUGUGAAUACUUUACAUCAAUUAGCUGACAUUUUUACCAAACCUCUAAAUGAAUAUAGAUUUUGUGAAAUUAGAAGGAAUUUAGGAAUGAUUAAUAUGCAUUAGUUGUAGGUAAAAUUCUGAUCUCAUAUAAAAUAGAAGACACUUAGUCGACUAAGAGAGGUCUCAGUCAACUAAGAGUAUUCUGUUUCAUUAAAUAAUAAGACUCAGUUAAAAUGAAGGCAUGAGGAAUAGAAUAAUAGGAAAAAACUGCCUACGAGGAAACAAAAAUAAAAAAGAAAAAUCGCUCAAACCAAAAAUUAAUUUAUGAGGAAAUUUUUGAAUUUUCAAAGGGGAGUUACAAAUUGGACUUAAAUAGGGGAAGUUAAACAGUUUUUUCAUUUGGAAUUAAACUGCUCUCAACCCAUUUUCUUUAUUCUCUCUCAUUCUCUGAUGAAACCGAAAUCUGAAACCAAAACCCUCACCUCUCAACCAUUCAAAACUCUGAAUCCCAAAUCUUCUAAAUCAAAUGGCUAAAACAUCUCAAAGCUAAGAAAUUAUUGAGAAGAAUAAAGGAAAAAGGCCGAUGGAAGAAAGUCUCCAAGUUGAAAAACUGAAGAAGAAGAAGAAAAUUGAGUUGGGCUCUGCAAGUAAAGAGUCUAGAAAAUCAAAAAGCCAAAAAUCUAAAAAGAAGGAAGUAAAGAGUAAACUACAUAAGAAAGGUACUUCUUCAUCUUCCAAAUUCAGAAAUAGAGUGCAUGAAGAGAAAUUUAGAAAAAUAAAGAAUGCACUAAUCACCUGUGGAAAAUAUAUUGAUUGGGAAAGUUUUAGUGAAAUGCCUGAAAUUCUAACAAGCUUGUCAGAUUAUUUUGAAGAAUUAAAAUUGAAAGAAUUUAGCACAUUUAAAAAUUAUUCAUAUAGUGCCAGCUUAGUUAAAGAGUUUUAUUAAAGUAUUGUUGUUGAUAAGGAUAAACUGAAGGAACCAGAGGAUUAUUCUAAUGAGGGUCUAAAUGUGUUUUUAAAUGGGAAGGAAUUCACUGUCACUGCAGCAGACUUAGGGGAACUUCUUAAGAUAAAAUGUAAUGAGGGGGAAUUUGAGUUUCCUAAGAAGUAUGACCCCUCAUUCUUGUGGGAAGUAAUCAUAGGAAAGAAAGGAAAGUAUUCCUCCAAGAGCAAUGCAAGACUUAUCACAAGUCCACAAAUAAGAAUUUUGCCCUAUUUUGUUGCUGCCAAUAUUCAUGGCAGGAGUGGAAGCUUAAGUUACAUUAGCCUCCGAGAUUUGUGGCUAAUGGAACAUGCAUUUAAUGGUGUUGCACUUAAUCUAGGAAGGUUCAUGAUUGAAAGAAUGAGGGGUGCAUGCAGACUAGAGAAGAUCAACUUGCCUUAUGGAAAUAUCAUCACUUCUCUAGUGCAGAAGAAAGGAAUUUGGAGCUCUAGGUAUGAGGCUGACAAAGUUAAGACCAAAGACCAAGCCAUUUACCUAGGUAGCUUACCUAAAAUGGGGUACAAACUAAAUGGAGAACGAUACAUUAAAACCACCAAGGCGGGUCUUGGAAAAGAAUCCUUUUUGCUUGCUCAACCAGAGGCAGCACGAUCUCAAUUCUCAAAUGAGGUAAUUUUUAAUCUGCUAAUGAAAAUUGAUGGGAAGCUCACUGAUCAGGGAGCAAGAAUUCUAAAAAUUGAGGAAAGGUUAACAGAAAUAGAGAGCAAAAUGAAAGGAAAAGAAAAAGUGCCAUCUGAACAAGCUUCAGUAGACAGCUCUACAACUUCUAGUUUGGCUCCAACAGGACAAGAAGCUAAGGUGCAAGCUGAAGGCCAUGAGCCUGAGGUGGAAUAGCCAAGAAAAUCACCCUCACCUAAGCCUCAAGACAAGGAUGAAUCUGAUCAAGGUACCGAGGUACUUGGAUCUUUUAAUGGAAAUCCUCCCUCUAAACCCCAACCUCAACCAGAACCUCAACCAUCUCCUCCACUUUUUGAAAAGGUGUCUAUCAUGGGACUAUUCCAUCAAAUGGUUCAAGAAGAGCAAGUUGAGAAAGUGGAAGCUAAGGGAAAAGCUCAACAAAUAGCAUAUGCAUCAGCUCCUACAGCAGAAGGGCAGUUAGGGAAAAGCAAAGAAAAAGUUGCUAAAGAACCACAGAAAAAAUCCAAACCACCAAGCAUGGGCAAGAAAACAAUGGCAACAAAAACAAAAUUUAUCAAAAGGAGAAAAUCAUCUAGAUUGGCUGAGAAAGCCAAGCUAGCACCAAUCUCCUCUCCUCAACACCCUCUCGAGAUUUCAUCCCCUAAACAGUCCCUUGAAAAAUCACCACCUCAACCGUCUCCUCAACCCGAAUCCUCUCCUCAACCUAUAAAGCUCAACCUUAUAAAUACUUGUCAUGACAUACAUAUGAUGGAUAGAAUAUUUGCAUUCUAGGAGAGUCCCGAAAAAUUUACAAAAGUCGAUAAUGUACCUAGAGGAACAACAACGUUGAUUUAAGCCUCGAACUAGAUCAAAUAGGAAUUUUAAGGUGAAAUUGAGAGUUUUACGGUCCAUGGAUGACUCAAAACGGUAAUUUGGAGUUUGAGGAUCAAUUUGGAGUUAAACCAAAAUUUUCACUAUCUAGGGGUAAAAUGGUCAUUUGCCACCUGGAGACAAAAUGAGAAUUUUUAGAAAAUAUUUUUUUGGCCCCAUUUGACUUAUUGGAGUAUGAUUAGAGUAUUGGAGUAAGAUUUGAGGUUUAUAAGUGAAAAAAUUGUAAUCUCGGUAUUUUCGGAGCAUAGGGGUAAAAUGGUAAUUUUACCAACUCAGGGGUAAAAUGGUAAUUUUGCCACCUUAGGGGUAAAAUUGUGAUUUUACACACCCGAAACUUGUCCAGCACAUGGAUUUUAUCCAAUAUAAUCAUGGAUAAUUGAAGGAAUUUAAGUGGUGGAGAGAGAAAGCUUAAUAGUUAAGAAAUUAAAAAUGGACCAAUGGGAUGGUGACAUGUGUCAAGUUAAUAUCCAUUUAUUUUUUUAGCUUUAAAAUCAGCAAAAAUCAGCUUAUUUUCUCUUCAUGUGGCCGGCCAUAGCAAGAACAAAGAGAGGAAAAGAAAAACAAGAAACCUAGGUGGGAAAAGUAAAGAAAAAGUGUGGGAUUUCAAGGAAUCAAGCAAUCAAAGGUAAAAUUUCUUGAUUUUGACUUGUGAUCUACCUUUCCCAUGCUUUUCUCCUUAUUUUCCAUGGUUAGAUUUCAUGUUUUCAUGGUGAAUUCAUGGCUGCCCAAAUGGGUAUGGAGAGAGAAUGAAGUUAGAUUGAUUUGAUUUUAAGUUAUGUUAGUGUUUUAAGUUAGUUUAGCAUAUUUAGAAACAAAACAACAAGAAAAGAAUUCAUUUUCCCCCAUUACCAUCAUUGGCCGAAUUUCCUAGGAAGAAUAUUGUGGCUGAAUUUGAUGAUAUUUCAUGAUAUUUUGGUGAUAUUUUAUGUUUGGUGAGGCUAGAAAUUAAAUGGGAAAUUUUAGUGCAAAAAUACGAAUUUUUGCUCAACAUAUAGACAUGUGUAUUUAUUGACCCGGGAUCGAUAAAUUGAACCUCAUUCACAGUCACUGAGGUAAUUUAGGUAUAAUUGGAGUGUAGAAAGUGAAAAGAAUUGAUUUGGAGUUAAAUUGAAGAUUUUAGCCGAUUAGACCAAGAAUAGCGCGAAUUAGGUCGAAUACCGUAUUUAAACGGCUAUUCGGACAUUUUUGCAUUUCAUAUCAUGCAUUAGUAGCCUAAAUUAGUUUAAUUUCAAUUUAGUAUCAAUGUGGUGAAUUUCUUAAUUUUGUACUGUGUCAAGGUGGUGAGUCCUCCGAUAAAGGCAAGAAAAUUGCAUCCGAGGACCAGUAGACAGAGUACUUCAAAAGUCUGCAUUCUAGACAUUGUGAGUAAACUUACUAUCAUUUUAAUUAUCUAGGGUGGUUUUUAGAUGAUUUCAUGAAUUCUAUGGAAAAAUGGAUUUAAAAGGUAAAUUUUCAUGUUUUAUGAAUAAAGGUGUUCCAAUGAAAUUAAAUUAUAAAUUGUUUUGAAACUAAUAAUGAUUUUAAAAAAAAUAGAGUGCACGGAGACUUUUAAUUGUGGCAAUUUGAUUGUUUAAAUUGAUGGCUUAUGUUAUAUUGUUAUUGUGUUGGCAUGACUGGCUGGGCUGUGUUUUAUGAAUUGUAUGAAUUGUUUUAGUUUACCCUUGCAGGCUAGGUAGUAUUUCAUUAGCCCUGUCAUGCCCUCAAAAUUUUAUUAUAUGGUGGAUAUAUAUUAAUUAAUCACUGUAGUAAGGGGUUUUUGGGGACCAGGCUUCUAGAAAGGCACAGUAAACCCCAUUAUAUUCUUACCUCGAACGAAGAGGCGCGUAGGGUAUCUCCUGGGGUAAAGUUUAGGGUUCACUUCACACCAAACCACCACGUGAGGGGGAACUCAGCCAACGCCAAGGAAUGGCUAUGUUUCAAAAUUAAAAUAUGAUUUAUGCGAAAUGUGAAUUUUUAACAGCCUUGGCAGUCUCGAUAGGAUGCCUCGGCCACGGUGUCCCUAAAAAUGGAUUUAUGGCACAAGCCUAAUUUUUAUGAGAUUCAUAAGCCUCUUCACGUAUUUUAAAUGAAAUGUAUUCUAAUGUUGUGACCCAGUUUACGAUGAUUUACUUUAUUAUCUCCAUGUACUCAACUCUAGAUGUUUAUGAUGAUGUCUGUUUACUCAUUGGGAUUUUAUGAUCUCACCACCCUCCUUUCCACCCGUUUCAGGUUCAGUAUAAACUGUAGAUAGCUGAUCUCAUUUAGGACUAUCGUUGGAUCUGCAUUUUCCAAACCGCAGGUUCACAACUCUCUUUACUUUUGUUUAUUCGAGGGCCCUCUUGUUAUUGUAAAUUUAAUUAAAUAUUUUGGCUUACUGUAUUACAGUAUGUAUAAAUUUAUUUAACUUUUACGCUAUAAAAAUUAUUUACGUAUAACUCUAAAAAUAUUAUUUUAUAAGAAAAUAGAAUAUUUUAUUUAACAUUUCUUUUAUUUUCUUAGUAUAUCCAAAUAAUCAAAAUUUCAUUUUAAAUGAAGAUUUUAGACUUUAAAACUCACUUUUGAUUAUGAAUUAUGUGUUUUGUAACUGUAAAUUACAUUUUAGCCGGUUUCGAAAUUUUUUGGGAAAAUUGACUAAAAUACCCCAGUAAAACGAAAAUUAUUAUUUUAUUUGUUUUGAGUUGAAAAUAGCUUAAAAUCUUUUAGAACAUGAUUUUCGGCAACGGUUGCUCACGAGGGAAAUGAGAUACUGAUAUUAAGCGUUGCAAGGUCCCGAUUGGCAUUCCGGGAAAUGAGUGUCUAUCGGGGUACCAUGGCGGUUGUCACGGACUCGAGGGGAGUACCGGGUCGUGACAAUUCGAUUGGUAUCAGAACUUUUGGUUUUAAAGAAAAGAGUUUUUGGUUUUAAAGUGGUUUUAAAAAUUUACAAUAUUAGUGUGGCCCCGGAUUAAGUUAGGUUAGGUUGAAUAGAAUGCAUGCAUCUGCAUAUAGAGCCUAAGGUUGCCUAAACUUACUCAUAUUCUUUUAUAGAUUAUAAUGCCUCCUCGACGCGGAAGCCCACCUCUCACUAGAUCGGUUGGGAGGGGAAGAGGUCGUUCCCAACGUCAUCAGCCAGAUACAGUAGAGGAGGAAUCGGCUGCAUCCACCAUUCGGGCAGCACCCGCUGCUAAGUAGGCCAAUAGUCCUCCACAUCCUCCAUCUCCUCAGCCACCCACUAGUAUUCCUACCAUGCCUACUGAGGCAGCACAAGCAUUGGCAGUUUUCUUUACCGCAAUAGCUGGUCAAGCUCAGACUGGUCAAGUUCCACCUAUAAUUCCUCUAGCUACUUCUUCAAUUCAGCCAGUACAGGAUGUAUCCAUUUCCAAGAAGCUGAAAAAGGCUAGACAAUUAGGUUAUGUGUCUUUCACGGGUGAGUUGGAUGCCACUGUGGCAAAGGACUGGAUUAAUUAGGUUUCAGAGACUCUCUUUGAUAUGAGAUUAGAUGAUGACAUGAAGCUGAUGGUGGCUACGAGAUUAUUAGAAAAAAGGGCUCGUACCUAGUGGAAUUCGGUGAAGUCUCAUUCCACUACUCCGUAGACAUGGUCUGACUUCCUCAAAGAAUUUGAUGGUCAGUAUUUCACUUACUUUCAUCAGAAAGAAAAGAAAAGAGAAGUUCUGAGCUUGAAACAAGGAAAUCUAACUAUAGAGGAGUACAAGACUCGUUUUAACAAGUUUAUGUUAUAUGUGUCGGAUCUAGUGAAAUUUGAGCAAGAUCAAGCCAGUUAUUUCAAGGAAGGGCUCCGUAAUGAGAUUAGAGAGCGGAUGGCAGUGACUGGUAGGGAGCCACAUAAGGAUGUGGUACAUAUGGCUUUAGGGGCUGAGAAGCUCUCGAUUGAGAAUAAGAGGAUUCAGACUGAGUUUGCAAAAAAAAAGAAUCCUAGUGUAUCUUCUAGUUAACCACCAAAGAAAGGCAAGGGCUCAGCGACUUCAGGGAGCACUACUUCUGUUUCAGUGACAUCUCCUCGACCUCCAUUUCCACAAUCACAACAGAGACCUUCUAGGUUUAGCAGAUCUGCUAUGACUAAUUCUGGAAAGAGUUUUGGAGGUUUUGACAGAUGCAGAAAUUGUGGGAAUUAUCAUGUUGGGCUAUGUAAGGGGCGUGCACUAUGUUUUCAUUAUGGUCAGCUGGGUCAUAAUAGGAGUAAUUGCCCACGGUUAGGACGAACCAAUGUAGCUACAUCAUCUCCACCAGCUCGCACUGAUAUGCAGAGGAAAGAUUCUGCUGGGUUACCAUCGAGACAGAGAGUAGCCAUAUGAUCUGGUGUGGAAAGUAAUACCCCAGCACAUCCACCUUCGAGACCACAGACUCGUACUUCGACAAGAGUUUUCGCAGUGACGCAAGAUGAGGCACGAGUCUGACCUGGAGCAGUGACAGGUAUUAUGUAUUUAUUUAAUAAAGAUGCUUAUGUUUUGAUAGAUUCUGGCUCAGAUAGAUCUUAUGUGAGUACGGCAUUUGCAUCAAUUGCUGAUAGAAACCUGUCACCAUUAGAGGGAGAAAUUGUAGUGCAUACCCCUCUAGGAGAAUAGUUGAUUAGAAAUACUUGUUAUAAAGAUUGUGGGGUAAGGGUAGGUGAGGAAGAAUUUAUGGGUGACUUAAUUCCUCUAGAGAUCUUGGAUUUUGAUUUAAUAUUAGGUAUGGACCGGUUAACUGCACAUCGGAAGAAUGUGGAUUGUUUCUGAAAAGAAGUUAUUCUUCGAAAUUCAGAGGGAGCACAGAUUGUGUUUGUAGGGGAACAUCGAGUAUUACCGGCUUGUGUAAUCUUGGCCAUCAAAGCUUUGAAAUUAGUGCAAAAAGGGUAUCCGACUUAUUUGGCACACGUGAUUGAUACUUCAAAGGGGGAACCUAAGUUAGAGGAUGUCCCAAUAGUAAGUGAGUUUUCUGAUGUAUUUCCUGAUGAGUUACCGAGACUACCUCCUGAUCAAGUGCUUGAGUUCCCUAUUGAUUUACUUUCGGGUACCACACCUAUUUCUAUCCCUCCAUAUAGAAUGGCUCCGGUAGAGUUGAAGGAACUGAAAGUUCAGUUGCAAGAUUUAAUGGAUAAUGGUUUCAUUCGCCCUAGCAUUUCUCCUUGGGGAGCACCAGUCCUAUUUGUUAAAAAGAAAGAUGGCAUUCGAUUACUGUCAACUGAACCGAGUGACCAUUAAGAAUAAAUACCCUUUACCCCAGAUCGAUGAUCUUUUUGAUCAAUUACGAGGUGCUAUAGUGUUCUCUAAGAUUGAUUUGAGAUCUAGGUAUUAUCAGUUGAAGAUUAAGGAGCAGGAUGUACCCAAUACUGCCUUCAGGAAGCGUUAUGGGCAUUUUGAGUUUCUAGUGAUGCCGUUUGGUUUGACCAAUGCCCCGACAGUUUUUAUGGAUCUUAUGAACAAGGUGUUUCAUCCAUACUUGGAUAAGUUUGUGAUAGUGUUCAUAGAUGACAUCCUGGUUUAUUCGAAGAAUGAUGAUGAACAUGUUGCCCAUUUGGGCAUUGUGUUGCAAACUUUGCACGAGAGACAACUCUAUGUCAAGUUCUCUAAAUGUGAGUUCUGGUUAAAGGAAGUGAUUUUCUUGGGACAUGUGGUGUCCGGAGCUAGAAUUUAUGUCAAUCCCAAGAAGAUUGAGGCAAUCUUACAAUGGGAGCAACCGAGAACGGUAACUGAGAUUCGCAGUUUCCUUGGCUUAGCCGGCUAUUAUUAGAGAUUUGUUCAAGGAUUUUCAUUGAUAGCAGCUCCUUUGACUCGUUUGACUCGUAAAGGAGUUAAGUUUGAGUGGGAUGAUGUUUGUGAGAAUCGAUUUCAGGAGCUAAAGAACCGAUUGACCUCCGCUCCCGUUUUAACACUUCCUAUUAAUGGAAAAGAAUUUGUGGUAUACAGUGAUGCAUCUAAGUUGGGAUUAGGGUGCGUAUUGAUGCAGGAUGAAAAAGUAAUAGCUUAUGCUUCCCGGCAAUUAAAGAAGCACGAGACGAAUUACCCUACUCAUGACUUGGAGUUAGCAGCAGUAGUCUUCGCAUUGAAGAUUUGGAGACAUUAUUUAUAUGGUGAGCGUUGUCGGAUUUUUACUGAUCAUAAGAAUUUGAAAUAUUUGCUCACCCAGAAAGAACUUAAUUUGAGACAAAGACAGUGGCUGGAGUUGAUUAAGGAUUACGACUUGGUGAUUAAUUAUCAUCCAGGGAAGGCAAAUGUUGUAGCGGAUGCUUUAAGUCAUAAAUCCUCAUCUUCAUUAGCUGUACUUCAGAGUUCUUAUUUUUCGAUAUUACUUGAGAUCAAAUCUCUAGGGAUCCAGUUGAAUAAUGGUGAGGAUGGAACCCUACUUGCUAGUUUCAUUGUGAGACCUUCAUUGUUGAAUCAAAUCAGAGAAUUGCAAAAAUCUGAUGAUUGGUUGAAACAAGAAGUUCAAAAGCUGGAAGAUGGAGAAACUAGUGAGUUUAGACUUAGUGAUAAUGGUACCUUGAUGCUUAGAGACUGAAUUUAUGUCCCUAAGGAUGAUCAGUUGAGAUGAGCUAUUUUAGAGAAAGCUCAUUUUUUCGCCUAUGCUUUACAUCUCGGAAGCACCAAGAUGUAUCAGACUAUUAAGGAAAGUUAUUGGUGGCCAGGUAUGAAAUGAGACAUAGCAAAGUUUGUAGCAAAAUGUCUCACAUGCCAACAGAUCAAGGCGGAGCAUCAAAAAAUCGUCAGGUACUCUUCAGCCUUUAUCGAUUCCUGAAUGGAAGUGGGAACACGUGACUAUGGACUUUGAAUUGGGUUUGCCACGGACACAGAGUGGGAAAGAUGCUAUUUGGGUGAUUGUUGAUAGAUUGACUAAGUCCGCCCAUUUCUUGGCUAUCCAUAGCACGUAUUCUAUUAAAAAACUAGCGAAACUUUAUAUAGAUGAGAUUGUGAGGUUACAUGGAGUUCCAAUUUCUAUUGUGUCAGAUCGAGACCCUCGGUUUACUUCUCGAUUUUGGUCGAAAUUUCAGGAAGCUCUCAGAACAAAAUUGAGAUUUAGUAUUGCCUUUCAUUCGUAAACUGAUGGUCAAUAUGAAAAGACUAUUCAGACCUUGGAGGAUAUGUUACGGGCUUGUGUCAUUGACUUCAUUGGGAGUUAGGACAGACACUUGCCAUUGGUAGAGUUCGUGUAUAAUAACAGUUUUCAACUUAGUAUUGGGAUGGCACCAUACAAGGCUUUGUAUGGAAGAAAGUGUCGAACUCCACUCUGUUGGGAUGAAGUGGGAGAGAGGAAAUUGGUUAAUGUGGAAUGAUUGAUUUGACAAAUGACAAAAUCAAGAUUAUCAGAGAGCGAUUAAAGAUAGCUCAAGAUAGGCAGAAGAGUUAUUCUGAUAAACGAAGGAAAGAUUUGGAGUUUGAAGUUGACAAUAAAGUUUUUCUUAAGGUUUCUCCUUGGAAAGGUAAUAAUUUGAAAAUUCCAAGUAUUAAAUCUUAUUUGAUUAUACUAUUGUGAUAAUUUGUGGUAUUUAUUGGAUAAUGAAAGGUGUGAUUCGAUUCGCGAAGAGGGGAAAGCUCAAUCUGAGAUACAUUGGACCCUUUCGUAUCAUUGAAAGGAUUGGGCCAAUAGCUUACAGACUUGAAUUACCCCCGGAGUUAGAUCGGAUUCAUAAUGUCUUCCACGUCUCGAUGUUGAAAAAGUAUGUUCCCGAUCCCUCUCACAUUCUAGAAACACCUCCCAUUGAGUUGCAUGAAGAUUUGAAGUUCGAGGUGCAGCUUGUACGUAUUCUAGAUCGAAAGGAUCGAGUGCUAAGGAACAAGAGUAUUCCAAUGGUGAAAGUAUUAUGGAAAAAUGCUCGAAUGGAAGAGAUGAUGUGGGAAGUCGAGCGCCAGAUGAGAAACUAAUAUCCACAUCUUUUCUUGGAAUCUGGUAAGUGAAUUUUGAGGUCAAAAUUUUAUUUUAAGGGGGGUAGUGUUGUAAAGUCCGACCUUAUAAAAUACUUGUCAUGACAUACAUGUGAUGGAUAGCAUGUUUGCAUGCUAGGAGAGUCCCGAAAAAUUUACAAAAGUCGGUAUUGUACCUAGAAGAACAACAAAGUUGAUUUAAGCCUCGAACUAGAUCAAAUAGAAAUUUUAAGGUGAAAUUGAGAGUUUUACAGUCCAUGGAUGACUCAAAAUGGUAAUUCGGAGUUUGAAGAUCAAUUUGGAGUCAAACCGAAAUUUUCACUAUCUAGGGGCAAAAUGAUCAUUUGCCACCUGGGGACAAAAUAGGAAUUUUUAGAAAAAAGUUUUUUGGCCCCAUUUGACUUAUUGGAGUAUGAUUAGAGUAUUGGAGUAUGAUUUGAGAUUUAGAAGUGAAAAAAUUAUAAUCUCGGUAUUUUUGUAGCAUAGGGAUAAAAUGGUACUUUUGCCACCUUAAGGGCAAAUUUGUAAUUUUACACACCCAACACUUGUCCAACACAUGGAUUUUAUCCAAUAUUAUCAUGGAUAAUUGAAGGAAUUUAAGUGGUGGAGAGAGAAAGCUUAAUAGUUAAGAAAUUAAAAAUGGACCAAUGGGAUGGUGACAUGUGUCAAGUUAAUAUCCAUUUAUUUUUUUAGCUUUAAAAUCAGCAAAAAUCAGCUUAUUUUCUCUUCAUGUGGCCGGCCAUAGCAAGAACAAAGAGAGGAAAAGAAAAACAAGAAACCUAGGUGGGAAAAUUAAAGAAAAAGUGUGGGAUUUCAAGGAAUCAAGCAAUCAAAGGUAAAAUUUCUUGAUUUUGACUUGUGAUCUACCUUUCCCAUGCUUUUCUCCUUAUUUUCCAUGGUUAGAUUUCAUGUUUUCAUGGUGAAUUCAUGGCUGCCCAAAUGGGUAUGGAGAGAGAAUGAAGUUAGAUUGAUUUGAUUUUAAGUUAUGUUAGUGUUUUAAGUUAGUUUAGCAUAUUUAGAAACAAAACAACAAGAAAAGAAUUCAUUUUCCCCCAUUACCAUCAUUGGCCGAAUUUCCUAGGGAGAAUAUUGUGGCUGAAUUUGAUGAUAUUUCAUGAUAUUUUGGUGAUAUUUGAUGUUUGGUGAGGCUAGAAAUUAAAUGGGAAAUUUUAGUGUGAAAAUACGAAUUUUUGCUCAACAUAUAGACAUGUGUAAUUAUUGACUCGGGAUCGAUAAAUUGAACCUCAUUCACAUUCACUGAGGUAAUUUAGGUAUAAUUGGAGCAUAGAAAGUGAAAAGAAUUGAUUUGGAGUUAAAUUGAAGAUUUUAGCCGAUUAGACCGAGAAUAGCACGAAUUAGGUCGAAUACCGUAUUUAAACAGCUAUUCGGACAUUUUUGCAUUCCAUAUCAUGCAUUAGUAGUCUAAAUUAGUUUAAUUUCAAUUUAGUAUCAAUGUGGUGAAUUUCUCAAUUUUGUACUGUGUCAAGGUGGUGUGUCCUCCGAUAAAGGAAAGGAAAUUGCAUCCGAGGACCAGUAGAUAGAGUACUUCAAAAGUCUGCAUUCUAGACAUUGUGAGUAAACUUACUGUCAUUUUAAUUAUCUAGGGUGGUUUUUAGAUGAUUUCAUGAAUUCUAUGAAAAAAUGGAUUUAAAAGGUAAAUUUUCAUGUUUUAUGAAUAAAGGUGUUCCAAUGAAAUUAAAUUAUAAAUUGUUUUGAAACUAAUAAUGAUUUUGAAAAAAAUAGAGUACAUGGAGACUGUUAAUUGUGGCAAUUUGAUUGUUUAAAUUGAUGGCUUAUGUUAUAUUGUUAUUGUGUUGGCAUGACUGGCUGGAUUGUGUUUUAUGAAUUGUAUGAAUUGUUUUAUUUUACCCUUACAGGCUGGGUAGUAUUUCAUUAGCCCUGUCAUGCCAUCAAAAUUUUAUUAUAUGGUGGAUAUAUAUUAAUUAAUCACUGCAGUAGGAGGCUUCUGUGGACCAAGCUUUUAGAGGGGCACAGUAAACCCCAUUAUAUUCUUAGCUCGAACGGAGAGGUGCAUAAGGUAUCUCCUGGGGUAAAGUUUAGGGUUCACUUCACGCCAAACCACCACGUGAGGGGGAACUCAGCCAACGCCAAGGAACGACUAUGUUUCAAAAUAAAAAUAUGAUUUAUGCGAAAUGUGAAUUUUUAACAACCUUGGCAGUCUCGGUAGGAUGCCUCAGCUAAGGUGUCCCUGAAAAUGGAUUUAUGGCACAAGCUUAGUUUUUAUGAGAUUCAUAAGCCUCUUCACGUAUUUUAAAUGAAAUGUAUUCUAAUGCUGUGACCCAGUUUACGAUGAUUUACUUUAUUGUCUCCAUGUACUCAACUCUAGAU
rnacentral:lncRNA from 1 species